UUGUGGCCAUGCAAAGCCCUUGUCUUUCUCUGCCCCACUUUCCACCCACACCUCUCACUCCACCCCCUCACCUCUCCUCUCUCUCACCUCCCACUUCUCCACGGCCACAGCCGCUGCCGACAAGCACACGCCCCAUCUCCUUUCUCUCUCCUCCCCCCUCCGUCGCCGGAAACCCCUGCUGCACCACCUCCCUCCGCCGCUGCCCCGGAAUGACCGUUCUGCUGCCUUAACACUGGGACUCUCUAGCCGGAGAAUUACUUGCAAGGCGACGGAAGUGUCGGUGGCGGAGGAGCCGUCGGCUGCGGGCGAUGGCGAGAACUGGGUGCCAGUGGUGCCGCUGUCGGCAUUGCCCAAGGGGGAGCGGCGCGUGAUUAUACAGGACGGAGAGACGAUUCUGUUGUUGUGAUUAUACACGAAAUUUAUGUGAAGAAUGAAAGGCUCUUUUGAGGCUCAUGCAAGCCAUGUAAGAAUUUUAUGUGGCCUUGGUGUAUAUUAUUAUGUGAUAUUCCUUUAAAUAUUAUGGUCUAAUAAAUAAUAAAACUAAAAUUUUAUUUCCUAAAUUAAAGGUACUUUGAUGAAAAGCAUACUCCUCAUUCUAUAUGGAAAUUGAUCUUCUCUCCAUCCUAUAAAAUAAAUGUUCAGAAAACCUAAGGAUAAAAGGGUUUAGGGAGAACAACACAAUUUCUACUUGGCUUAUUGUUUGGUCUCUUCAAGACUUCUAUAUAGUUUAAAGGUAUGUCUUUUCUCAAUAAUGGAAUUGUGAAAAUCAUAUUAUUCUAUAAUUCUUGACUAUUUUGAUUUAAGUAAAAUUAGGAUUUGAUUUACAUAAUUAAAUAAUUACUUAUGAGUUUCAUUGGUGAGCAUAUAAUACCAUUGACAUAUGUUGAUUAAGUGACAUGUAUACCUUUGAUGCUACUGUAAUGAAGUUUAUGAUAAUAAAAGUUUAUUUUAUCAAUUUUCGAUAUGUUAUAUACAAUGUAUGUUUAUGGCUAAUAUAUAAAGUGAAUGACUUUCUUGAUUUAUGAAAUUUAGUGAAUCGAUUUAUGCAUCAACCGCUUUUGAUUGAACCAAAAGUAUGAUUUUGUUCAUGGUAUUGCAUCUUCAUCAUCAAAAUAGAUAUCUAUAUGUAUGUGAAAUAAAUUAUGCUAUAUAUAUAUGUCAAUAGUGAAUUUUGUGUCUUCAAUGGUAAUGUUUUAACGAUAUACAUAUACUAUAUAUAAAAAACCAAGAAAAUUCUAUAAGAGUAAACACAUUGAGAGGAAGUACCACAUAAUCUAUAGAUAGUACAAAAAGGUGAUAUGGUAGUUUAGAAGAUAUCUUUCGGAAAGAGCCUAAUAGAUUCAUAUACUAAGACAUUGACUGGAAAAGUCUUUGAUUGUAACCGGGACAACAUAGGUGUCAGAUAUGCACCUAAUUUACUUUUAUUGCAUUAUGUUUUGAGGGCUUAUGGAAGAUUGUUAUGAUAUCAUCCUACAAAGCUUUACAUGAUAUAAGACAUUUGGAUUUAUCAUUUAUUUAAUUAUAUUCUAAUUGCUCUUUUAUCUAUGCUUGUAAUAGAGAGUUCCCUACGCUCAGAUCCCAACACUUAUAUCAUAUAAAAUAAAGUUUCAUGCUAGUAGAAUAUCUAAAUAUAUUCUUGGUAGUUUUUGGUCAUGCAUGCAUUCGCAUAACUUUGGGCUAUGCACAAUAAUUUUCCAUAUAAUUGGCUUUUAGGUAUAAAUUUAAUUUCUAUAUGAAAUCGUUCAAUAUAUAACUUUCUGCUACAUGAGUCUAAAAGUUAUUAACUUCCAUGCAUGGUGCGACUGGUGGGGUUUCCAGUCACUUGGAAACCAUGUCCAGAUACAUAUGAAGAGAUCAAUAAAACCAACCUUCCACUUCCUACAAUAAUCGUUUACCAAGUGUAUCUUCAAUCCUAAGCCAGUCUGGUAUUCGUUGUUGCAGCUCCUGUAAACUGGCCUCUGCUUGGUCCAGCUCCAGAUAUAGCUGCUCUACUUCAGCUAUCUUCUCAUUCAAGCGCCUACGAAUCACGUCCCUCUUGCCCUCUGCUUGUGCAUACUCAACUAAAGGUUGCACUCCAACAAAUGGGCUUCUUAACCAAUCAACCUUAACCUGAGCCCUCUCCAAAUCACUCAAUGUUCUAUCAAUGAAGUAGGUGUCUGCACCAGACAGGCUACGGGCAGUAUUCUUCUGCAUCAGCUCCACAAUCUGCAGUAUGGAACCUUUGAUUAUCUCUACAAACUGGGGUGCUGUAAAGGAGCAAUUGGCAGUUACGUCUCCAUAUUUGGUCAAUAUUUGCUGCCAAAUCGACUCCCUGGUAUUGGAAGUUACACCAGAUCCCUCAACCAUCUCAAGAAGCCCUGCAGCGGCUGUGUUAGGAUCUGUGAGAGUUUUGUCUGUGUCCUCAGCUUCAGUUGGAGCGAAGGUAGUUUGGAUCUCCUAAAGCCCAAAAAAGAGAAGGAAAAGUAUAGAACUUGUGCUUGGAAUUAACCAACAAAAAAGAUUAAUUUUGAUGUAAAAGUGCCCAAGGAAAAAUAUUUUGGUAGUUUCAGUUGAAAAUUUUGACAAACCUUGUCAGCUCCCGAAGCACCUUCCACUUCAUCUGAAGGCCAAUUAAGUGUAUCUAGGCAUUGCAACCUGUGAUUAUGCUCAAGAUGAAGUUUUGUGAUCACCCAUUGUCCAUUGUCAAGUUUGACUUGGAUCUGGACAUUGCAACCUGUUCUUGUUUCUGAUCUCUUAUACUUUGUUCCCUGGUUGGGAUGCUUCUUGGUCCGGAAGCCUUCACAUGAACAAAGAAAGCAUCGCCCUUUCAGUGUACCAUUUGCUUUCCUUUGUACCUUUCCUUUUCUUACUGUAAAACCAAUUCUCUUGGCAUACUUUUUACAAAAUUCUUCAGCUUCUAACUCAGAAGAAAACGCCAUCCCUCUCCGUGGUAUCUGAUCAUCGUCUUCAGGAUUUUUCUCAUUUACAUUAACCAAUGUUCCAAUCUCAUCACCAUUUACAUUAAUAGCCAUUUCAGUCUCACCACUAUAGAACGAACUCCACCAAGAAUCAAAAUUAAGCUCAUCCUGUACAAAGUGAGAUAGAGAGAGAAGUUUUCUAUGAGAAAAAUGAGAAGCAAAAAGCGGUACAAUGCAUAACAACAAUUUUCUUCUGUUACACCAACUAUUGAUUCAAACUACAUCUUAUCCUGUAACUCUUGUAGAACAAUGAAUUAAUAUAAGAAGAGUGACACUGUAAGACGGCUUAUAGACAAGUAGAUGGAGCAACAAAUUCUUGAUUUGCUGGUUGCAGCUUUAUUUGGGCAGAAAAGUUCAUGAAUUAUUUAUCUUUAAAAUUAACCGUUGUUCUAGAAAAUGGAUCGAGCUUACCUGGAUAGUGAGGCCCCUGAAGGAACCGCCAACUCUGUGGUGGUUUACUAAAUCAUCAGAUUCCUGUAUGGCACCCCAAACAUCUGGGCGUGAACCGAUGGAACUAUACCUGCCAAGAUGAUAGGGUUCGAUAGACAUUCUGGUGCAGUUGAUGGGUGUGGAUCCAGAGGAUCGGUGCUUGAUUGCUUUGCUUCCGGCUGGACCUUGGGAUCUCGCCUUCUCAAGACAGGACUCGUUUUAUAGCUCUCGCAGCCUGCUGUGUGGGACAGCGUCCCUUUUUCCUUGUUUGCUUUGCUUCCAUUUCCAAAUUCCAACCCACUGCGCUUUGACCAAAUGGUCCAAAUCUCCAUUUCUCGGCGACGUCGGUGCGUUCGGUUCUCUUUUCCCUUGUUUUAUUUCCUUCAGUGCCUCUUUCCUCCCAAGAGGCUACUACUCGCCCUCUCAAAAAGUCAAAACUUUAGAAACAUUAAAUAUAUAUAUUUUUUUUUAAAUAGAGAACUAUCAAAACGGUGGGCGGAAAGUGAUAAUCCUUUUUAAAAGUCAUCAUGUUGACCAAUUCUACUCUUCGAGUAAUCAUUUGAAAGCUUAACCAUUCGAAAUUUUCAAUUAUAUCCUAUUUAAACUUUAUUUUUUUAUUUUUUUUCUUUUGUAUUAUUAUUAUUAUUAAAUAUUAAUAUUACUCUUAAUAUUAUUAUUUAUGAUAUUAGUAUUUUAAAUUAUUCAUAUUAUUAUUAAUAUCAUUCUUAUUAAUAUUAUUUAUUAUUUUUUUAUUAUUAUUCAUAUUUUUAAUAUUAUAUUAAAAAUAAUAUUAUUAUAUUUUUAUUACUACUACUACAAAGAAACCUUAGGAGAUAAUUUAUAUUUUUUAGUUCUUAAAACUUGUAAACUUUAUUAAAAAAUUAUUCUUUUUUUUCAAUUUAUACUUUAUAUGUUAUAUUAAGAUUAAUUAAAUUAUUAUUAUUCUUCUUAUUAUUACUAUUAAUAUUUAUGAUAUUAGUUUUAUAUUAUUAAUAUUUUAAUAAAAUAAUAUUAUAUCCAAGUUAUAGAUAUAAUAAAAAUGCAUUGAUGUUAAUGAUAUAGUAGAAUAAAACAAUGUUUCUAAUAUAGAUAAAUACAACAUUUAUCUAUUGAAUUUAUAACAUAAAUACAUUAAAAAUACAAUAUAUUACAACAUUUUUAAUAGUUUUCAUGUAAAAAUAAAAUAAAAUUUUAUCAUUCAAUGCGCUUUUUCUAUUUGAGUCGUAACACCCGACUUUUUCUUUUCCUCUUUAUCAUUCAACGCGCUUUUUCUUUUCUUUGUUGCGUAAAAUAUUUGAAGUUUUGUUGUGAGACUUGCUUCGAUCACAGUUGUAUUCUCAAUUUUGCAAUUAAGCAAAUUUAGCUUUAUUAGUCAGUUGUGGUUGAUAUAAAUGAACUUUUUCUACUGCAAUUAAGUCAGGACUCAUAUCUCAGACUUGGUGUCUCUACUGCUCAGUAAUGGCUGCUGCUGCUGCUUCUUCUGCGUCUUCUCAGGGGCGCUAUGAUGUGUUCCUGAGCUUUAGAGGGGAAGACACCCGCAAUAACUUCACUGCCCAUCUCUGUGAGGAGUUGCACACCAAAGGAAUCAACACUUUCAUAGACGAGGAGAAGCUCGAGAGAGGGCAAGCCGUAUCUGCUGCACUUGUUUCUGCUAUUGAAAACUCCAUGUUUUCUAUCAUUGUUUUAUCAGAAAAUUAUGCAUCUUCUAGAUGGUGUUUAGAGGAGCUGGUGAAGAUAAUACAGUGCAUGAAAAACAGGGGGCACAGGGUUCUCCCAAUUUUCUAUAAUGUGGCUCCCUCGGAUGUGAGAAAUCACAAGGGAAAAUUUGGAGAAGCCUUGGCUAAACAUGAAGAGAAUUCCAAGGAGGGUAUGGAGAGGGUGCAGAUUUGGAAGGAUGCUCUCACUCAAGUCACCAAUUUCUCUGGUUGGGAUUCAAGGAAUAAGUAAUUAUUUAAAGCUUUUUUUCACUCUUACUUUUAUUUUUUAUUUUUAAUAUUGCCAUUUUAAAUGCUCUUGCUAAUUCAACUAUUAGUUAUUACAACACAAAGGGUAUGAUAAUAUAUACCAUGUUAACAUUAUCUGAUUAAAGGACUGGGUUCAUAGGAUUUAGAAAUAUUUUACUGGACUUUUUUAAAUUAGAUAUAAGAUACCAACCAUAUCUUGACACAUAUUCUCAUAUUCUCUUUAUUUUUAUUAUCUUUUUGUAGAUAGCUGGACUUAUUAUGUGUUUAUGCUUUAAAUAUGACAGGAAUGAGUCUCUACUAAUCAAGCAAAUUGUUAAAGAUAUUUUGAAUAAAUUGUUAUCUUCAUCCGGUAGUGAUACCAAGAAUCAAGUUGGAAUAGAUGCUCACAUACAAGAAAUGGAAACCUUAUUAUGCUUGGCGUCAGAUGAUGUUCGAAUGGUAGGAAUAUGGGGCAUGGGUGGAAUAGGGAAAACAACCCUUGUCAGAGCUGUUUAUAGUCGAAUCUCCUAUCAAUUUGAAGGUUGCUCCUUUCUUGAAAAUGUUGCAGAGGGUUUAAAAAAGAAGGGCUUAAUUGGGUUGCAAGAGAAACUUCUUUCUCAUCUAUUAGAGGAAGAAAAUCUAAAUAUGAAAGAACUCACAUCUAUAAAGGCAAGGCUCCACUCAAAAAAGGUCCUUAUUGUUCUCGAUAACGUGAAUGAUCCAACAAUAUUGGAAUGCUUAAUUGGAAAUCGGGAUUGGUUUGGUCAAGGAAGUAGAAUUAUUAUAACGACUAGGGAUAAACGUUUAUUACUUUCACAUAAAGUCAAUCUUUAUAAGGUUCAUAAAUUCAAUGAUGAUGAAGCUCUUGAGUUUCUUGCACGUUAUUCAUUAAAACACGAACUCCUUCGAGAAGAUUUCCUAGAGCUUUCAAGAGCUGUGAUAUGUUAUGCUCAAGGCCUUCCAUUGGCUCUUACGGUUUUGGGUUCUUUUUUAUUUAGCAUGAGCAAAGAAGAAUGGAGAGAUCAAUUAGACAAAUUAAAAAGUAUUCCUAAUAUGAAAAUUCAUGAAGUUCUUAAAAUAAGUUAUGAUGGGCUAGAUUUUGAGGAGAAGAAUAUAUUUUUGGAUAUUGCAUGUUUCCUUAAAAGAGAGGAUAAAAAUUACAUUAAGGAAAUACUAGACUAUUGUGGCUUCUUCUCAGUUAGUGGUAUACGAGCUCUCGUUGAUAAGUCACUCAGUAAGUUUUUUUCACAAUAGGAUAAUGAUGCAUGACUUAAUACAAGAAAUGGGUAUGGAAAUUGUUCGCCAAGAAUCUCAUACUCCCGGCCAGCGUAGUAGAUUGUGGCUCCAUAAAGAUAUCAACGAUGCAUUGAAAAAAAACAUGGUAAGAGCAAAAAAAUGAAAUUUAUUUUAUGCAACACAAGUUAAGAUUUGAAAUUAUUUUGGCUUAAGUAGUUAUAUGCUAAUAAAAUUGUAGCAGACAUAUAUUUAUUCACUAUGCAUGUUUUUAACUUAGUCUCCUUCUUGGUAUGCAGGAAAAUGAAAAAAUUGAAGGCAUAUUCCUCGACUUGUCUCAUUCACAAGAGAUAAUAGACUUUAGCACUCAAGCCUUCCCAAGGAUGUAUAAACUAAGAUUGCUCAAAGUCUAUGAAUCUAACAAAAUUUCAAGAAACUUUGGAGAUACCUUAAAUAAGGAGAAUUGUAAAGUGCAUUUUUCUCCGAACUUAAGAUUUUGUUACGACGAAUUGAGGUACUUAUAUUUGUAUGGAUACUCUUUGAAAUCAUUGGACAAUGAUUUCAAUGCAAAGAAUCUUGUUCACCUCAGCAUGCAUUAUAGUCACAUUAAACGACUUUGGAAAGGAAUCAAGGUAUGAUUAUGAUGUAUUGAUAUUAUUUUCUUUAAAAAGCGUUUAAUGUGCAUGAAAGCUAAUUUUUAAGUCAACUUUCUUUCAUGGUAGGUUCUUGAAAAGUUAAAAGUCAUGGAUCUCAGUCACUCCAAGUCCUUAAUAGAAACCCUAGAUUUCUCAAGAGUCCCCAAUCUUGAACGAUUAGUUCUCGAAGGUUGUAUAUCUUUGCAUAAGGUACAUCCGUCUCUUGGAGUUUUGAAUAAACUCAAUUUCUUGAGUUUGAAAAAUUGUGAAAAGCUCAAAAGUCUUCCAAGCAGCAUGUGUGAUUUGAAAUCCCUCGAAACAUUUAUUCUUUCUGGUUGUUCGAGACUCGAAGAUUUUCCUGAGAACUUUGGGAACUUAGAAAUGUUAAAGGAACUUCACGCAGAUGGUAUUCCUGUAAGAGUACUACCCUCCUCUUUUUCGCUCUUGAGAAACCUUGAAAUAUUAUCCUUUAAGGGAUGUAGAGGACCCCCAUCUACCUCAUGGUUGUUGCCAAGAAGAAGUUCAAGUUCUACUGGUUCCAUACUGCAUCAUUUGUCUGAUGUAGGACAACCCUAGGAUGGUUGCCUACACUCAAGGGUAGGUGGGCUAGGGUUUUAUUUUUAGGGUGUAAGGAGGGGAACAAGGAAUAAACUUUAUGGUAGAGAAAAUUAUAAGAUAAGAAAAAGAGAGAAAGAAGAAACAAUGAAGAAAAGAUGGAAAACCUUAGAGUCUCACUAAGGCCUUCUAGGAGUCUCACCUAGAAGAAAAUCAAUGGAGUCUCACCAUUGAGGGUUGCAACCUUGCAAUGAAAGAAAGUAUAAUAUUAUUCAUCAAAAAUUCAUUCCUUUGAUUUACAUUGAUUAGCCUAUUUAUAGGCUUCUCUAAGAAAUCCAAAGUCUACUAGGACUCUAAUAACCUAUUCUACUAGGACUCUAAUAGGACUCUAAUAACCUAUUCUACUAGGACUCUAAUAACCUAUCAUGACUCAAAUUCUAAUUAUAUUAAUCCUACUUAAAGUUUACUUAGGUCUUCCCUUUCUUCCUUGAAUAAACUUUAAAAGGCUUUCCCCCAUCAUUGUCAGGUCUAUAUUCUUUAACAAGGCUAAACCUAGGUUAUUGUAAUUUAUCAGAUGAAACAAACCUUAGCAGUCUUUGCCUCUUAUCUUCAUUGGAAGUGUUAGAUCUAUCUGGGAACAACUUUGUUACUUUGCCAAACAUCAGGGGACUUUCUAGCCUAGAAGGUCUGUUGUUGGAGAAGUGUAAAAGACUGCAAGUACUGCCAGAACUUCCAUCAAGCAUAUAUAGUUUAAUUGCGCAAGAUUGCAUAUCAUUGGAAAAUGCCUCAAAUCAAGUACUCAAGUCACUCUUUCCAACUACAAAGUCCCCGAAGAAAACUUUCAAGGUGGGUUCUAUUUGUAUACGAUGUAUCAUAAUUUUAAUUAUAUAUGCAUAUAUAUAAUUAUUUCGAUUCUAUCUCUCUAACAUCCUAAUAAUUUUGAUUCUACAGCGUAAUUCGGGUGCACACUUGAUAUAUGUGAUGGUUUAUGGGAGUAGAAUACCAGAUUGGAUAAGGUAUCAGAGCUCAGGGUGUGAAGUAGAAGCAGAUCUACCUCCAAAUUGGUAUAAUUCCAACUUGCUGGGUCUUGCUUUGAGCUUUGUCACUUAUGUUUUCGCAUCUAAUGUGAUUAUUCCAGUAUCGUAUACCUUGCGCUAUUCAACAUCCAGUUACAUUGCUAACCGCAUUAGUAUCAGAUUUGAUAAGGAAGGUGUAGGGUUAGAUCACGUGUGGCUACUUUAUAUAAAACUCCCCCUCUUCAGCAAUUGGCAUAAUGGAACUCCCAUAAAUUGGCAUGAAGUGACUCACAUCAGUGUAUCAUUUGGGACUCAGGUCAUGGGGUGGUAUCCUCCGAUUAAGAGGAGUGGGUUUGAUCUAGUGUACAGUAAUGAUCAAGACGUGAAUCCCCCAGUGAUCCAAUUCAGUUCUAUCUCCUCUCCUCCUCUUCCGAACAAGUCAACAGUAGUCCUUAAAGAAAUCCAUAAGAAGGAGGAACCCAGUGGAAGUGAGUUGUCGAAUGUUGAUGGCUCAGAAUCAGACAGCUCUGAUUACCAUACUGCUGAUGAGGAAGAACCCACAACUGCAAAAGAAACUGACCGCUCAGAGGAUCACUCUGAAUCAGAGAUGCGGCCGCAGAAACGUUUGAAGUGCAGGCAUUAUGAGGGCAUCCCUUGAUGAUCGGAGAAACAGACCUAAAACUCUUCCCAUAACAUCAUCUCUUGGUAAUGGUAGGUUGUGUGUUUCUUUUCUUUCUGCCUUUCUUUCUUAAUCUGAUUUUCAACAUUUUUGCUUGGGUAGAUGUCUUAAGAUCAUUUAGAACUGUUUAAAGCGGGAACUAAAAAAUCCCAUAACACUGUUUGAAAUUAGAGUACUCUCACAUAUCGUCGAUUUCAUGCUUAAUCAUCCCGGGAUACACAUGGUUCCAUAUCAUUAGAAUCAUUUGUAUUAAUAAUGCAUUCUCAGUUUACUAAUUGUGGCAACUAAACAGAGUCCCAAAAUCUCUCUCGGGGUUGAUCAUCUUCAAUAGAUACGCAUUGUUUUAGCAGUGAUAAUGUAUUUUGUGAAUUGCAGUCGCAUGAUCUCCAUUCCUGUGAGCAUUGCAAUUAACUAGGGAGAUUAUUUUAGUGGGGGUGAUGCUACAGCACCAGCGAAGGAGCAGAAGCAGAAGCAGAAGAGAGAAAAGAUCUUGUAACGGAACCCAAUCUUCCAUAAACUAACUAUUUUUGGAUUGUUUUUCAUUUCUAGAAAUGGAACGACUAUGUAAAUUAAAGGAUUACUGGAUUCUUCAAUUCAAAGAGUCAUCACAAAUUUGAGUCACUACUCACCUACAUUUGAUUUCAUUCCUUCUACUAUCUCCACCUUGCUCCUUAAUUCUUAUAAUGAUAAAUGUGUUAUAUAAAAUUUUGAUUAUAUUUCAUUUAACCAUUUUUGCAUUAGGGUCACAUCUCUUAGUCGUAUAGAUAUUGUUUACUUUAAUCCAAAGGACUCCCACGAUUUUAAAACGCACCUAUAAGGUUAAAAGGAAUCCAUGCAUAUAUAGAUAUAUCACAUCCAAUAGGGUGAAAAAGCUUUUACUCUCUUACGCCAUCCCUUCCCAUGAAACCCUCUAUUUUGUGCCCACCUAUACCUAUCCUUUCCCUCUUUCUCUCAUGGGCAUAUCCUUUGCAUGAUACACAUUUUAAUCAACAAAUUAUAAUUAAUUUGUUCACUAAAAUAUUUCUUUAGGUUGUAUUUGGUUCCAAAAAUUACUAAGAAAAAAAAAGAAAAAUAUAAAGAAAUAUUAUUUUUUCAUAUUUGGUUAUCGUAUGAAAAAUAUAUAAAAAAUCAAAUAUAAUUAAAAUUAAGUAAAAUUUUUUGUAUGUUUAAAUUAUUUAAUUUUUAUAUCGAUGAGUUAAAAUAAAUAAAGUCAGUUUAAAGUAACAAAUAAAAAUAAAAUUUCAAAUUUUAAUCUAUUUUUUUAUUUUUCUUUAUUGUUUUUUUCUUUUACUUUUUCUUUCUAUUUUCUUCCUCCCAUAUUUUCCCCUAAUUUUCCACCUUAAAAUUGUAUUUUUGUGAUAACUUUCGAAUAUAUUUGACAUAGUGGUUGCCUAGGGUUCAUUCUAAACCAUUUGUUUGGAUUUCGAAUAUAUUUGACAAUUUUUUAAAUCCUUCCUCCCACCUAUACCUAUCCUUUCCCUCUCUCUCACACACACAACCAUCCCGUUCGGGCCAUUCCCAUGAAACCCAUUUUUUCUCUCUUUUCUCAUCCCUCUCACAAAUCACAACCACUUUUUUCUUCCUUUCUUCUCAUCAUUUCAUGUUCUUUAUUUUUUUUCUCUCUCUCUCCCUCUCUUUCUUUUUUCCAUAGCCAUUUUCAUCUGCCCAUCACCGACGCCACCAUCCAUUGUCCGCCGCGACGUGCCACUACCGACGCUGGCGUCACUCUUUCAUGGCUUCCUCCUCUCUCAUCUCAUCAUUUCUCUCUUCUUCUCUCCCUCUAAAAUACCAAGAGCAUGGCAUGGAGGGAAAAUGGGAAGUUCGGGUGAGCUAAACACCAAGGCAACUUGUAGAGUCAUUGCUAUGGCUACUUUCAUCUUGUUUUCAAGACAUGCAUGGGUAUACUCUUUGAUCUCUACACAGUAGAUGUUAGUAAUUUGUGGGUUUUGUUUUCAUUUGAUGUUUUGUUUAUUGAUUUAUAUUUUUGAUGUUGGGUUUGGACUUGUUGGAUUUUGUUUAAUUCUUUUAGGCGUCAAUUAUUAAUGUUAGGCUUGGUUAUUCCAUGCAGACUUGGGCCUGUGCGUAUUGAAUAUUUAGGUUGGGCCUCAUUCCUUGAUUUGAGCCUGGUAGGGAGGUUUUGGACUUGACCUUGGGUUAAUUUUAUCCUUUAUAGUUCAUUUAUGAUUCAUUGUCGUGUUUAGAUCAUUCAAAAAAUUUGUUUUCAACUAUGUUCUUGAAAAUAAUUUCACUAAAAGUAUCAGAAAUCAGAAGGUGUCCAAUUAGUCGAGUUUUAAAAAUAUUGUUGACAAAUUUACCAAUAAAUUCUUAACAGCCCAACCACCCAAAAUAUAAUUGCCUACUUGAAUGAAAUAAAUAAUAAACUUUAAUUUAUACAAAAUAUUUAUUAUUAUAAUUAAUAUUUUAAUAUCCUUCAUUUAAAAAUAAAAUGAAUAAAUAAAUAAAUAAUCAACACAGACUCUUCUUCAAUGAUCGCAUUUAAUUUACUGCAAAUUUUGCUAAGAGUAUAUUAUUCCCAAUUCUCAUUUUCAUACAUAUUCUAUUAUUUUUCUUUUGCAAAUAAUCAAAUAUAGUUAUCUGUUUGUUUGAUUUGUUCAUCAAUUUGGAAUUAUAUGUAUCUUUUUGUUUCCCACUGGAUAAUUUAGGAUUCACAACUCAAAAUUUCUGAAUCCAUCUUCUCCACUCCUCAUAAUGGCUGAUCCUUCUUCUUCUCCCUUUCUUUACAACAGGGCUAUAACGUGCUCUUGAGCUUUGGAAGAGAAGAGAAGACACCCACAAUAGCUUCACUGCUCAUCUCUAUAAUGAGCUUGAAAAGGUGUUUAUACUUAUGAUAUCUUAAUCUAAUUUCUAGAUUUGGACUCAAUUUUUCGUAAUCAUGUUUUUUUUAUUAAAAAAUGAGUUACAUUAGAAUUUUAUUUCUUAUAUUAUUUUUCUUUAAAAACAAAUAAAAAUAAGUAAUGGCUCUAAUUUUUAAAAAUUAAUAUGUUUUUUAAUAAAAAUGAGUUUCACCAUUAAAUGGAAAUACAAGUAAAACAUACAAAUCAUAGUUUCAUUGUUGUUUUCCUCUUAUGAUCUUUUAUGUUUAUAAAGAGAAAUAUGAAAAAAGUAAUACAAAAGGUAAAAUUAAGUCCUUAUACAAAUUCUAAAAACUGAUGACCCCAUAGACUACUUAUCCUUGCCAAUUCACACUGUUCCACAAUUUUGCAUGUUCACAUUGCUCAAAAUAAAACUAUUAUAGAUCAAAAGAUGCGUCUAGGUUCAAAGAGUUUAGCAGAUUUUUAGGAAUGCUAGUUGAAGGGUGAGAUGAAGAAAUCUACUUGUUGCUGAGUAAGUUGAGGAAAAUGGUCGAAAGCAGGACAUCUUGCAAAGGAAGGAAGAAGAAAUCGGUGUCCGUUUCUCACUUUGAAAUGGAGCUUAGAAGGUUGGAUUGUUCGAUUAGUUAUGGAGAUUUUGUGUUCACUUCCAAAAAGGGUGGCAAAAACUAUUGGGAGCUAAUUUUGGUGGAUUGAUGAAGAUCAAAUCCUCUCUUGGAAUGUUAGAGGGCUCAAUGACAGGGAGAAAUAAAAACUGCUUAAGUCAGUGAUUAGGUCUCAGAAGAAAGAUUUGGUUUGUCUUAUUGAGAUGAACAUGCAGGAGAUGUUGUUAAAGGUGGUGAAAAGUCUGGAUGUUGGUAGGUUUUUGGACUAGGGUGUAGUUGAUGCUAGGGGAGUGUCCGGAGACAUCUUGAUUUUUUGGGACAAUAGAGUUUUGGAUCUUCUAGAGCUAAAAUGUGGAGGUUUCACCAUCUCGAGUAGUUUUAGGAAUGUGGAAGAUGGUUUUGUUUGGGUAUUCACAGGUGUCUAUGGUCUAGUCCUCUCAAGGAAGAGAAAAAAAAAAAGACUUUUGGGAUGAGUUGGGUGUAAUUAAAGGUAUGUAGAACGAUCCCUGGUGUGUAAGAGGGGAUUUCAACUCUGUUAGAUUUCCAAGGGAAAUGAGGAAAGAGGUCAGUUUAACGGCAAAGAUGAGAAGAUUCUAUUAAGUCAAUGAGGAACUAAGACUAAAAGAUUUACCCCUUUCUGAUGGUCAGUUCACGUGAUGUGGUGGCUCAAACUCUCAAGCAGCGUCAAGGUUGUAUCAUUUUUUAGUUUUUAAUGAAUGGGAGGACCACUUUUCAAGUGCCUUCCAAUGCGCUCUUCCUAAGAUCGUCUCUGAUCACUAUCCUAUUACACUAGAGGGUGGAGGGGUUAAAAGAGGUAAGACUGUGGACCCACAUUUUUCACGUGCGUCCCCACUCGAUCGGCGAGACUCGCUUUUUAUUACUAGUGAAAAAAUAAUUUUGGAAAAAGUCGGAAUCGCCACUUAUUUUAUUUUUAUUUUAAAGGGAAAAUAAAACAAAAAAGAAAAACCUUAAAAUGUGACUCCAUAAUUUUUGGAAAAAACAUGUCUUUGAAAAACCUGAGUUUAGGUCCAGGGAUCAAGUUACUUAUUGGGAAGGUACCUCUAGGAGGUAGCACCCCUCUAAGCCUAAAAGAGGUCUCUACUUACUAAGUUGGGGGAAGUGUGGCAAUUAAUUAAUUAAUUGAGGAUACCUAGAUAGGCUAAGGUGAUUUCAAAAAUAACAUGCCAAACAUGAUCAAAUUACAAUAAAUGAGAGUUAGGGUGCAUACCUGGACUGCUUCUUAAGCGCCAUCUAAAGACAUCAAUGAUUAGUUUGGAAAAUAAAACGCACAACAUAUAUUUUAUCCUAGUCUCUUAAUCAAACAUGGCAAGCUAAACAAACAAUAAAAAAGAUAUGUUGAAAAAUUUGAGAAUCGCAUACGAAGCAAUACAUAACGAUCAUAUAUAAAGCAAUACAUAAUUUAUGGAAUUAAGAUACGAAGGUAAGAAGCAUACCUGAAUAGCAUGGGUAACUCAUAAUGCUCUUCCACAAGACAUGAGGGGUUAGAUAAUAAAUAAUGAGAUAAAUUCUAGCAUGCUUGUUAUCUAAUUAGCAUAGCAAAAAUUAUCAGAGUAUACUAAUUCAUCAAUUAUCACAUAGUCUUGUAUAUAAUUCCUAAAAAAAUUGAUAUGAUUGUAACAACCAACAAAGGUGGUAGCAAAAAUAAGUUUUGAAUAUAUUUUUUUGUGUAGGGGUUUCACCAAUUCCCCAAUUGAUAUACACAAAUCUAACCUAGAAUUAUCCCAUUUAUGUGGGACCACAAGCUUGGAUUCGUGUUUGAUUUAAAACCAAAAUUUUCAUUAAAAAAACCGAGAAAGAUGCAAACCAAUAAAAAAAAAUGGUUGCAUAUUAUUUUAAGAAAAUGGGGUUUUUGAUUCUAAGGACUCUAAAUGAAUUUUUAAAAUAGGUUUUUAUAAGGAACAUUUUGGGAAAAGUAUUUUAUUUUAAAGGGAAAGACAUUAUUCACAAACAAACGAUUCGCAAAGGUCAAAUAUAGGCAACCCAAAAUAAAACAAAAUCACAAAGUAAAAUUUUCUCAAUAAUCAACAAAACUAAUAAAGGUGAGGGUAGAGGCCAAUCUUCAUGAUUUGCCAAUGGCCUCUAAAAAUUAAUCUUCACAAAAAAAUAUCAAAGCAAUAAACUAAAUGAUUUUAGAUCAGAUAAGAUUAGAAGAUAUUAAUCAGGAGUUAAAAAUGGGGAAUCAAACACAGAAGAAUAAUAAAAAAACUAACAUAAGAUCAAUUAAGCUAAUUAACUAAAAUUUUAGAGAAACAUAUGAACUAAAUUAUGAUUAAUCCAAGAAUGAAAAUUUAUACAUUUAAGAUGAAAAUAAUACAACUUAAGAUCAAUUAAAACAGUUAUCUAAAGCUUUGAAAAAACAUACAAACUAAAAGUGGACCAACCAAGAAAUAAAAUUAACAAGUUCAGAAUAUGAAAAUGACAUGGAACCAAUCAACUUAAACAACCCCAAGUCUUAAAAACUCACGUACUAAAAGAUGAAAUAAAAAAAUAAGAUUAAUAUUGGAAAACAUAAAUUCAAUUGCAUAGGAUCAAUUAAACUAAUAAACUAGAAUUCUAAAACCACUUAAACUAGAUAACAUGAAUCAAAACAAGGAUAAACAAUUUUAAAAGACAUGAGAUUAAUUACAUGGAUCAGCCAAAUUGAUAAACUAAAAUUAAAAAAAAAAAAAAAGAACCUAAACUAAAUAGAUAAAUCAAAACAAAACUAAAGCAAGGCUAAAAACAUGAACUUUAUCAAUAGAAUUGGUUAAAUUAAUGAACUAAGAUUAUAUAAAAAAAAAAAUGCAAACCAAACAAAUAAAUUGCAAUUAAACUAAAACAAGAUCAGAAGCAUAAAUUUUAUCAAUAAAAUUAAUUAAUCUAAUAAACUAAACCAAGAUUAUAAAAAUACAUCAACUAAAAAGAUGGGACAAAACAAAAUCAAAACUCGUUUUAAAAAACAUAAACCUUAUCUAAUAAAAUUAUUUAACUAAUGAAUUAAAAUUACUAUUACAUUCAAACUAAAACUAAACUAAUGUGGAAUUAAAAAAAUAAACUUUACUUUACAAAUUACUUAAACUAAGGAAUUAAAGUCACUAACACACUCGAAUUAAAUCAUAAGCUAAAAUUAAGUUAAUCCGGAAUUUUAAAAAAUAAACUUUACUUCACAAAUUACUUAAACUAAGGAAUAAAAAUCACUAACUCAUUUAAAUUAAAUCAUAAGCUAAAAUUAAGUUAAUCCGAAAUUUAAAAAAAUAAACUUUACUUCACAAAUUAUUUAAACUAAGGAAUUAAAGUCACUAACACAUUCAAAUUAAAUCAUAAACUAAAAUUAAGUUAAUCCAGAAUUUUUAAAAACAAAUUUUAUCUCUCAAAUUAUUUAAACUAAGGAAUUAAAGUCACUAACACAUUCAAAUUAAAUCAUAAACUAAAAUUAAGUUAAUCCGGAAUUUAAAAAAAUAAACUUUACCUCUCAAAUUAUUUAAACUAAGGAAUUAAAGUCACUAACACAUUCAAAUUAAAUCAUAAACCAAAAUUAAGUUGAUCCGGAAUUUAAAAAAAUAAACUUUACUUCACAAAUUACUUAAACUGAGGAAUAAAAAUCACUAACUCAUUUAAAUUAAAUCAUAAACUAAAAUUAAGUUUAAAAAAUAAACUUUACCUCUCGAAUUAUUUAAACUAAGGAAUAAAAAUCAUUAACACAUUCAAAUUAAAUCGUAAACUAAAACUAAAAGGUGGAUUAGAACUAAACUAAUUGAGAAUUUAAAAAACAAAAUAAACUUUAACACAAAGAAUUAAUCAAAAACUGAAAUUUGUUUUAAAAGAAAUCUAGACUAAAUAAGAAUAUUAUAUGGAAAACUAACCUGUGAAGUGAAAGAGAAAAUCCCUUCUUGGUGACUAAGGUGAUAGCCCGGUCUCUGCCUGAAGUCCCUUGCUCUCCUCUAAAGUUCCGCGUGAAAAUUCUUUCUGUCUCUUCCCCUCUGAAAAAAAGUUCCUUAUGCUUGGAUUCUCUCCUUUAUUUAUAAGGCAACCCACUCCUUAUGGAAUAUCUUAUUUCCAUUUUUUCUACAUGCCCGUGGAUAUGGGAAGUCCAUUAUGUGUGGCUCACUUGGACAUUUCCCCAAGGAUGCAGCCGUAUCUUGUUUGGUAAGUGAUCAGAUCCCUUUUAAUCUUCUUUCCAUAUGCUCCCGGAUUCCUUCUUAAAGCAAAUCAUAUGCAGCCCGGAUUGUUCUUAAAGCCGUGAUCUGCCCACUUUCUAUAUGCAGCCCGGAUUCCUUCCAAGUUUCCCUAUUUGGCCGUGAUCUCCUCUCCUUGAUGUCUUCAAUUGUUUCCUUAUCUCCUAGAGCCACCUUUCCUUAAACUCUCCCAAAACGUAUCUUCCAAUCUCAAUAUGGUAUCCAUUCCAUCUCCAAUGAUCAAGCAUCCAAGGAAAUCCCACAUUCCAAAUAUCAAUACCGUGCACAUCUUCCAUACAUUUCCUAUAAAAUUUCAAAUAAAUAAGGACAAGUAAUAAAAUAAUAAUAAUAAUAAUAAUAACAAUAACAAUAAUAAUAAUACUAAAAAAAAUAAAAAUAAAAAUAAAUAAAAAUAUUUACACAAAAUUAUUAAAUUAAAAUAGAUAAGUAAGGACAAGCAUUAUGGAAAAAGUGACAAAAUAAUAAGGAAAUAAAAUAGAUUAAGAAAUAGACAAGAUAAUAAAUAAAAUAAAUAAGAAUUAAAUAAUAAAAAGUCAAGUCAUGCAACUUUAAAAUAAACAAGUCAUGCAAGUCAUGCAAGCCAUACAAAAAAUGCAAUCAUGCAAACAUGCAAAAAAUUGCCUGAAAGGUGACCUAAGUGGGCCUAAAUGAGCCUAAGUAGGCCAAGUGUAUCUAAAUGGGCUUAGGGUGUCUAAAUGGGCCUAGGGUGCCUAAAUGGGCCUAGGGUGCCUAAGUGGGCCUAGGGUGCCUAAGUGGGCCUAGGGUGCCUAAGUGGGCCUAGGGUGCCUAAAUGGGCCUAGGGUGCCUAAAUGGGCUUAAAGUGCCUAGGUGGGUCUAGGGUGCCUAAAUGGGCCUAGGGUGCCUAAAUGGGCCUAAGGUGUCUAAAUGGGCCAAGAGUGCCUAAACGGGCCUAGAGUGUCUAAGUGGGCCUAGAGUGCCUAAGUGGGCCUAGAGUGCCUAAGUGGGCUUAAGGUGCCUAAGUGGGCCUAGGGUGUCUAAGUGGGCCUAGGGUGCCUAAAUGGGCGUAGGGUGUCUAAAUAGGCCUAGGGUGCCUAAAUGAGCCUCGGGUACCUAAAUGGGCCUCAGGUGCUUAAAUGGGCCUUAUGUGCCUAAAUGGGCCUAGGGUGUCUAAAUGAGCCUAAGGUGCCUAAAUGGGCCAAGAGUGCCUAAACGGGCCUAGAGUGCCUAAGUGGGCCUAGAGUGCCUAAGUGGACUUAGGGUGCCUAAAUGGGCCAAGGGUGUCUAAGUGUGCCUAGGGUGUACUAAGUGGGCCUAGGGUGGUGCCUAAUGGGCCAAGUGUAUCUAAAAACUAUCCUAAAAAUGAAUGAAAAGCCUAAGUCUAAAUUAGGGCUGCCAAGGGUCACAAUAAGGGGUCAGAUAAUCCCUAAACCAAAGUCUCCGAGGUGGCUAAAAAAAGGUAAGUAGUGUGAGUAGCUAUGGGCCACCAAGGAACUACUGUAAAGUAUCGAAUAAGUAUCUAAUAGGACAUGUGCUAGGAGGACAAAAUUGAGGGUCUACAAAGACCCAUUUCCGUUUUGAGAAUAUGUGGCUAUUAUCGAAUGGUUUCAAAGUGUUAGUGAGGAAGUGGUGGACCGAGUACUUGAUUACAAGGAGUAGUAGUCAUUGUCUUGAUGAGACAUUGAAGGGCUCUUAAAAAGGAUCUCAUAGUGUGGAAUAAAUAAAUUUUUGGCAACCUCUUCUUUAAAAAAUCAGAAGCCUUUUCUCGAGCUCAUUUUUAGGAUUCCAAGAGAGAGUUAAUCCCCUCUCUAUUAAGGAGGCAAAGGCUAGAAAAGAGGUUGUCAAGGAGUAUAAGAAAUGGUUUUUAUUGGAAGAAGCUUCUUGGAGACAGAAAUCUAGGGAAAUCUGGUUAAAGAAGGGCAACAAAAACACCAGGUUUUUUCACAAGGUGGCCAAUGCUCGGGCAAGAAGGAAUCUAUUAUCCAAGGUGAAAAUUAAUGGGGUUAUUUUAACUAACAAUGAGGAUAUCAAGGCUAAGGUGUGCAGGGCUUACCAAACUCUACUGACUGAAAAUGGGGACUGGAGACCAAGCCUUGGGAAUCUUCAAUUUAGAGUGUUGGAAAAAGAUAGGUCCAGAAGUUUAGAGGAGCCUUUUUGGAAGAAAAGGUGUUUAAAGCCCUUUCCAACCUUUGUGGUGAUAAAAAGUCAAGUCCAGACAACUUCACCAUGGCGUUCUGGCACUUCUGUUAGGAUUUCACAAAAGUUGAGAUUAUAACCCUCUUUGAAUAUUUCUUCUACCUUGGCACAUUCCAAAGGAGUUUAAACUCCACUUUCCUAGUUCAGAAAAAUGGGUGCAGAAGAGUUGAAAGACUUCAGACCGAUUAACCUGGUUGGUGGACUAUACAAGUUGUUUGCCAAAGUCCUGACAAACAAGUUAAAGUCAACCAUGGGGAAGUUGGUUUUAGACAGUCAACAGGCCAUUAUGUGGACCCGCAUUUUUCACGUGCGCCCCCACUCGAUCUGCGAGACUCGCUUUUUAUUUGUGAAAAAUUAAUUUUUGGAAAAAAAGUUGGAGUCGCCACUUUUUUUAUUUUUAUUUUAAAGGGAAAAUAAAACAAGAAAGAAAAACCCUAAAUGUGACUCCAUAAUUUUUGGAAAAAGCAUGUCUUCGAAAAACCCGAGUCUAAGUCCGGGGAUCAGGUUACCUAUUGGGAAGGUACCUUUAAAAGGUAGCACCCCUCUAAGCCCUAAAAAGGUCUCUAUUGACAAAGUUAAGGGGAGUGUGGCAAUUAAUCAGUUAAUUAUAGAUACCUAAGUAGGCUAGGUGAUUCCAAAAAUAGCAUGCCAAACAAGAUCAAAUCACAAUAAAGGAAGGUUAGGGUACGUACCCGGACCGCUUCUCAAGCGCUAUCAUAAAACAUAAGAGAUUAGUUUGGAAAUAUAACACAUAAUAUGUAUUUUAUCAAAGAUGAUCAAACAUCAAGACAAUCAAUUAUGGCAUUAGACAUGGUCAUGAUUCAUGAUAACAUAUAGAAUUUUAGAGUUGAAGGGUAGAAGGAGCGUACCCGUUUAGCGAGCAUCCACACGUCUAUGGGAACAAGGGUAUCUCAACAAUAGAUAUAAAGUGAAUUCAAGUAUUGCAUCAAGAAGAAAAAAAAUCAACAUAUCAAGCAAACAGUAUUGAAGUGAGUGUUAUGAAUGUUGGGCCCCCACCAAAGCCCUAAUUAAUUUCGCAUGAGUUGAUCCCAUAAAUUCCAUGACUUGAAAUUAUGGAGUUUGUUCGUGCUUAAGAAAAUCGAGAAAAAUCAAGAAGAUCGGUUGAAAAUCAAAUAAAAUAGUGAAAGCGCAUGCCAGAAGAAAAAUGGCAGCAAGAGUAUGUUAGAAUAUGGAUUUUAUACCUAGAAAGGAUCUAAGAUGAAUUUUUCAAAGCCAGGAAUGUUUAGUUGAACAAUGAUUAAAAAAUUCAAUUUAAAAAAAUAAGUUCCCAAUCAAGGAAGCAAAUAGAGGAGAAGAUGUGUAUAGCAAGGUUGCCAUGAAGUGAAGCCAGGGAAAUUUUGGAUAGAAGGGACCAAUUCACUGCAAGAGCGUUCAACUGUCAAAUGCUUCAACGAGCCAAGCUAUCCAGGUGGAGUGUUAAUCGUUGGCCACAAAUGCUAUCCGAAUAAGCGUUAUCGAAGGAUCCGGACAUGUCUGUCCAGGGGAAGUUGAAUCGUCCUCAUCUCCCAUCUGGUGGCAGGCGCCGGAUGUGAAAUAUCUGGAGAAGGUGGAACGUCGGUCGGAUAGAAUUGCGGCGGUGAGAUAUCCGGAGAAAGCGGGGUGUCGGCCGGAUAGAAUGGCGGCUAUGAGACAUCCGGGUGGAAUUGGGAUGUUGGCCGGAUAGAAUGGCGGCUGUGAGACAUCCGAAGAAAGUGGGAUGUCAGCCGAAUAUAAUGGCGGCUGUGAGAUAUCCGGAGAAAGUGGGAUGUCUGCCGGAUAGAAUUGCGGCUGUGAAACAUCCGGACAAGGUAGAACGUUGGCUGGGCAGAAUUCCGGAUGUGAGACAUCCGGGUGGAAUUGGGAUGUCGGUCGGAUAGAAUUGUGGUUGUGAGAUAUCCGGAGAAAGUGGGAUGUCGGCCAGAUAGAAUUGUGGCUGUGAGAUAUCCGGAGAAAGUGGGAUGUCGGCCGGAUAGAAUUGUGGCUGUGAAACAUCCGGACAAGGUAGAACGUUGGCCGGGCAGAAUUCCGGAUGUGAGACAUCUGGGUGGAAUUGGGAUGUCUGUCGGAUAGAAUUGCGGCUGUGAGAUAUCCGGAGAAAGUGGGAUGUCGGCCGGAUAGAAUUGCGGCUGUGAAACAUCCGGACAAGGUAGAACGUUGGCCAGGCAGAAUUCCGGAUGUGAGACAUCCGGGUGGAACUAGUGAGAAUUUCCGUCCGGGUGGAAUGAGCGAUGCCACAAACCAAGAACCCUCAAGAACUAUGGUAACCUCUGCAUCUGUUUAACCCCAAGAAAAACCCGUUUUACACAGCCUUUAUCAAGUUCCCAUCUUUCUUGGAAUGCUCAUGGUCUCCAUAUCCAAGAAUACCAAGGUAAAGAGAGGAAAGAAACGUAGAUACAGAAGCACACAAAAAGACCAAGAAAGAAAAGAAAAGAAAAAACAGGGGAAAAGAAGACCACCAGUGGGUAUUUUGAAGCCAGAUUGGGACAUAAAUGGGGGCAAGACCCAUAACAUCAAAUUCAAAGGUAAACCUAUAUUCAGAUUACUUUCAGAGGAAACCAAAGACAUUAAAAGGAAUAUUAAAAUAGCAUAAACAUGCAAGUAAACCAGUCUCAACUAAUCAAAUUGUGGCCCUUGCGUCCACACCAAACGACGAGAAUGAAUCUUCAGAAAACUAAGAAGUCAGGAAAGAUUGAAACCAAAUGGUGAUAUAGCAAAAAUCUGGAAACAUACCUGCACGUUCUCCUCUCCAAUUGCUUGGUUCCAGGCUGCUGCACCUUUUCCCGACUGAAAAAUCUGCUCCCCAAACCUUUUUCCAUCCACCAAUCUUCUCCCUCUCUAUACAUGUUCCAAGUCCCUCUCUUCUAUGCUUCCUCUUCCAAACCCCUCUCCUGCCCCCCAAACCUUUUUUCGUCCGCCAAUCUUCUCCCUCUCUACACGCGUUCCAAGUCCCUCUCUUCUAUGCUUCCUCUUCCAGACCCCUCUCCUGCUUUCUUUUCUCGCUAAUGCCCCACUUGUUCUUUUUCUUUUCUCCUUAUAUUCGUAUCAGCCUCUCAAACUCAAUCUGCUCAAGAGAAUCCACUUUCCUUUCUUCUAUUUCCCUUCAUUUUUUCAAAAAUCAAAAUGCUUCUCUCUUCUCAUGCAGGAUCUUCUCUUUCCAUAUGUAUGCAGCCACAUUAAUUCCUUUUUCCUCACAAAAUAUUUCUCUUACCUUUUUGAGUGCACAUACCUUAGUGAGAGUUGAAUAGCAACCCCUAUUCUCUUAUCAAGUCAUACAAAAAAGUGGGUCUAAAAGUGCCUACUGGGCCAAGUGUGUCUAAGUGGGCCUAGAGCGAUGCCUAAUGGGCCAAGUGUACCUAAAAGCUAUCCUAAAAAUAAACGAGAAAGCUUAAGUCUAAAUUAGGGCUGCCAAGAGUCACAAUAAGGGGUUAGAUAAUCCCUCAACCAAAAUCUCCGAGGUGACUCAGAAAAAGGUAAGUUGUACGAGUAGUAAUAGGCCACCAAGGAACUACCGUGGAGCACUGGAAGUGAAUUUAAAGACAUGUGCUAAAGGGACAAAAUUGAGGGUCUACACAUUAUUCAAGGUAGGCAUAUUUUCGAUGUUGCCCUUAUAGCAAAUGAGGUUGUGGAUUCUAAGUUAAAGGUCAACAUUCCUGGCCUUCUCCUAAAAUUGGACAUUGAAAAGGUGUUUGACCAUGUCAAUUGGGACUAUCUUCUUUUUAUUAUGGCUAAAAUGGGGUUUGGGGAAAGAUGGAUUAGCUAGAUUAGUUAGUGUAUUUCCAUUGCUAGCUUCAGUUUUAAUCAACAGAACUCCAUUCGGCUUUUUCCAUAACACUAGAGGCUUGAGACAAGGGGACCCGUUAUCUCCCUAUUUUUUCAUUUUGGUCAUGGAGACUCUCAAUCAAUUGCUAUCUAGAGCCAGUUGUGGGGACUUCAUUAAGGGGUUUAAGGUGGGAAGAAGUAGUGGGAAGGGAGAGACUUGCUUCAUUUCCCAUUUGCUAAUGACACUCUAAUUUUUUGUAAUGUCAAUAGCAACCAUCUGAGAUACUUGAGUUGGGUGUUUUUGUAGUUUUAGGCAAUCUCGGAUUUAAAAGUGAAUAGAGAUAAAAGUGAGGUUAUUACCAUAAGAAGGUUAGAGUCUUGGGAGGAUGUUGCUUCGGUGAUGGGGUGUAGAGUUGGGAAGCUUCCCACUUCUUAUUUGGGACUCUUUUUGGGUGCCUUUUUCAAGUCUUCAAGGGUAUAGGAUGCAAUGGAUGAGAGAUUUAGAAAAAAAUUGUCUCUAUGGAAGAGGCACUAUCUCUCUAAGGGGGGAAGGCUCACCUUGAUAAAAAGCACUCUAUGAGGUCUUCAAAUUUAUUUCCUUUCUCUCUUUGUUAUUCUGCGGAAGGCGUGUGUAAGACUUGAAAAGAUUCAAAGGGACUUUUUGUGGGGCGGUGGUGUCUUAGAGAAAAAACCCCACUUGGUGAAUUGGAGCUUGGUUUGUACUUAUAAAAGGAGGGGGGCUUGGGAAUUUGUAGACUUGUGGUUCUAAACAAAGCCUUACUUGGGAAGCGGAGUUAGAGAUUUGCAGUAAAGAGUGAUACCUUUUGGAAACAAGUCAUAAUCAACAAAUUUGGGUUAGAGGAAAGAGAGUGGUGUUCGAGAGUAGCAGGGAGAGGCUACGGUGUGGGGGUGUGGAAAGCCAUUAGAAAAGAAUGGAAGAGUAUUUGUUGCAGAUAUCGCUUUAUUGUUGAGAAUGGGAAGAAGGUCAAAUUUUGGAAGGACUUGUGAUGUGAGGACUAAACAUUGAAAGAAGUUUUCCUUAACUUAUACUGGUUGGCUGUUAAUAAAGAUGAGUGGGUGUCAAAUGUUUGGGAAGGGAGUGAGGAGUUGGGUUGUUGGAAUCCUCACUUCCCCAGGCAUUUUAAUGAUUGGGAAUUGGAGAAAGUGGAGGGUUUGUUCCUGAAACGGCAUCCUUUGGUAGUGAGAAGAGAAGUGGGGGAUGUAUUGAGUUGGAAAGAAAGUAGGGAUGACAUUUUCUCUGUUAGAUCCCUCUACCAUUCCUUCACAAGGGCCUCUAGUGAUCCUUUUCCUUAGGAUAUUAUUUGGAGGUCUUGGACUCCAAUGAGAGUACACUUUUUUUCUUAGGAAGCAUCUUGGAACAAAAUUUUAACCCCUUGAUCAGUUCAAAAGAAGGGGAUAGAAUAUGCCGAAUAGGUGCUACUUGUGUAACGAGAAAGAGGACACUAACAAUAAUUUAAUCUUAUUUUGUGAAAAAAUUACAAUGCUUUGGAGUUUGAUUUUCUCCAUUUUUGGUGUGUAGUGGGUUUUGCAUUCUUCAAUUAAAAGGAAUUUGCUUAAUUUGCAUGAUGUCUUUGUGGGUAAGAAGAGGGAGAAGGCUUGGAAGGCUGCCCCUUUAUGUUUAAUGUGCACCUUAUGAAAGGAAAGAAAUGAAAGAGCGUUCAAUGAUAUCGAACAAUCAAACCAAGCUAUAAAACAUUCAUUUUUGUAUACUCUUGUAAAUUAGGUUAGGGUAUUUAUAGAGGAUCAUACUUUGUCUAUGAUUGAUUUUAUAAAUUGACUAUGUCUAGUUAGGAGAAGGUUUUUUGGCUUCUUUGCCUAAUUUCUUGGGCGUUCUGAUUGUAUACUUCAUUUGUACUUUUUUUUUGCCACUUCUAGGCGUUUCUAAUACAAGCUUUAUUUACCUAUAUAUAUAAAAAAAAAUGCUUCCACUCCUUUGCCUUGCUUUUGAAGUAAACUAGUUUUAUUUUGACCAAUUAAUGUCACACGGCUUUUAUCUUACCUUCUAUCCUUCAAGCUUUUGAAGCAAAUAGUUUGACCAAUGUCACACGACUUUGACCAUCUCUUCCAGCCUUCAUUGUGCUCUCGUCCACCUAAAAAUGGGAGCAUUUUCUUUACCUGUUGUAGAAGCAACUUAUUCCCCUCGUUUACUGCAAGUUUUGUAGUAAAAAAGCAUCAUCACCAAACACUUGUCACUGUUUUUAGUUAUUACUAUUGGUCAUGAUUCUCUUGUGUUUAGAUUUCUUAGUCGUAUUCUUCAGUUAUUAUUAUUAUUAUCUGUUUGUUCAUGAAAUAUUCAUCUGUAAUAUCUAAUAUUAUUUUAAUAGAUUGAUCAAAGCACCUUUUUUCUGCAAGUUAAUUAUUUGAAGUUACAGUUGAAGUCUUUAUAACUUACAUCUCUUCGUCUCUCUGCUUCUCGAUAAUGACUUCUUCUGUUUUUUUUCCUUCUCCUUCUUCCUCAUCUCUCUACUUAUUGACAAUGGCUAUAUAGCUCACAUCUCUUCAUCCCUCCACUUUUCCACGAUGGUUUUUUCUUAACUCAACUCCCUUCAUCUCUCUUUCUCAACAAUGGCUUCUUCUUCUUCUCGACAAUAACUUUAUAACUCGUAUCUCUCUACUUCUCAAUAAUGGCUUCUUCUUCUUUACUCAAAUCUCUUCAUCUCUCUCCUUCUUGACGAUGGCUUUUUCUUCUCAAUAAUGGCUUUAUAAUUCAAAUCUCUUCAUUUCUCUACUAAAUUCCUGAUAAUGGUUUUUUCUUAACUUAAAGCUUUUCAUUUCUCUCCUUAUCGACAAUGUCUUCUUCUUCUUAACUCAAAUCUCUUCAUCUCUCUACUUCUCGUAAUGACGUUUUCUUAACUCAAAUUAUCUUCAUCUCUCUCUUUCUCCUAACUCAAAUCUCUUCAUCUCUUUCCAUCUCGACAAUGGCUUCUUCUUCUUCUUCUUCUUCUUCUUCUUCUUCUUCUUCUUCUUCUUCCCACUAUGAUGUCUUUCUCAGUUUUAGAGGUGAAGACACUCGUAAUUCCUUCACUGCUCAUCUCUAUAGGCAGUUGUGCCAGAAGGGAAUCAACGUUUUUAUAGAUGAUGAGAAGCUUAAGGGAGGGCAAGCCAUAACCCCUGCACUUGUUACAGCUAUCGAGAACUCCACUGCUUAUGUCGUUCUUUUAUCAGAAAAUUAUGCGUCAUCUAGCUGGUGUCUAGAGGAGCUUGUGAAUGAGUGCAGGAGAACAAAGGGACAGAGGGUUCUUCCAAUUUUCUAUAAGAUCGAUCCAUCAGAUGUGGGGAAUCAAAGGGGGAAAUUUGGAGAAGCCUUGGCUAAACAUGAAAAGAAUUUGGAGGGUAGGGAGAUAGUGCGGAUUUGGAGGGAUGCUCUUACUAAAGUUGCCAAUUUAUUUGGUUGGGAUUCAAGGAAUUGGUAAGUUUUUAAACCCUGCAUGUAUUUUUAAUAUGUUUCUAUUAUUAUUAUUAUUAUUAUCAUCAUUAUUAUUAAAAUGAAAAUUGGUUAAGGAAAUAUUAUGAAUGUAUUAUGAUUGUCCACUUAGACUUAAAUAUAGACUUUCAUAAUUAUAGAAUUACAUCUAUUAUGUGAAACCUUUUAUCUUUAAGUCCAAUCUAAAAUUUAAAAUAGAAUAUGAAGAUUUAGAUACUUAGGUGGUGUUUGUUUUUUUACUCUAACUCUAAAUAGAACUUUAAUGCUUAGAGUGCAUUUUGUAGUGAUUUUAGGAAGUGUUUUUACUUUUUUCAACACUCAAAAUUUUUUAUCUUUCAAAUAUCAAAAAUACUAAAAACAUUUCUUAAAAUCACGGUCAAAUGCACUCUUAAUAAUGUUAAGUAUUAGACUAUUUAUUUUUGUAAUAUUUUAUAUCUAUUAAAUAUUAAAAAGUAAAGAAAAAUCAAUAUGAUACUUUUUCUAUUUUUAAAAAAUUAAAUAUAUUGGUUUUUGUACCUAACAAAAUGUUUAUAAUAAGUUAUAAAAAGUAAAAAAAAAAAAAACAAUUUAAAAUUAGAAAGAAAAUUAUUUUUAGCAAAAAAUUAAAAAACCAAACACUCUCUUAGAGUUGGCAUAAGUCAAACUCCUUUUUGAAUGUUUUAUUUAAACAGUGAUUAGUAAAUUUCUAAACUUGUUUCCUUCCCGAAAAAUAAGGAAAAGAAAAAAUUACUAAAGAAAAUUGCAAUACUAGCGGUCACCAUUUAAACCAACGGAUCAUGCCUAUUAUUCUUUGUUCUGCAAUCAUGGCAGGAAUGAGGCUAAGCUUAUUGAGAAAAUUGUCCAGAGCAUUUUGGAAGGCAUGGACGAGCCUUUGAGAAAAUCAAUUGAUGAUGGUAGGGACCCAGUGGUACGAUUUUUUUAAGAAAAUGAGCGAAUUUAUUCUGAGAACUUUGAUACAAUCGACUAGUAGAAUAACGGCUCGUACUCAAUUAACUAGUCGCCAUGGUAGUGAUAUCGUGAGAAAUUUGAUACAGUAGCUAAUUCAAUAAGGGCUUCUAUACAAUCAGCUAAUCCCAAUGAUAUCAUGAAAGAUUUGAUAAAAUUAACUGCUGAAAUAAGGGCUCUUAUAGAAUUAAUUGGUCCUGAUGAUGAUGCUAUCGUGAGAGAUUUGACACAAUUAGCUAGUGAAGUAAGUGCUCUUAUGAAAUUAAUUGGUCCCCUCGAUGAUGCUGUCGUGAGAGAUUUGAUGCGAUUAGCUAGUGAAGCGGAGGCUCGUAUACUAUCAAUUAUUCCCAAUGAUAAUGGUAUCAUGAGACGUUUUGUAGGUGAAACUCAUCAGGUACCUUCGCGAGCAGACAAAAGGCUUCAAAGGCGCAUGGAGCAAGUGCGUUCCAUCUCUUCUGACCAUGUUGGAGAAGAUUUGAAGAGACAAGGAAAACUUCUUUCAAAAGUAUCAGGGUGUAAAAAUCUAGGUUUGAAAUUCCUAUAAGGGCAAGUUUUCUGGGUUUAACACGGAGCACUACGAUAAAGGCAAGACUUCGUGCCAAACAAGUCCUUAUUGUUCUUCACUACGUGAAUGAUUCAGUAGUCAGCAACUAUGCCAAUGCCUCCAUAUUGAUUUUAAUACUAGAUUCUUGGAAUCUCCUGUAUGUGCUGCUUUUGCAGUCCUGUGAUGAUGUGUUUCAUGGCAGCCCUGCUACAAUAUUUUGUGAAUCGAAGUUGAGUGAUCUUCGUUCCUGUGAGGUGGCCGCAUUGGCAAUCCACUGAACUGGGGUGAUGGAGGUCGUUCUAGCGGAAGUGGUAGGAGAAGAAGCAGGAAAGGGAAAAACCCUAAGAAUGGAAGAUUUUGAAGAUAGGAGGUGAUAGAUAAGGACUGACUCCCACUGCUUGCCAAGGAGCUGAAGCUUUUGAAUUAAAAGGCAUUUUCUUGUAAUAUAAUAGUAUGUUCUUGGACUGAUUUACAUGCUCUAUUUUGACUUCAUCUGCACGGUUCUAAUCAAUAUUAAAAACUUGAAUAUUGUUUUAUUCUAUAAUUAGCUUCUUUUAUUUAUGAUCAUAUUCACUUAAGUACUACUUUAUUCUCUUAUUCAUGUUCACAUAUUAGUAUUCAUAAGAUUGAAAGGAUCCACUUGAUAGUUUUAUUAGUAUAAGGAAAGUCGCAUUGUUCUCCCAUGUCUUGAAAAAUCAUUUGUAUUACUUCCUAAAAAAGCACUUGAUAGACGAUUCUCUGAAAAAUACUUUCAUUAAAAGCACUUUAGAUAAAAAUACUAUUAAUUAAUCGCACUUUACAUGAAUUUGUGGUUCUAUGGAAAAAUAUAUCCAUGUAUAUUAGAACAAGCAUAAUUAUGAUGCAUAUUAAAAGAAAGGCAUGUUUCCACAGUAGUGGAGAAGAAAGGAAAAGUAGUUUGUAUUUUCUUAAAGGAUUCGUGUGAGCAAGUUGUCCACCAAACCUUAUAAAAAAAUGGUUAAAAUAAAAGUCAUUUAAGAAAAAUAGUUUAUUUCUAAAUAUGCUUUCAUGAGUAAAAGUAGUUUGUAUUUUCCUAAAAGAUGCAUAUGUGAGCAAGUUGUCCACUCAACCUUAUAAAAAACGGUUAACAUAAAAGUACCUUAUAUCAAAAGAUGCCUUCACGAGGAAAAGUAGUUUGUUUUUACCUAAAAGAUCCUCUCCUAUUGUUAGAAGAUUCUUAAAAUAAAAAAAUCCUCCACGAAGUUGCUUCUCACUACCGGGCAACCUCCUCUCAUCUUGUUUUAGUUGUUUCAAGCUCUUGUUAGAAGAUUAUUAAAAUUAUCUUUCUUUAAUAUUGCUGCUCAUGAAUGGAACCUACCAAAAGACUUGUGUGUGGACAAUAUAUUUGUUGUUUUAGGAUUUCUUUUUAAUGAUGAAGCAUUUUCUCAAACCUUGGAAUCAAUCGAGCUAGCCUAGUAUGAAGUCUAAAAAAAUUUGAACAAGCAUAAAUUCUACUUUAACCUAAGGUUGGUUAGGGAAUGCUUGGGUCCUUGUUUUAACCAUCUACAACCUUCAAAAAACAAAUUUGAUAUCAUUCAUUUCAAUUCCUAAUGUCCUCAUGUUUACUCACUUUUUUUUACCAAUCCUACUAUAUAUAUACCCAAGUUGAAAAAGUCCAAACUAACUUGCUAUUGACCUAGGUACCUUUUCAAAAUAUUGGUCCUUAUUUCUCAUUCUAUAAUUAUUAAGGAAAAUAAUUAAAAAUAUGUACAAAAUCAAAAUCAAUCAUGACAUAAUAGAAAUUAUAAAGAACAUGUACACAAUCAAAUGCAUAAUGAAAAAAAAAACUCACUCCAAUUUGCAUUUUAAAAAAUAAGUUAAUUUCAUUCACCUCAUCCAAAGUUUUCACUAAAUACACCUAACCUCUAUCGAUUUGAAAUUUCAUCAAGUUUUCAUAAAUCAACACCCUCUCCAUGUUCCUCAAGUUUUCUUCAUGUUUAGUCAAUGCUUCUCCAAAAUUUCCAUUUGUGAUAUCUUACAUGUGAGGGAUCCACAUUGUAGAAAAUAGGGAGAACCCUCUGUCCCUUGGUUCUCAUGCACUCUAGAAUCUUCACCAGCUCCUCCAAACACCACCUGGAAGAAGCAUAAUUUUCUGACAAAAUGAUGACAGAAAACUUGGAGUUUUCAACAUGGUUUUGAAAACCGAAUCGGACUGGCCGGUCAUGGUUUCGGUCCAAUCAGGUCAUGAAUUAGACCGGAAAUAGGUUGAACUAGGAUCGAACCUAUUGAACUGGUGGUCCGACCAGUUCACCGGACAAACCGGUCUGUUCGAUUAAAAUUUUUUUUUUUUUCAGCAUCAAAACGAUGUCGUUUUGAUGUUUCUGGAGUCAAAACGAUGUCAUUUUGGAGGACCUUCUUCCAAACCCUCCAUCUCCGACAAUUGCCGCCCACCCCCAACGCGCUGCAACAGGCUCCCACCAUCAGCCAUUUCACCUCAAUGGCAACCAAAGCUCUACUUCCUCCUCCAACAAUGGCAGCAAGAGCAUCAAGUUCCUCAAGAAGACUCUCUCCUGCACAGACACUAGUUCAAUGCUUUCUACUGAGGUCGUCCCAAAAGGGUUUCUGGCCGUGUGUGUUGGGAAGGAGCUGAAGAGGUUCAUCAUCCUGACAGAGUAUCUGGGUCACCAAGCAUUUGGGGUUCUGCUGAGGGAAGCCGAAGGAGAAUUCGGGUUUCAGCAGGAGGGUGUGCUCAAGAUCCCAUGUGAAGUGGCUGUGUUUGAGAGGAUCUUGAAGGUGGUGGAAGAGAAGAGAGAUGUGUCCUUCUUGUAUGAGUUUGGAUUGAAUGCGGAGAAGGAGAUGAUUGGUUGUUGUUCAUCCUCAGAUUGUGAGCUCACACCUUCUCACCAUCCUCAAAUGAGUAGGUGAUCAGAAGAUGAGAAGAUCAGAUCAUAUCAGAUUUCCUCAAAUUGUUGCUUGUCCCACCCAAUUAGUGAUUUAAAUUUCAAUUUGUAAUAAUAAAUUGGCCGAGAAGAAAAGAAAUAGGCACCGGUUGUAGAUCGCACAACCCCCCUCCCCGACUAGUGGUAGUAGCUGCUCCAACGAUUUAUUUUUAUAUAAUUUUUUUUUUAUGUUUUAUUACUUUUAUAUUUAUUAUUUAAUGUGUUAUUUUUAUUUAUUGAUCAUAAUUUUGAUAGAUAUCAUAAAAAUUUAGAUAGAAUUUAUUUUUUUAUUUUUUUUAUUUUAAUAAUAUAUAAAAUGAUAAAAUAUAAAUUUAUGACGUCACCGAUUCGACCGUCGGUCCAAUCAGUGAACUGUGAACCGGGAACUUUUCCGGUUCAAUGACCGGUCCGAUUAUAAAAACAUUGAUUUUCAAUAGCCACAACAAGCGCAGAAGCUAUGACAUCACCCCUCUCAAGCUUGUCAUUGUCGAUGAAAGUGUCGACUCCUUUGGUGCAUAGCUCCUUAUAGAGAUGGGCAGUGAAGCUAUUGCAGGUGUCUUAUCCUCUAAAGCUCCGGAAACAUAUCAUAACUAUUAGAAUUUUUGGGUUGUGUAUUAAUGGUGUUACUGACAAGUUUUUGAAGAGUGAUGGAUGUUGGGUUAUUGUUGCUGGUUUAUGCUUCUAAUUUGCUAUGAAUAUCUAUACCUACAUACUUACAUUCAGUUCAUAAAUGCAGUUUCUUCUUUUAUUCUACAGAAAGGUUGCAGUCUUAUAUGUAGUUCUAAGUGUGGUUGUGAGUUUAAACCAGCCAUGAUUCAAAUUAUUUGAUACUUUCUUUUCAGGGAACACACUAUCCAAACUAUUUUCGUAACUUCAAAAAUAUGAGUAAAAUUGGGCUACAGCCAAUAAAACUGAAUGAAUUUCUCAAAUUAAAUCAGAAGUAAACAAGCUUAUAAAGUCAUCUUCAUAGAGAGUAGAUGACAAUUGGAGACUCUUCAUUCUCAAAGUUUUUGAACAUCAUGAAAAAUUAUUCUUGGAAAAUCACUAGUGGAAUGCGAUGACCAGGUCAAAUGCUCACUACCAAUCAAAUAAAAAAUUCAGGAACCAAAAAUACAAAUUCUACUUUGCCUUAUUCUAAAACCUAAUUCAUUAGGUACGUUAUAAUUAUCAAAGGCAUUAAAAUCAAUACCAGCAGGGUUCGAAUCAUAUACUCAGAAAAAUGGUGACAAAUAGUUUAAUGAUAUAUGCAUUGUAUAAAAGUUUUAAUAAGUUUCUACCCAAUUUAUCACAUAAAAGAAACCAACUAGGUUCAUAAAUAACAUCAGACAAGUAUAUAAAAUAAUUCAUAAGAAAGCAAGAUUCCAAGCUCCUGGAAUCGCUGCAUUUGCAAAGGAGUUGCUCUGCAGAAAGCAAGAAAAUUAACUCCCUCCAUGGAAAUUCUGAUUCUGGCCUCUGCAAAAGAGGAACAGCUUGUCACAUGGUGUAACUCAAGAUUCUUAUCAUUUCCACCCAAAGAAAGUUUUGAAUGUUACAAUUUGCCAUGAUUGUCAAACUCGUGUUAAACAAAAUGUAGAAGAACCGGAUUUUAUGACUCAAACAUCAUAAAUGUUAGCAAAUGUUCCUGCAGUUUUUAUCCUAGUACUCAACAUCAUAAGUUUCUAAUGCUUAUAACACAAGCAAAACUACUACUAUUAAAAUUGAAUCAUUCACAGUCAGAAAAGAAGUAUGCUGGGUGAUUCAUCAGGCAACUUGCAUUCAUCACCCAACACCAACUUUGCUUCAUUUUCUUAAUCAAACUCCCCAUAUUCGCCACCAAGUGCUAAAUAAAACUCAACACUGUCAACAACUAAUUUUGAAGGCUUAAUAACAAAUUUCAGCAUAAUCAAAGGUCAGAUUCAAACAAAAAUAUCUGCCUAAAAUAUCAAAGAAUACAAGAAAAAAUGACAAAGAGAAUUUCAGUUGCUUCAAUCAAUAUAUCUCAAUAAGAGAAAAGUUGAUGACUCACCGAAAAGUCAGACAGAGAUAUAAUAUAUAGACAUGAUUGGAGGAGUUCGCUGAGAAUUAUUGACGAAAAAUAUCAUCACUGAUUUUGAGAAUGCAUGACCAAAUCAACAGAAAAGAGAAUUUUAUUGGAAAAAAGACCUGGAUGAUGGUAGUCAUUCUUGAGGACGUUUGCGCUUGAGCUUGAGCGUGGGAUCAUUGGUGGGUCCAUCACUGCAGCCACUAGAACUAGAGUCCAUUCCACUUCGAUUGAGUCCUGCUCUGUCACUGCUUCUCUCAACUACAUUACACCCCCUACUCUUAAGCUGUUUUCUAUUUUGUGGAUGGAUUCCUUCAAGAUCUUCUGCAUAUAUAAGACAUACGCCACACUUCUUCACCACAUUGGAUGCACUUGAGUUGAAUCUGUGGGCUGCUUCAAAAGAAAUCUCAAUGUGAUUCCACUCAUUGGGGUCAUUGAAUUGAAACAACCUCAACUGGGAACACGGUUGAUAACCCAGCCAGACAUGUUCUGACCCAACAAUGUUGCCUGUCCAAUGGAAAUCAUGGCCGAAGUCUUUCAAGUCCCCAUAAUUAAAAACAUCAGAAUUCAAAUGGCAUAUAAUUCUCUCAGGAAGAUGUUCAAGAACAGAGCAGAGAGCAAAUCCCAAGAAGUCAUCACUAUACCAAUUUGUAGGUAGCUGAAUUUUUAUAGAAGAUCCCACAUUCUGAUGCCAGAUCCACUCAGGAAUCCCAGUGCCAGGAAAAACAAUACUAAAUGCAAUAUUUUCAAGCAAUUUCUGCAUCAUAACAGGUGAAGUAGUCACAGAGGAAUCAGAAGCAGUGGAAGACACAUAAAUAUGUGGAAAUAUUUGUAAUUCUGUCCUCUUAUCAUCACUGGAUUGGUCCUCAACUGGUUUGGAGCAAUUAUAGAAUAGGAACUGUAGCCCUUGCAAUGUGCUUACACUUGAUGAGCCUGGCAAAAGAGACGUGCAAUUGUGUGCAUCUAUGUCUCGGACACUUGGUGGAAGCUCCGGAAUUCCUGUGAGACUCUGGCACUGCGCCAAUCGAAGGUCUUUUAGGUUUGUAAGUUCACUGAUGCCAGCAGGUAUGCUUAGAAAAUUGUUCCGGCUUAGAUCUAAUUUCUUCAAUGAGAUUAAGGAGCAAAUACCGUUGGGGAUUGCUCCUUCUAUUAGUUUGCAGUCACUUAUGUCUAAAUUUGAUAAGGACCUGAAACUAGAAAAACUAGAAGGCAAGCGCAAACCAAUCCCAUUUGAACUGUUUCCAUGCAAUAACCAGAAUGAAAAGAGCGAACCCAAUGAGGUAGGUGCUAAUAUUUUACAUCCAGGAUAGAUCAAUACUUGCAGGUUUCUCAAAAGAACAAUUGAGUCAGGAGGUUGUGCUAUAGCAGUUCCAUCUGCAUGGAGCUGUGCUAGACGUUGCAGGCUCCCGAGGUUCCUCGGCAAAUUGUUUAAUUAUGAACAACCAGAGACAAUGAGUGUUUCAAGAGAUGUCAAAUUACACAUGCCGUUUGAAAGACUCAGAAGGUUUUUGCAUUUCCUCAGAUUCAAUAGAACGAGGCCUUUGAGACGUUCAAUUGAUGAGGGUAGCACUUCGAUAGGUGUCCCAUCUAAAAGAAGCUCUUUCAAAUUGUCCAUAUUCUCCGUCACUUCUGGAAAACUUUCAAGUUGUGAACAUCCAGAAAGAGAGAGAUUUUCAAGGGAUUUCAACUUACAAAUACUUGUCGGAAGACUCUUAAGAUUUUUGCACCAUUUCAGAUCCAAUAAAACAAGUCCAGUGAGAUGCCCAAUUGAGGAGGGAAGUUCCUCAAUAGCAGUUGAAGCUAAAUAAAGCUCCAAUAAAUUUUCCAUGUUACCUUGAAUAUUUGGAAACUUCUUGAGCCCUGAGCAGCCAGAGAAAUUGAGAAUUUCAAGCGCUUUCAUGUCGAUGAUGCUUGGAAAACAAAUAAGCUUUUUGCAAUUUUUCAAAUUCAAUAAAAUAAGCUUGUUCAGCUUUCCAAUAGAUGGGUGAACCUCAAGCAAACUUGAACAACCAUCAAGAAUUAGUUUCUCCAGAUUGGGCGCACUCACUGUGAUGUCUGGAAUUUCAAUGAGGUGUUGAGAGCAACUAACUCUUAUAGUAUUUAACUUUUCAAGAAGCUGUAACAGGAAAAAAAAAAAAAAUUACUUUGAUAUAUUUGCUUUCAUGGACUUUAGAGUUUAACCAAAGAAGAAAUAUGAAUAAAUAAUCAAUCAUCAUACCAAGUCACCUUCCCAAAGUCGUUUUAAGCUGCUAUAACACAUGUCAAGUUCAACAAGGUCCUCUGCAUAAAAUCCUAAUGGCAAAGAUUCCAAAGGAUAACCAUGCCAAUGGAGAUAUCUUAGCUCAUGAGAAGGGAAUUCAAAGUCUUUAGAUAGCUUUACUUUAUUAUCCUCCCUCGUAGAAGCAGAUUCUAGAUCCCAAUGGAUUUUGAGUAGUCUAAGAUUCUUCAUCAUUGCAAAAGCUUCAGUAGUAAUAUGUAUCCGCGUCAAUCUAGACAAGUUCAGAAGUAUGCCUUCAAUUGCCUUUGUUCCCUGGUAAACAAGAGUAGAUGAUGAGUAGAGCAAAAUACAUAGAAGUUAAAUAAGACAUGUAACUUAAACAAAAAUGAUAUUGUUGAAGCUUAGGUAUUUUGAAUAACCUUAAACAUGAAAGUAUAUUCAUUUGCAUUUUCUCUUACCAUUUUUCUUGUCAAUACACGAUUUACAACCUCAGGAUAGCACAAUCUGCUCCAUUUUCCAGGGUCUCUAGGACAUUCUUGUCGAACAAUUUCUCGUCCCAUUUGUUGUAACAAAUCAUGCAUCCAUAUCUUGUUGUCUAAAAUAGUUACAAAGCACUUAUCACCAAGGACUCCUAUUCCACUCUCCGCAUAGAAGUUGCAAGCAUCUAGGAUUCUAGUAACAAAAUCUUUCUCCUCUCCAUUAAAGAAGCAAGCAAUAUCUAAGAAUAUCUGUUGUUGUGUGUCAUCUAAUUCAUCAUAACUUCUCUUAAGCACACGUUGGAUUUCUUGGUUAGGUUCCCUCUGCAGUUUUUGCAAUUCACUUUCCCAUUGACGUACUGUCUUGCCAUAUAGGAAACAACCCAAAAUCUUAAGACCUAGCGGAAGACCAUUAACAUAAUGUACAACAGAGUUUGAAAGUGUUUCAUAGUCUUCUUUGGGAUGGUUCUGUUUAAAUGCAUUCCAACAAAAGAGUUCAAUAGCUUCCUUGUGAUCUAAUUUCUUAGCCUCAUAUAAUGCAUCCAUUCCAUGCAGCUCCAACAAAUGCUUAUCUCUAGUUGUUACAAUAAUUCUACUUCCUGGACCAAACCAACUAUGGUCACCAGCUAAGGCUUCCAAUUGGUUCAAAUCGUCAACGUCAUCAAGAACAAGAAGAACCUUUUUAAAGCAUAGUCUGUCUUUUAUCAUAUGGACCCCUUCAUCAACAUUCCUUAUAAAGUUCUUCCUUCUUGGCAAGAUAUCAUGAAGAAGUUGUUUUUGUAAAUAAAGUAGACCUCGACUUUUAGAAUCCUCUCUAACAUUAGCAAUAAAGCUAGCAAUCAUGAACUGGGCACCAAUUCGGUUGUAUAAAACUUUGGCCAUGGUUGUCUUACCAAUUCCUCCAAAUCCAUAGAUCCCAACCAUGCGAACAUCAUUUGAUAAUGGAUCUAUUAUUUGUGGAAAAAUUUCUUCCAUUUCUUCCAAACGAUAAUCCAUCCCGAUGAGGUUCUUGUCAACCUGUAAGAGUUUCUGACUAAAUUUCAUCAAAAUAACGCAAGUGAUAUCCUCAAUAAAAUCUGCCUCAGACUUGCUGCCAGAAAGCACAUACAUAGGUGAGCUAACAGAGCAACAAAUGGUAGAAAACAUGAAGUAAACUUGAUUAUGCUUGGUUUAGUACAAAACAUGAAUUAUGGGCAAUUAGAAUUUGUUAAGGGGAUAAGGAUGAAUUAAUUAGAUGUUUCAAGCACCAUUAGAACACUAUAAGAAGAAGAAAGAAAAAAACCUUCUAAAUGUUGCCCUUUAUUUCAUCUUUGCUAACCUCUACCUAUACUGGAAGAUUACUCAACUCCCUUCUUAGAUGAUGUUGGCCUUUAUUUUAAACUUUACACUCUUCCUUUCAUAAGCUUUUUUUUCAUUAGGUCUAUCCUAAGUUAGCAUUUGUAUGUAUCAGAAAACACUAAAAAAUCAAGAAUAGUUGUUUGCCCAUACUAACAUAUUAACCUUAUAAAAGAAUGGAAAGAAAUAGGAAAUCAAUUAAAUUUUAGAUGGGCUUUGAUAGAUCAAUUUAAUGACUUGAUAACUUAAUUUAAGUCAUUAAUAGAUUAAGUAUGUUUAGCAAAAUAACUUAAUAUUAUAAUUUAAAGUAAAAAAUAAUUUUAAAUAUUAAGUCAAAUUAGGUUCUUUAUAAUCUGCAAUCCCUUUUACCUCAUGUCCUCAUGUUUAGUGAGAGUACUACACAAUCAUAACUCCACAUUCACAACCCAUCUUUUAUAGUAAAUAUUUUUUAACCAUUCUAGAUAUCUACAAUAUAUGUUUAACAAAUAAAUUUAUUAUUUAAGAUUAGUCAAAGUAAAUAGGAGUUAAAAUUAGUGAGAGUAAAUAUGAGUUAAUUUGAUGAUUUAGAAUAAAUUUUAAAUUAACUUUAUCAAACAACCUUAAUACUUAAAGUGAAAAUUAAGUAAUAUAUUUUAAGUUAACAACUUAAGAAUAAUUUAAUACUAAUUCCGUCUAAUCUACUCUAUCUAUCGGAAUUCUCCAUAUUAUAAAUUCACUUUAUUUUUUAGGAUAAGAUGCAUGUGCUGAUUAUAAAUUCUAGUAGAUUUCUGAUUUAUCAUUAUGUAUAGAAAGAUAAAAGGAUACUUGCAAAAGAUUAUGCGGAUCGAACAAGCUAUAUUUACCCAUUCUGUAUAUGCCAUCCAGAAAGAUUGCCCACUUCCCUCAAAGCUGCUCUCAACUUCUGUGUAUACUCCAGAGGAAUUUUUCUUUCAUGAUUGGCCAACGCUUCUCCAUAACUCUCCCCCUGAUUUCGCACAUCGGAAGGAUUCACAUGAUAGAAAACUGGAAAAACUAUUUUUCCCAUUUGUCGCCUCGACUCCAUGAUCUCCUUCAACUCGUCCAAACACCACUUGGAAUGAGCAUAGUUUUUCGAGAGAAUUACGAGAAAGCACCUUGACAUCUCAAUAGCUCUCAAAGUAGUUGGCAAAAUCAUUUCUCCCCUGAUAUAAUCCACUCUAAAGGUUCGAAACCCUUUCUGAUACAAAGCUGCAUAGAGAUGAUCUGUGAAAUUUUGUCUGGUAUCUUGACCCCGAAAACUCAAGAAAACUUCAUAUUCCCAUGGACCAAUACAAGUAGAAGUAGAAGAAGAAGACGCCCUUCGAAGAUCCAUCCCAACAAGCUUCUUCUCAACCUGUAAGAGUUCCCGGUUUAAACUCUUCCAAAUAGUGGAAGUAAUCAUCUCAAUAACAUGUGACUCGGGUCUGCAAGUGGCAAAGCAUGACACAUGGGGUGAGUCAAUGGUUGCAAACACCAGCAAAACAUGAAUUAAGUGCCCUGGAUCAUAUAUGCUUUUAGCUUUACUUAGAAAACACGAUUUAUCAUGCAAAGAAAAGAAGUUAUAGUUACCCAUUCCUUAAACACCAUCCGCUAAUCUUCGCCACAUUCCACAACGCUUCCCUCCACCUCUUUAUCUUCGACAUUCCUUCCUCGUCUGCCGUUCUUUCAUGAUCGGCUAAUGCUUCUCCAUAACUCCCCAUCUGUUUUCGCACAUUGGAGGGGUCCACCUGGUAGAAAAUCGGAAACACUAAUUGUCCCAUACACUGCUUCCACUCCAUGAUCUUUACCAGUUCAUCCAAACACCACCUAGAACGGGCAUAGUUUUUGGACAGAAUUACGACACAAAUCCUUGACUCUUCAAUAGCUUUUAAAAGUUCUGCUGCAAUCUCUUCUCCUCUUCGUAGCUCCUCAUCAUCUCUAAAGGUACGAAUCCCUUUCUGAUCCAAAGCUCUGUAGAGAUGAUCUGUAAAAUUAUGGCGAGUAUCUUCACCCAUAAAGCUCAAGAAAACAUCGUAAUUCCAUACACGAGUAGAAAUAGAAGAAGAAGAAGAAGAAGCUCUUUGACUUUGAGGGUCUGCAAAAGCCAUCCACUCUUUACUGUGAGAACUCACUCAACUUAACUUAAAUGGCAGGCAAUUUCUUCAUAAAAGGCGGAAAGAAAUGGCAGGAAAACACUGGUAGGUAGAAAGACAGCGAUGAACUCUGCCUUGGAAGGUCGGGAUGCUGUGUGCUAAAAUUGUUGUGAAGGUCUCCACUGUAUCCCGAAUCUUUUCUAUUGUUUACAAAUUAUUGUCCAUGUAUAUAUCAAAUAUAAAAAUGGAUUACAAUAUUUUUAAUUAUUAUUUUAUUUUAAAUGCAAGAAAGAAGUUUGAUUCCAGCUACCAUCCAUCCACAUACGAUGCCUAAAAAAAAAAUUGAUUGGGUUUAGCUUGACACAUGGGUCUGAACAAACCGGCUUUAGCAUUCAGGUUCUCAUGCCAUAUAUCCAUCAUCGUCUCCGAGGAAGAAAGAAAGCCAUGAAAUCUAGUUUAAAUGAAAUUAACCUUAAAGUAAGUGUUUAGUUUAGAUGUUUGCUAAAAAAUUAAUUUAAAACUUCAUCCGGUGAUAUGAAAUUUAAAUUUUAGAGUUUAUUUACAAAUUAUAAUUUAAAACCAAUUUAUUUUUAAAUAAUUCAGUUCUCUUGGGUUUUGUUUUAUAAAUUCAAUUUAUAUGACAUUAAUUUAAUUUAUAUUAUUAUUGAUUCAAUCAUGGCAGGUGGGGAUGGAGGACGAAAUUUCCUUCCAUUGACCUAAGAAAGAUUCAAGUCUUUUCCUCCCAAUAUUUAAAGACUCAUUGGGAUAUGUAGAUGACAAUGAGAAGGGAAUUAAUUGACUCAUUUUCUAAAAGGAGACACCACAAAAGCCCAAAGUUUAAAAUAAAGUAGCCUUUAUGCUGCCCAAACAAUUCACUACGUAUGACUAGCUCUUUCAACUACUACCACUAUAUGUUUUUAUCAUAAAUUAAUUUGUGGUUGAAAAAGUAUUUUAUGGUGAAAUAAUUUUUUUAUUAAAAAUUAUUAUGGUUAAAAAAAUAUUUUGGGGUAAAAAAGUCUUUUUCAUUAAAAAUUAUUUGUGGGGAUGCUUGAUAUAAGUUGGUGAGUAAUUAUUCUUAGGGUUUUGCUUUGAAAAAACUUGUGUAUAAAAUGAUUAUCUAGGAAUUAUAUUAAGUGAUUAUCUAUAUUUGUCACUUUUAAACUUUAAUAAAAAUUUAGUAAAAGAAUAGUUAUAAUUUAUUUAAUGUUACUAAAGUUAUAACUCUAAGACUGUAAAAAAAUAUUUUUGAAAUACAUUUGUGAAAGUGUUCAUUGGUAAAUUAGAAUAUAGAAUCUACUCUUAAUUUAAAAUAGUAUUAUUAAUUUCUUUGAUUGUAAUUAUAUUGUUAGUUUUUAAUUUAUAGUUGAACUUGUAUAUGCAAAGGAUUGGGUUAAACAUUGAUAGUAUUUUUUUAAUUCAUAAAUUAUUACAAUGUUAAAAUAAAUUUAAAAAUAAAUAAAUAAUGUAAAUUUUGAGGAGGGUACGAAAAAUGUGAUGAAAGUACAAAGAAUAUAAAAAUAGUAUAGGAAAUGUGAAGAAAGUACGAAGAAUUUAAGGAACGUACAAUGAAUGUAACGAGUGUAAGAAGAAUAUGAAGAAUAUACAAAAAAAAUGUGAGAAAAGAACGAAAAAUGUGAGGAAUGGAUAAAAAAUGUGAGGAAUUGAUAAAAUAAUGUGAAGAUAGUAUGAAGAAUGUGAGGAAUGUAUAAAAAAAAUGUAAGAAUGGUAUAAAAAAAUGUGAAAAUGGUAGGAAAGAAUAUGAAGUGAGUACGAAAAAUGGGAGAAAUAUACAAAAAAUGUGAGGAGUGUAAAGAUAAUAUGAGAAGGUAUAGAGAAUGUGAAAAUGACACAAAAAUGUGAGAAGAGUACUAAAAAUAUAUGGUAUGAAAAAACAAAGAGAUAUAUGUUCUUUUCUUAAAUGCGAUGUUGGAGUUAUAUUUUUUUUUAAUUAAAAUGUUUAAAAAUCUUAUAUUUGUUCUUAUCUUUUUAAAAAAUAUUUUAAUAAGAAAAAUGAUAUGGUUCAAAGCAAGCUUGAAAAUGACAUGUACAAAUUUCAAGUCUCCGAAUCAACUAAUUCUCAUUCAAAUUGUCAUUCUCAUGAGCCUUUUAAUCAUCCUAAUGUAGCAACUAAUAAUGCUAUUAUAGUACCUAUGCUACCAACUCUCCUAAAAGCAAUUGUUGUUAGGAAAGGUGUACCCUAACCUUAUAGUGCAUUCACCCAAGCGCCACACAAGGGGAAUUGAUGGAUGCAGCCAACCCUCCGAACUACUAACAAUCCCCCUCCCACCCCCAGCGACACCCCUGGGGUUCAAACCCAUGACCUCGGCUCUGAUACCACUUAUAGGACCUCAGACGCUACCAACUCUCCUAAAAGCAAUUGCUGUUAGGAAAGACGCAUACCCUAGCCUUAUAGUGCAUUCACCCAAGCGCCCACGGCGAACACAAGAGGAGUUGAUGGACGCGACCAACCCUUCACUCUGCCAACAACUAUCUCUAAGAUUUUUUAUAUUUGACAUUCUUGUUUAGGUCACCCUUCUAUUGAGAUUGUAAAGAAGGUGUUCUCACUCUCUAUUUUCUUAGUUGUAUCGUUUGCGUACAAAGGGUCAAGCUUUGUGAUUACUACUCAAAAAGUGCUAUUUCAUAGCUUGUAAUUAACUCUUUUAAACACUUUUGAGUAGUAGUUAUCACCUUUUAACCCAAUUAACAUAUUAAGGACCCUUGCAAUCAAUUCUAAUCAAAUUGUGUUAAGUUUUGGUGUUUUGAUAGCUUUUUGAUCACCAAAGCAAUCCGAGAUUGAGAAGAGUUCUUUGGAAUCCAUGGCAAAAGAUGUCCGGACAGGGCGUCCGGACACACCAUCGGAGGGCGGCGGAACGUGGGUUGUGGCAGGCUAUUGGAAUGACGUAGCAAGGCUUGUGCGCUUUAGCAAUGAUCCUGACAACAUAUCCGGAAUUCUGCUCCGUCGAUAUUACACCCGGAUGUCUCACAUCCGGAAUUCUGCUCCACCGACAUUCCACCCGGAUGUAUCACAUCCGGAAUUCUUCUCCGCCGACAUUCCAUCCGGAUGUCUCACAUCCGGAAUUCUGACGCCGGAUGGGAAAGGAGGGCGUUUCAACUUCCCCGGUCAGACAUAUCCGGAUCUUUUGAUAGCGCUUACCUGGAGAGUUUCGCAGCCAUUUUGCAUAGUGCCGCGGUGUUCUCCUGAAGCUUCCAAAUAUUUGCAACCGACAUUUUGAGAUAUUUUGCUUUAGAUAUUUGAUGUCUAAAUCCCCAAACUCUUCUUAUAACCCACCAAUUAUAGGAUUCCUUAGUUCUUAAGUUUGGAAAAAGGGUGAAUAACCCCUUAUAUAUAGUUUGUAAUCUUCUUUAGAAAAUAUCCAUCUCUCGGGAGCUUGUUCUCAGAGACGGAUCCUUUGUACAGUUUUGCAAGGAAGUAAAAUACAGAGCCUUUGCUCUGCCUUACCUUCUCGUUUUAAUUGUUUUGUAUAUUAUUUACUUUUUAUUUCUAGCCAAUCAAACUCUGAGGAUUUUUCCUCAGAGGAUGAGAGGCUAGGCUCUUCGUCUCUUGGAGUGAAGAAAGCCGGGUAAGUUUCCAUAUGCAUAAAUUGGAAGUUUUGUUGUUUUAGUUUUUAAUGAAGAAAAAGUGUGACCCGUUAAUGGUUUUUAUCUUUUUAGUUAACUUAAAACGCCUUUAAAUCACCUGGGCCAACACUUGAUAAGGCAAGUGAUCUCCAUCCAUUGAGAUGCACUAGUUUAUCUCUUGCGAGCCUUUGGGAAGUGGUUUAAAGGUAGGAUUUUCUAGAAUAGCCAACACUUGGUAAGCUUUUGGACUCCAAGGAGACAUCCAUUAGUUAUCUCUUGCGAGCUUUUGACGGGUAAUCCAAGGUUAAAGAUCACCUUGAAUGGUAAAUGCUAGGUGAGAGGCAUGAGCCAUUGCAAGGUGCAUCAGUGAGAGGGAUUUAAUGUUUGAACCCAUUAAAAGGAAGCAUCUGUACCACACCGGUUAGAGAAUUAACUAUAUGUUAAUUCUCUAAAGCGAGGAAAAGAAACAAGUGACCGGAACUCCCUUUUUGUACAAGGAAUCUAAGCCCAGUGAUCUAAACUCCAAGAAACACUUUUCUUUGUAAUUAAAAUCAGUUACUAUUAUUUUUGGUUAGCUUAAAACCAAUCCUUUUUCAAACAUCUUUAUGUUUUCUUUUAAAGCUAACCUUGAAAUGAAAAGGCACCAAUUCAUCUUUGAAUUAAUAUCAAUUGUGAAAUGAAAACCCAUCCUAGUGAACGAUCCUAGAGCCACUAUGCUAUAGUAGCUUUGUCUUUGCUACCCUAGUUCAUGGUGUAAUAGGUUAUAAAUUUUGUUGAUUACUCCCUGAGAACUACAAUCAAGGGAUACCAGCUGGACACGAAUCAGCUAAGACACCAAUUGGGAACGAAUCACUUUGUCAAUCAAUAUUUGUUCACUUCAAAAAUCUUGUAGAAAACCACUUUAACAUUAAGAUAAAAUUAUACCCAAUUGAUGGUAGGGAUGAGUUUAAACCUUCUCAUUCUUAGUUAAUCAUGACAUUAAACAUUGAUUGUCUUGUCCCAAAACUCCAUAGUAGAAGGCUCAGGUAGUAUGUAAGAAUCAUUAUGUUGUAGGUUAGCCUUGUUUGCUCAAGCAUUUAUGCCUUUCAAAUUUUGGGUGUAUGCAUUUCAUGUUGCUAUUUUUCUCAUAAGAAAAAUGGCUUCUUAUAUGUUAAACUUUCAAUCUCCCUAUCAGGUUCUUUUUAGAUCAAUUCUUGAUUAUUCUUCCUUUAAAUCCUUUGGGUGUCUUUGUAAUCGCUUUAUUCAUCUUUUUAAUAAAUAGAAACUACAAUAUUGGUCUACUAAAUGUCUUUUUGUCAGUUAUCACACUCCUCACAAAAUGUAUCUUUGUCUUUAUUAAACCUUUGAUAAAGUUUACAUCACUCAUCAUGUUGUUUUUGAUGAAUCUUGUUUUCUUGUGGUUGUAGGCACUCUCCCUAGUGUUUCUACUAACUCAUCUCCUUUCCUUAUUUUUCCACUUGCUUUUAUUCAUGUCUUUUUCUUCUCCUUCUCAUGGUUCCUUCAAUACUUUACAUUCUACUCAUCAUUCUUCUUUUGUUUCCCCUAUGUCAUCCCCUAUUCAACUUGUGGUUUUGGACUCUAAGAUGCAUCCAUUACCUCCAACUAUUAAUACUCAUCCUACGCUCACUCAUGUCAAAGCUGGUGUUUUUAAACCUAAGACCUAACAAGCUAAUGCUUCCAUUGAGUUAUCUAAUUUUUAGCAAUUUAUCAAGGAUCUUCAUUGGUAAAAAGCUAUGGAAACUAAUUAUGAUGCCUUAAUGGAGAAUGAUACCCAUACACUAGUUUUUCUACAUUCAAAAGCUAAUAUUGUUGGUUGCAAGUAGGUUUAUAAGUUCAAGUACAAUCCUAAUGGCAACAUUGAACAUUUUAAGUCAUGCUUGAUUGCCAAGGGAUUUCAUCAAACACCUGCCAUUGACUGGUUUUAGUCCAGUGGUCAAAGUGGCUACUAUUUGAAUUUUUCUCAUGAUUACUCUCUCAUUUGGUUGGAUGAUUUGCCAAUUAGAUGUGCAUAAUGCCUUUUUAUAUGGUGAUUUACAUGAGCAAGUAUUUAUAUCCUAGCCAUAAGGAUUUUUUCAUCCCAGUAUCUUGACUAUGUUUGCAAGCUUAACAAAGCUCUCUAUGACCUCAAAUAGGCUCCUCAUGCCUGGUUCACCAAAUUAAGAUUGGCCUUAAGCAGCUUGGGUUUUAGAUGUGUAAGGGAUGAUAAUUUAAUGUUUGUUUAUUAUUUAGCCUCAUAUCUUAUCAUUAUCUUGGUCUAUGUUAAUGGUAUAUUAGUUAUUGGUAGUAGCUCUACUCAAGACCCUCAAUUGAUUGUUUUCUUUAUUGCUUCCUUUCUUUAUAUGAUCUUGGUGUUAUCAAUUAUUUUUUUGGUGUUGAGGUCACUCAUACAUUUGGAGCCCUUCUUCUUACUCAACAUAAGUACAUUAAGGACUUGCUUAAUUGCACAAAGAUUCUCACUUGUAAACCAACUGCUACUCCUAGUUGUGUUAGUCCAACCUUGCCUCAAUUUGAUACUUGAUAAGUCCAUUUAGAGCAACUUAUUAUCUAUGAUUUAACUUGAUAUUUCAUUAGUUUAAGAGUAAUUUUAUCUCAACAAUCAUUAUUUUUAUUGUUUUAGGUCUCAAAUAGCCAAGAGUAUGAAAAGUGAGCAAUAUGAGGCAAAAUUGGAAGAAAAAAUGAAGUUUGACGGCCUCUUACGUGACAAUUUGCGUAACUCACCCGAGAAGAAAGCGCCAUUGCGGGAAGGACUUAAGCGCCACGGCGUACGCAUGUGGAAAAUCAUAGUUGGGGACUCGAGACAAAACCGUCGCAAUUGGAGAAGCUUGUCCGUAGCGGCGCCCAAAGGAAUUUCAGAAAUCCUAAGAACCCGAGACUAAAGCGCCACGGCGGGAGACACUGAGCGCCACGACCUGAUAUUUAAAAUUUGAAAAUUAUUCGUCCUUAUCUCAUUCUGUUCAGAUCAGAAUUAGGUGGGACAUCAGUUUACGAUAUUGGGGCUAUAAAUAGACGAAAGUAGGGUUUAUUUGGGGAUUUUGGAGACUUGGAAGAAUGAGGAUCUUGAAGACCUAGGAGAAGAGAGAGCUUGGAGAACAAGAAGGAAAUUUGUAGAUUUUCUUCUAUUUGUCUGGUUUAUUCUUCCAUUUUCUUUAUGAUUGUAAUUCAAGAUGUUUGUUCUUCAUCUUAAGAUGAACUAAUUUCCUUUGUCUAGGGCUGAGAUGUAGCUCAAUCACGAUUUUUGUUUUUGAUUGGUUUAAAUUAAUUCUCUGUUUUGCAUCAAUUUAUUUGUGUAUCUAUUCUGCGCUUAAUGCUCUCAAUUCUUAAGGGCCCAAGUUUUGAUUGAUUUUAUGAUUUAGGUUGAUAACGAGAGUUAGAAUCUAAAUUAAAUCCAUAGAAUAGAUUACGUUAGAAUGAAUGAAUAGUAGAGAUACAUUACCAUGUUUUAAGAGAUUAAUAGUUAAAUCUAUAAUAAUUCCAUAGAUCGUAAUUACUCCUUUAGACUUAAAUUCACAUAAAGAUAUGUUAGGUUAGUAAUUUAAGGAGCAAUCUGAUACAUUUUGAGAGAAAAUAUUGGUUGGCUUAGGGAAAUAAAUCUCCAAAUAAAGCAUAACAGGAAUUAGGUCAAGCAAUCAAUUGCAUGAAAAGUGUUUGUAGUGAAAUCAAAAGCCCUAGAUCGUUUAAAUCAUAAGAGUUUGAAUUUAUUUUCUUUAAUUGUUUAAGUUGUUUUCUUUUACAACUUUAAAUAUUUGGUUGAUCAAAUAGUAAUAGAAAUAAUAAAUUUUAGUAAUUAGUAGCAUAGUCCUUGUGGGUUCGAUAUCCGUACUUAGGUACAAUUAUAUCACUUGAACAAUUCGUUUACUUACGAACCAACACAUCAAGUUUUUGGCGCCGUUGUCGGGGACUAUUUGUUACUAAUAUUAAUUCCAGUUAUUUAUGUGCUAAUUUGAUUUAUUUUCUUUUUAUUCUCACUCAAUUGUUUUUCUUUUUUUAGGUUUUCUUAAUGUGUGAGACGUACAAGGAGUCUGAACUUAGUACCAAUCGACCUUGAUAUCAACAAAACACUACGAAAACUAAAUCGAAAACGCAAGCAACAAGUAAUUCAAGAGGUUCCUGCAAUGGGGGAUGAGAAUCAUGUUGAUAAUGGAGUCCCAAACAGGGUACUCAAGGAUUAUUAUGUUCCUAAUGUGGGUGUCUCAAGCAUUCGAAGGCCACCCAUCCAAGCUAACAAUUUUGAGAUCAAACCGGUAAUUAUUCAAAUGAUUCAAUCUUCGAUUCAAUUUGGAGGAUUGGCCAAUGAUGAUCCUAAUCUACAUAUUGCAAAUUUCUUAGAAAUUUGUGAUACCUUCAAGCAUAAUGGUGUGACCGAUGAUGCAAUAAGACUUCGAUUGUUUCCAUUCUCUCUAAAUAACAAGGCUAAGGCAUGGUUAAUUUCAUUACCUCCGGGGACAAUCACUACAUGGGAUGGACUAGUUAACGCUUUUCUUACUAAAUCCUUCCCACCAGAAAAAUCUGCAAAAAUGAGGAAUGAUAUAACUAACUUUUUACAGCAAAAUCAAGAGUCUCUUUAUGAAGCUUGGGAAAGGUUCAAAGAUCUUUUAAGAAAGUGCCCACACCAUGGCUUACCAAUGUGGAUGCAAGUGCAAACGUUCUACAAUAGUUUGCACCCUAAUACUCAAACCAUGGUGGAUGCAGCAAGCGGAGGAGCUUUUAUUAAUAAGACAUCGGAUGAGGGAUAUCAACUUAUAGAAGUGAUGGCUAGCAACAAUUUCUUGAAGUCUACGGAUAGAAAUGCACAAAAGAGGACAGUCGGGGUUCAUGAUAUCGAUGCUUUUAAUAAUUUGGCUGCUCAAGUUGCAAUUUUAAAUAAUAAUUUUAAGAAACUGAAUGUUGCUACUGUUUCUAAUCUAGUUUGUGAAAAUUGUGCAGGUAAUCAUCAUAACUUAGAGUGUCAAGUUGGAGGCCCAUAUGAAGCAAAUCCAUCCAAACAAGUGAACUAUGUGACCAAUAAUCAACGUCAAUACAAUCCCAACUCCAAUUAUUUCAACCAAGGGUGGAGGAAUCAUCCGAACUUCUCAUGGAGUAACAACACUCAUGUGCAAAAACCACCUUCCGGUUUCCAAUCUCAAGAUAAUAAGCCAAACUUGGAAGAAGUUUUCACCCAAUUUAUACAAAAGACUAACGAUUUUAUUGAUGAUACUAAAGCAAAUUUCAGGAACCAAGGUGCAAGUAUUCGCAACCUUGAGCAUCAAGUGAGGGAGAUUUCUAAGUUAUUGACGGAGAUAACACAAAGAGCACUUCCUAGUAUCACAAAGACGAAUCCUAAGGAGCAUGUAAAGGUCAUAACUCUUAGAAGUGGGAAGUAGUUAGAACAAUCAAAGGAAGCCGAGUAGCAAGCAAAUAAGGAGAAUACUUCAGUUCCCAAGGAACAAGAUGCUUCCACUUCUAUAUAGCCAUCUAUUCCAAAACCAUCAUCUAAUGCCAUUCUUUUUCCUCAAAGGCUGAAAAAACAAAAUUUAGAUAAGCAAUUUUCUAAAUUUAUUGCUAUUUUUAAGAUCUUACAUAUCAAUCUUCCUUUUGUAGAUAUGCUGGAGCAAAUGCCGAAAUAUGCUAAAUUCUUAAAGGAGGUGUUAUCAAAUAAGAGGAAAUUGAUGGACAAUGAGAAUGUGAUGCUCACUGAAGAGUGCAACACCAUUCUUCAAAGGAAGCUUCCUCCUAAGCUAAAAGAUCCAGGGAGUUUCACUAUACCUUGCACUAUUGGUGAUUUUUAUUUUGAUAAAGUUUUAUGUGAUCUAGGUGCAAGUGUUAAUUCGAUGCCUCUUUCUAUUUUCAAGAAACUUGGACUAAGGGAAGUAAACCCUACUACGGUAUGUUUGCAGCUUGCGGAUAGAUCUAUCAAACAUCCAAGAGGCAUUAUUGAGGAUGUUUUGUUAAAAGUGGAUAAGUUUAUAUUUUUGGCUGAUUUUAUUGUAUUAGAUAUGGAAGAAGACCGGGAUGUUCCACUUAUAUUAGGAAGACCUUUUCUUGCUACAGAUAGAACUCUUAUAGAUUUUCAUCAAGGUAAGUUGAUUUUAAGGGUUCAAGAUGAAAAAGUUACGUUUAAUGUUUUUGAGGCUAUGAAAUUUCCAUCUGAUAUUGAUGCAUGCUUUGCAAUCAGUGUUUUUGAUAGGGUGGUAGCUAAAACAUUUCAUGAAACUUUUCCCACUUCACCUUUAGAAAAUUGUAUAAUGAAUGGUAGAAAUUUAGGAACUCUUUGUGAUGAUGAUGAUGAUAUAAUUGAAUGUGUUAAUAAUCUUGAUGCAUUGCUAACUUAUGAGUUUCCAAGAAAGUUAAAAUUUGAGGAAUUAGAGGCCAUUCAUGUUAACAAUCAUACAUUAAAGAAGAAGCUUCCUAAACUUGAACUUAAAUUGUUGCCAUCUCACCUCAGGUAUGCUUUCUUAAAAGAUUCUAGUUAAUAUCCUUUUAUUAUUAACUCUUCUUUGAAUGAUUUGGAGGAAUAAAAACUAUUAAGAGUUUUGAGGGAGCAUAAGAAAGCUAUUGGAUGGACUAUUGAUGACAUUAAUGGAAUAAGCCCAUCGAUUUGUAUGCAUAAGAUCCUAUUUGAAGAAAGCUACAAGCCAACAGUUCAACCACAACGAAAAUUAAAUCCAUCUAUGCAAGAAAUGGUUAAGAAAGAGGUUGUGAAGCUUUUGGAUGCAGGUAUAAUUUACCCAAUCUCGGAUAGUACAUGGGUAAGUCCAAUUCAAGUAGUUCCUAAGAAGGGAGGUAUAACUGUAGUGAAGAAUGAUAAUAACGAACUUAUCCCCACAAGAAUGAUAACCGGAAGCUUAAUGAUGCCACAAGAAAUGAUCACUUUCCUUUACCCUUCAUUAACCAAAUGGUGGAGAGACUUUCCGGUCAUGAUUAUUAUUGUUUUCUAGAUGGAUAUUCAGGAUACAAUCAAAUCCCCAUAGCACCGGAAGAUCAAGAGAAGACCACUUUUACAUGCUCAUAUGGCACUUUUGCUUACUGACGAAUGCCAUUCGAUUUAUGCAACACUCCGGCCACUUUUCAACGUUGCAUGAUGUCCAUUUUCUCUGAUAUGAUUGAAAAAUGCAUUGAAGUGUUUAUGGAUGAUUUUUAUGUUUUUGGUUCUUUUUUUUAUGAUUGCCUUUCUAAUCUUUCUUUGGUUUUGUAGCGAUGUGUUGACACAAACUUGGUUUUAAAUUGGGAAAAAUGCCAUUUUAUGGUAAGAGAAGGUAUUGUGUUAGGACAUCGAAUUUCUGUAAAAGGAAUUGAGGUGGAUCGUGCUAAGAUAGAUUUGAUUGAGAAGUUGACACCACCUACAAAUGUAAAGGGAGUUAGAAGUUUUCUUGGUCAUGCAGGAUUUUAUAGAAGAUUCAUUAAGGACUUUUCAAAAAAUUUCUAAACCUCUUUGUGAUUUAUUGGCUAAGGAUGCAGUUUUUGAUUUUUCUAAAGAAUGUUUAAAUGCUUUUGAAACUCUUAAGUCUAAACUGAUAUCUUCUCCUAUUAUUGUUGCACCUGAUUGGGAAUUGUCUUUACAUUGAUGUGUGAUGCUAGUGACUUUGCUAUAGGUGCUAUUUUAGGGCAACGGAAAAGUAAAAUUUUUCACGUGAUUUAUUUUGCUAGCAAGGUUUUAACAGAGGGUCAAGUAAAUUAUGCAACCACUGAUAAAGAACUUUUAGCAAUUGUUUAUGCUUUUGACAAAUUUCGAUCUUAUUUGAUAGGGUCUAAGGUGAUUGUCUAUACUGACCAUUCAACUUUGAGGUAUUUAUUUGCUAAGAAAAAGGCAAAGCCAAGGCUACUUUGUUGGAUCUUGCUAAUACAAGAAUUUGACUUGGAAAUCAAAGACAAGAAAGGAACUGAGAAUUUAGUUGCAGAUCAUCUUUCUCGGAUGAAUCAUGUGGAGCCUAAUGAAGAAGUUGAUGAUGAUAUUAAUGAAAGAUUUCCUGAUGAGCAACUUUUUGCAGUUGAAAAAGCGUCAUGGUAUGCAGACAUUGUUAACUAUUUGGCUAAGAAGAUUUUGCCUCCCAAGCUUACUUAUCAAAGGAGGAAGAAGUUUUUCUCAGAUCUCAAGUACCAUUUAUGGGAUGAUCAUUUCCCAUAUAAGCAAUGCGACGAUCAAAUAAUUAUGAAAUGUGUGCCGGAAGAGGAGAUGGAGAGUAUUCUGCAUCAUUUUCAUUCUCGUGAAGUUGGAGGACAUUUUGGAGCUACUAAAAUUGCAGCCAAAGUUUUACAAUCAGGAUUUUAUUGGCCUUCUCUUUUUAAAGAUUCAUUUAAUUUUGUUGCCAAUUGUGAUAGAUGUCAAAGGGUUGGAAUAUAUCUAGGGAAAAUGAGAUGCCUCUAAUAAAUAUUUUAGAAAUAAAAUUGUUUGAUGUAUGGGGUAUUGAUUUUAUGGGUCUUUUUCCAUCCUCUUAUGCUAAUGGUUUUAUUUUGGUUGUUGUAGAUUACGUUUCCAAAUGGGUUAAAGCUGAGGCACUGCAGACCAAUGAUGCUAGAGUGAUGGUUAAAUUUCUUAAGAAGAAUAUUUUUGCAAGAUUUGAUACACCAAGAGCUAUCAUAAGUGAUGGGGGAUCUCAUUUUUGUAAUAGUCAAUUUGAGUCACUAUUGGGUAAAUUGGAGUAACACAUCGUAUAGCUACUCCUUAUCACCCGCAAACAAGUGGUCAAGUUGAGGUAUCUAAUCGUGAGCUCAAGCGAAUUCUGGAGAAAACAGUUAAUUCUUCUAAGAGGGAUUGGUCAAGUAAGUUGGAUUACGCUUUAUGGGCUUAUAGAACGGCAUUCAAGACACCUAUUGGGAUGUCUCCAUAUCAAUUGGUUUAUGGCAAAUCGUGUCAUCUUCCGGUUGAGUUGGAGCACAAAUCAUUUUGGGUUGUUAAACUUUUGAAUUUUGACUUACAAACUGCAGGGGAAAAGAGAUUGUUACAAUUAAAUGAGAUGAAAGAGUUUCGUAAUAAUGCUUAUGAGAAUGCUAAGAUUUAUAAGGAUAAGGCAAAAAGAUGGCAUGAUAAGCAUAUUCAGAAGCGCAAUUUUGAAGUUGGUCAAUAAGUUCUUCUUUUCAACUCACAUCUCAAGCUUUUUCUGGGUAAAUUAAGAUCGCGAUGGUCUGGUCCAUUCAUAGUUAACAAGGUUUUACCAUCAGGAGCAAUAGAAGUUCAUCAUCCAUCAAAGGAGACUUUUACAGUGAACGGGCAACAAUUGAAGCACUAUUUGGGAGGAAAUUUUAGCACCGAACGGGUGUCUGUUGUGCUUUCAAUUCCAAAGUACAAGAGUGGAGAAAGUCUAGCUAACAACUUAAAUUUUAGCGCUUUUCGAAAGACAACUCGAUUUAUUUUGAGCAAUUUUUAUUUUCGAAUCUUGAAUUAUUUUUAGUUGUUAGGAUUUUUAUUAAUUUUGUUUUUAUUUUGUUUCAAAGUUAAUUUAGUUAGUGAAUUUUUAGAGUUAAUUGUUUGGUAGUUUAGGAUUAAUUUUUAUUUUUUUUAUUUUUAACUAUUUUUCCUUUAUUUUCAGGAGAAAAAGGGCUUUUUACAUACCCAGUGAAAGGAGCCGCAGCGGGAGGCAUUGAGUGUCGCGGUUGACUCUUCAAAUGCUACUUAUAAAGGACCCGAGGCUAAACCACUGCAGCUAGUAAGGCUUUGCGCCGAAGCAGUCACCCCCAAUUGAAUUUCUCUUAUAAAAAUUAGGGCUUUGCGCCGCGGCGAAAAGACUUGAGCACCGCUACGCGAUGAGUAAAUGGGAGUUUUAAAAGGGCCAUUUUCCUUCAUUUUUCACAAACAACUUUUCUCAUUUUCUCAUCUUCUCUCCAUUUUCUCUCUAUCCUUCGAUCCUAAUCAUAUUUAAACUCCGAAUUCUUUGUUUUCUUUUGGGAUUACUCAUGGGUUUUGGAGAUUUGGCAAGAUUAAAGCUUGAUUUGGUGUAAUUUUGGAAGGAAAAUUGCAUAUCCAAUCCGUCUUCUUGUUGGGUCACGAUUUGGGGUGAUUGUUUCUACCUUUUUGCUGCAAUUUGGACACUACUAAAUGAUAAAUGAGCGAUUUUUUUAUGUGCCCCAAAAAUUCAUCAAAAAUGGAGUUUUUUCUUUUCCUUACUUUAUUUUCUUUUGUUCAUUGAGGGCAAUGAAAGUAAUUAAGUUUGGGGGGAACGAUUAAUUUCUUCUGGGUUUAGCUAAGUUCAGUUAAAAAUGUUUUUUUCGAAACUUCUUGAUUUUUUAGCAUUAUUUUUCGAGUUGAUUCAUAUAGUCAAUGAUAAUAUCUUGAUUGCUAUGAUGCGUGGUUGUUAAGAUGAAAUUUGAUAUUGCUUAGAUUUUGAGGAUAAUUUGGAUGUUUGUUUUGUUUGGAUUUGAGAUUCAAUGUUGGUCUAGUAUGGUGAUUUUGAUAACAAUCCCAUUUUGCAUGCUUAGAGACAUUUUAUUUAGACAAUUGUGGAUGAUAGAACUUGGCUGAUUGUUACUCAAGGUGAAAUCCUAGAUUUUCAUGUUACUUAGGAGAUGAUUUAGGCCAUUUUUAGAUCGUUUGAGCUUUUCUUACCUUACCCAAAAUAUUUUAUCCGCUAGUUACCUAUUUGAGCCUUUUUAUAUAAUGUUAGCCUUAUUUUUCUUUCUUUAAGCCUAUCUUCCUACCUAUUUUAAGCCUAAACACUUAUCCUUACCCUUGAUGAGAAUAUUUACAUGUUUGUUAUUUAUUUUGUUUGAGAGCAAAAAUAUCUUAUUGAGGAAAAUAUGGAAAUGUGUAUUGUUAACCUAGUUAUAAUAGAGAAAUAAGUUUGGGGGUUUUGAAGAAUAAAAGGAAGAGUGUGCAUAAAAAAAAAAAAAAAUUGGCAUUAGGGUGAAAUAUGUGAAAAGUGCUUAUGAGCACGAAAGAAAGAAAAAGUAUGAAAAGUUUCAAGAAGGUAGGAAGUGAUGUUAAUAUUAAAAGCUCCUUGAGUCUGUUACAUUUUGUUCAAUUGUGAAUGUUCUCAUUCUUUGAAUUUAUCCUUUCCAUUCUUUGUGAGCCAACACCUUAGCCUAACAUUACAAGCUUAUUAAAGACCUUUUGAUCCGAGGUAACAUGAUGAAUAUACAUUAGUGUAGGAUAGCAAGAAAGCCAAGCCUAUGAGAUUCGAUAUCAUACAUUACUUGUUAGAGGUCGACUUUGUCUAUAAUUGUUUUUAUAAAAUCAUUUAGGUAGUAGAAUUGAUUGUUUGAAAGGUUGCUUACUUGGAUUUUUCAUAAGAUUGAAGGUUUGAAUGGAAUGAAUGUCUGAGUAAUCCUUCUUGAUUCGUGCCCCGUUAGUGUACCUUGAUUUUUGGUCCCCUGAUGGGAGUAAUCAACAAAAUUUAUAACCUAUAUCACCAUGCACUAGGAUAGCAUAAGCUAGUAUAGCAUAGUGGCUCUAGGAUCGUUCACUGGGAAGGGUUUUCAACUUACAAUUGAUACCAAUCCAAAGUUGAAUUGGUCCCUUUUCAUUUCAAGGUUAGCUUCAAAAGAAAACAUAAACUUUGGUUGAAAAAGGUUUGGUUUCAAGCUAACUAAAAAGAAAGUAAUGGGAAUUACUUAUAAAGAAAAAGCGUCUCUUGGAGUUUUAGGAUCACUGGGGUCAGGCUCCUCAUGCAAAAACAGAGUUCCGGUCACUUUGGUUCUUUUCCUCGCAUUGGAGAAUUAACAUAUAGUUCAUUCUCCAACCGGUGUUGUACAGAUGCUUCCCUUUUAUGGAUUUUAGUACUAAUUCCCUCUCACUGAUGCAUCUUGCAAUGGCUCGUGCCUUUCACCUAGCAUUUACCAUUCAAGGUGAUCAUUAACCUUGGAUUUCUCUUCUCAAGCUCGCAAGAGAUAACUAAUGGAUGCCUCCUUAGAGUCCAAAAGCUUACCAAGUGUUGGCAAUUCUAGAAAAUCCUACCUUCAAGUCACCUCCCAAAAGCUUGCAAGAGGUAAACUAGUGCAUCUCCAUGGACGGAGAUCAGUUGCCUUACCAAGUGUUGGCUCAGGUGAAUUGAAGGCGUUUUAAGUUAACUAAAAACAUAGAAAUCAUAAACGGGUUACACUUUCUCUUCAUUAACAACUGAAACAACAAAACUCUCAAUUAUUGCAUUCGGGACCUUACCCGGCUACCUUAGCUCCAAGAGACAAAAAGGCCUAGCCACCCAUUCUCUGAGGAAACAUCCUCAGAGCUUGUUUGGCUAGUAAUGAAAAAUAUAAUCAAAUUGAGUAGGUAAGGCAGAGCAAAGCUCUGUAUUUUACUUCCUUUCAAACUAUACAAAAAGUUGUCUCUGAGAACAAGCUCCCGAGCUCCCCUUUUGUAAAGAAAAUUACAACUAUAUAUAAGGGGUUAUUCACCCUUUUUCCAAACUUAAUAACUAAGGAAUCCUAUAAUUGGUGGGUUACAAGGAGAGUUUGGGGAUUUAGACAUCAAAUAUCUAAAGCAAAAUAUCUAAAAAUGUCGGUCUCAAAUAUCUGGAAGCUUCAGGAGAACACCGCGGCACUGUGCAAAAAUGGCUGCGAAACUCUCCGGGUAAGCGCUAUCAAAAGAUCCAGAUAUGUCUGACCGGGGAAGUUGAAACGCUCUCCUCUCCCAUCCGGCGUCAAGUGCUGGAUGUGAAAUAUCCGGAUGGAAUGUCGGCGGAGCAGAAUUCCGGAUGUAAGACAUCCGAGUGGAAUGGCGGCGCACUUUCCUAUCCGGACUCCCUCAGGGAGAAGCACACGGCACUCGUGAUCAUCACACCCCGGACGAUAGCAUAUCCUAUUCGGAUAUGUUGUCCGGAUUAUUGACGCCCAUGUUCCUCCGCCCUCCGAUGGUGUGUCCGGACGCCCUGUCCGGACAUCUUUUGCCAUGGAUUCCAAAGAACUCUCCUCAAUCUCGAAUUGCUUUGGUGAUCAAAAAGCUAUCAAAACACCAAAACUUAACACAAUUUGAUUAGAUUUGAUUGCAAGGGUCCUUAAUAUGUUAAUUGGGUUAAAAGGUAAUAACUACUACUCAAAAGUGUUUAAAAGAGUUAAUUACAAGCUAUGAAAUAACACUUUUUGAGUAGUAAUCACUUCUCAUUUUUGUAAUGUUCGAUAGAUUCUUGACGGCUUUGUGUUAUUAGUAAUUUUUGAGAUAAUAUUAUGAAUCAAACUUGACAAAUGAAUUUGAUUCUAGAAGUUUGAGAAGUUUUGAGUCUUGAUUUAGUUUGUGAUUUAAUUAUUUUUAGAAUAGUUUUAGGUUAGAUUUUAUUUUGUUUUUGCUCGAGGACUAGCAAAAUGUUAAGUUUGGGAGAAUUUGAUAAGUCAAUUUAGAGCGACUUAUUAUCUAUGAUUUAACUUGAUAUUUCAUUAGUUUAAGAGUAAUUUUAUCUUAACAAUCAUUAUUUUUAUUGUUUUAGGUCUCAAAUAGCCAAGAGUAUGAAAAUGGAGCAAUAUGAGGCAAAAUUGGAAGAAAAAUAUGAAGUUUGGCGGCCUCUUACGUGACAAUUCGCGUAACUCACCCGAGAGGAAAGCUCUGCCGCGGGAAGGACUUAAGCGUCGCAGCGUACGCAUGUGGAAAAUCAUAGUUGGGGACUCGAGACAAAACCGCCACGUCUGGAGGUGCUUGUCCGCCGCGGCGCCCGAAGGAAUUUUAGAAAUCCUAGGAACCUGAGACUAAAGCGCCACGACGAGAGACAAUGAGCGCCACAACCCGAUAUUUAAAAUUUGAAAAUUAUUCAUCCUUAUCUCAUAUGUUCAGAUUCGAAUUAGGUGGGACGUCAAUUUACGAUAUUGGGGCUAUAAAUAGACGAAAGUAGGGUUUAUUCGGGGAUCUUGGAGACCUGGAAGAAGGAGGAUCUUGAAGACCUAGGAGAAGAAAGAGCUUGGAGAACAAGAAGGGGAUUUGCAGAUUUCCUUCUAUUUUUCUGGUUUAUUCUUCCCUUUUCUUUAUGAUUGUAAUUCAGGAUGUUUGUUCUUCAUCUCAAGAUGAACUAAUUUCCUUUGUCUAGGGCUGAGAUGUAGCUCAAUCACGACUUCUAUUUUUGAUUGGUUUAAAUUAAUUCUCUGUUUUGCAUUAAUUUAUUUGUGUAUCUAUUCUGCGCUUAAUGUUCUCAAUUCUUAAGGGCCCAAGUUUUGAUUGAUUUUAUGAUUUAGGUUGAUAACGAGAGUUAGAAUCUAAAUUAAAUCCAUAGAAUAGAUUACGUUAGAAUGAAUGAAUAGUAGAGAUACAUUACCAUGUUCUAAGAGAUUAAUAGUUAAAUCUAUAAUAAUUCCAUAGAUCUUAAUUACUCCUUUAGACUUAAAUUCACAUAGAGAUAUGUUAGGUUAGUAAUUUAAGGAGCAAUCUGAUAUAUUUCGAGAGAAAAUAUUGGUUGGCUUAAGGAAUUAAAUCUCCAAAUAAAGCAUAACAGGAAUUAGGUCAAGCAAUCAAUUGCAUGAAAAGUGUUUGUAGUGAAAUCAAAAGCCCUAGAUCGUUUAAAGCAUAAGAGUUUGAAUUUAUUUUCUAUAAUUGUUUAAGUUGCUUUCUUCUACAACUUUAAAUAUUCGGUUGAUCAAAUAGUAGUAGAAAUAAUAAAUUUUAGUAAUUAGUAGCAUAGUCCUUGUGGGUUCAAUAUCCGUACUUAGGUACAAUUAUAUUACUUGAAUGAUUCGUAUACUUGCAAACCAACACAUCAAUAGGGAACCAUUUCUUCAUGUCUUUCUUCAUCGCAAUAUUGUUAGUGUUCAACAAUAUGUCUUCAUUACCCAAACAAACCUAUCUUUUAUUGUUAAUAAGUUUGUCAGUUCAUGUCUCAACUUACUUCUACAUAUUGUUUAUCUAUGAAACACACUUUGCAUUAUUUGAUAGGAUCUUUAUAUUAGUAUCCUUUUACAAGAAAUUGAUCGUCUUCAUUUUCAAGCUUAUUCAAAUUCUGAUACAGUCUAGGCUCUUGUCCUAAUGACAAGAAAAACAAUAAUGAUUAUUGUGUCUUCCUUAGGUUGAAUUUGGCUUCUUAGUCCUCUAAUAAGCAAUGGGUUAUUUCAAGGAGUAGUGUUGAAUUAGAAUAUUGUGGUCUAACUACUACAAUUACUAAACUCACUUAGAUCUACUCUAUGCUUUAGGAACUGUGUAUAGCAUAGGUUACCCCUCCAAUUCUGUGGUGUGAUAAUCAAAAUACUGCUUAUCUUGCUACAAAUCCUAUCUUUCAUGCUCGCCUGAAACAUAUUGAACUCGAUAUCUGACAAAAUGUUACAUAAUGAACUUGUUAUUCAAUAAAUUCCCUCUACUGAUCAACUUACUGAUGUGCUUGUUAACCGAUUGUAGUAAACUUUGUGUUGUUCCCAAAUUGAUUAACUUGCGACGGGAUGAUAAAGAGUAGAUUGCCACCUCAACCUAACUUCUAGAAUAAUCUAUUAGCUGCAACAACUAUUUGUUAUGGAUACUACACACCCAUGUUUUGCUCUUGUUAGAUCUAGUGAAUUAGACAUUAAAGCUUAAAUAAAUAUUUAACAUCACAAGCUCAUGAGUUAGGUGAUUUUUUAGUUCAUUCUCUAGAAUUUUCAAUUUACUUCCAAAGCCUAUAAAUGACCAAUUGUUGAAACAUUGUACUAACAUAUUUUUUUUUUUCCUCAAAGCAUAAAAAUCACAAAUUGUUCGAAUAUUGGAUUGACCUUUUUUUUUCCCUUAUACUUUCGUAGUUGAAUUCAUAAUUUUAGCAAUAAAAAGGGACUAAUUACUUCCAUUAUUGAUAUUGAUGAAACAAUUCCAAUGUAUAUAUAUUGACUAGAUUUAAUUCAGUUGAUUUGAGAUUGAGGAUGAUUUUAUAUGAAUUUAAUGCAUUUUCAAGAUGUUUCAAUGAAGAAUUAAUAGAUAGCAUUUAGUAUGAUUACCAAAUUUGGCUAAAGAAAAAAGGAACUAAUGCCAUUGAAUGAUGACUUAUUCUCUUCCAUUUAAUAAAGGUUAUGUUUUUUAUAUUAUAUAUUUCUUGAUGUAAUUUUCUUUUUUUCAUUCUUCUAGGAUAACUCAUGAGUUUAUUAUUAUUUUUUGGAAUAUAAGAUUUUGCUCAGAGAAUUAGAAAAUGCAAUGAAAUUGAAAAUAUAUAAUUAAAACUUGAAUUUUAAUUUAAAUUUGGGGCUAGAAUAAUUGGCUCUAAUAUUCUAGGCUCCACUACUAAUAACUUUCUCUUAUAGAUUCCAACCAUUCCAAUAUCAUUUGACCAAUUACAUCACUAUGUUUAUCAUUCAAUCUCUUGAAGAUGUUUUCCACAAUUUCAUUGAUGUAUUUGGACUCAUACCAACCAAUUAUAAAUCAUAAUAAAACAUAUGGUGAGUCAAAUGAGCUACAAAAUAAUGAUAAAAGCAACAUGAGGAAAAUUUUAUAAUAUUUUUUUAUAAGCAAAUGGUAGUAAAUUUUAUGCUUAAAUCACAUCAUGACUACAUGAUUAGUAUCCAUGUAAAUGAAGCAAUAUCUUAGUGAGGGCUCCCAAGCUCCUAAUUAAGUAUUAUUAUCAUGGAAAAGAUGAUGUAAGGGUGGUAAUUCUUGAUUAAAUCAAACUAUAAAUAGGAUUUGAAAAUGACAUGAAACUAGUGAGUUCCAUUAAUUGAUGUUGAUCGAUCAUAUUCUAAGUUGAAGUUUUCAACCUGAAUGUAUACUUCAUUUUUUUCCUCUUAGUAUUGUUAUCCUAUGAUUGUCUUCCCUCAUCCAUGUUCCUUCAUUGCAUACAUACUUAGGAUCCUUUUCUAAGUCAUUUAUUGUGUCCUUAUUAGUUGUUCAUUGUUACUCAUCUUAUCACUGUUUUUGGACCUCUUUUAGGGAUAUAUAUUAGAAGGAUUUUGUUUUUCUAAUAUGAUUUUAGUAUCCUUUAGUUUUAGCUUAAGAGUUUGUUUUCAUUCGUAAGUUUUCUUUUGAUUUUGGUUUUUCAACUUGUUUUUAGUUUAGCCCCUUUAUCUUUGUUCUUAGGUAAAUUCAUUUAGUUGCAUUUUAGGAAAAUUCACUCAGUAGUUGAUUACUACUCAAAAAGUGCUCUUUUAUAGCUUGUUAUAAACUCUUUUAAACACUUUUGAGUAGUAUUUAUUACCUUUUAACUCAAUUGGCACAUUAAAGACCCUUGCAAAUGUUUCUAAUCAGGUUUUGGCAAGUUUUGGUGUUUUUGAUAGCUUUUUUAUCAUUAAAACGAGCCAAGAAUGAAGGAGAAUUUUGUAUAGUCCAUGGCAAAGCAAGUUGAAGCUCAAACACAUGAAGAAUUCAAGGUUUGGAGAGCUUCGUAGCCUUUUCCAAAUCAAUCAAGUAUGCAAGGAAGAGAAUCAAAGAAGAAAUCUAACAUCCAACAAUUUCACCUGGCUAUGAGAAAUUUUCGCAUAGCAUGUGAAAUGUCCAAAAGGAGUACAAGCUGCAGGACAGAGAGCAAGACUGUGAAAAAUGAAUUUCGCACCCUAUGCGAAAUUUCGCAAGCCUUGCAAAAAUCCUCCUGUGUAAUUUUCAGAUAUUUUUGCACCUACUCCGUCAGAUUUUUAUCUCGAGAUAUUUUGUGUAAUUACCUAUUUUAUCCUUGUAAUCAAUUAAAGAUAUUUUUAGAUAUUUAGGAUAUCUAAAUAAGGGGUUAAAAUAUCUCUUUAUAUAUGUCUUAAAAUAUCUCUUUUGUAAGCUCUCGGAAGAUUUUCCAGAGAACACUUGUAGAUUCUUGUAGUAAGAAAUACACAGAGCUUUGCUCUGCCUUACCUACUCAUUUUGUUUUUAUUUUCUUUCUAGCCAAACAACCUCUAAUGAUGUUUUCUCAGAGGAUGAGUGGCUAGGUUUUUCAUUUCUUGGACUGAAGGAAGCUAGGUAAGGGAUCCAGAUACAAAGGUGGGAGUUUUCCUUGUUUUAAAUGAGGAGAGUUGUUACCCUUUAAUGGUUUUUAUUUUUAAGGUUUAACUUAAAAUCCCUUCAAAUCAUCUGGGCCAAUACUUGGUAAGCUUUUCAGACUUCCUGGAGAUCCAUUAGUUAUCUCUUAUGAGCCUCUAGGAAGUGGUUUAAAGGUAGGAUUACCUAAAAUGACCAAUACUUGGUAAGCUUUUCGGACUCCCUAGAGAUCCAUUAGUUAUCUCUUACGAGCCUCUGGAAGGUGGUUUAAAGGUAGGAUUACCUAGAAUGGCCAAUACUUGGUAAGCUUUUCGGACUCCCUGGAGAUCCAUUAGUUAUCUCUUACGAGCCUCUGGGAGGUGGUUUAAAGGUAGGAUUACCUAGAAUGACCAAUACUUGGUAAGCUUUUCGGACUCCCUGGAGAUCCAUUAGUUAUCUCUUACGAGCCUUUGAAGGGUAAUCCAAGGUUAGGAUCACCUUGAAUGGCCAAUACUUGGUAAGCUUUUCGGGUUCCAUGGAAUCCAUGGAUGUCUAUUAGUUAUCUCUUACGAGCCAUUGAAAGAUGAUUCACAGUGAGAGGUCUUUAGUGUUUGAAACCAUUAAUGGGAAGCAACUACAGUUUUUCAUGGACCAAUGGGAUCAAAUCUUGAUUGCUAAAUACACACCGGUUCGGGAGAUAACCAUUCUUUAUGUUAUUAUCCCCAACGCGAGGAAAAGAUCCGGAAUCUCCUCCUUUUGUCUAAGGAACCUGAACCUAGUGACCUAAAACUCUAAGAAAUCCUUUUCUUUGUAAUUAAUCUCAGUUACUAUUUUUGGUUAACUUAAAACCAACCUUUUUCAACCAAAAUUAUGUUUUCUUUUAAAGCUAACUCAUAAAAGAAAAAGCAUCAUUUCAGUACUUUAACUAAUAUCACUUGUAAUAUGAAAACCCAUCCUUGUGGACGAUCCUAGAACCACUAUACUAUGCUAGCUAUGCUACCCUAGUGUAUGGUGAAUUAGGUUUAUAAAUUUUGUUGAUAACUCCCGUCUGAGGACUGAAUCAAAUAGAUCACCAAUUGGGGACAAAUCAAAUGGCGUCGUUGUCGGGGAUGGUGCCACUUCACAGUGAUAUAACCUUUACAAAACACUUGUGAUCUUCAUCACAAGUUUGGUGAUUUUUCUUUUCUUUUACUAACUCUUUUUAUUUGUUUUCAUUUUAGUUUAUCUUUUAUCUAGUUUUUAGUUAACCUUAAUUUUUUUUUUCUAGAAUUGUAUUUCUUUUGUUUUCUGUGUUUUUGUUUCAAUUAUUGCUAGUUGUGCAUGCCCUAUUGGAUAUGAGACAAUGAGGGAAGACUUAUGAAAAUCGAAACUCCUCACGAAACAGAGUUGGAAUUGUGCUUGAACGUCAUGGAAGCUACACCUGAAGAUCAGCAUAGUCAACAUGCUCAGGAGGAGAAUUUCAACGCAUACCGAUCCAUGAGGGACCGCAUGCAUGCACCUCGUAUGAGUGCACCGUCAUGCAUAGUGCCACCUACAGAGCAACUGGUGAUCCGACCACAUAUUGUGCCACUUCUACCUACUUUCCACGUGAUGGAAAGUGAGAAUCCCUACGCGCAUAUCAAGGAAUUUGAGGAGGUUUGUAAUACUUUCCAAGAAGGAGGAGCUUCAAUCGACUUGAUGAGGCUCAAGUCAUUUCCUUUCACCUUGAAGGAUAAGGCCAAGGUCUAGCUUAAUUCUUUAAGGCCAAGGAGUAUUCGAACUUGGACUGAUUUGCAAGCUGAAUUUCUUAAGAAAUUUUUCCCGACCUAUAGGACCAAUGGCUUGAAAAGGCAAAUUUCAAACUUCUCAGCUAAAGAGAAUGAGAAAUUCUAUGAGUGUUGGGAGAGAUACAUGGAAGCUAUCAAUGCUUGUCCUCACCAUGGCUUUGAUACAUGGCUAUUGGUGAGCUAUUUUUACGACGUUAUGUCUUUCACUAAUGAAGCAACUCCUAGAAACUAUGUGCGAAGGAGACUUCAUGAGUAAGAAUCCGGAGGAAGCCAUGGAUUUCUUGAGUUAUGUAGCUGAAGUUUCAAGAGGAUGGGAUGAGUCGAAUGCUAGAGAAGUGGGAAGAAUGAAGUCUCAACUUAAUGCUCCUAAUGCUAAGGCUGGAAUGUAUACUUUGAACGAAGAAAUCGAUAUGAAAGCAAAAGUUGCAGCUAUGGCAAGAAGAUUGGAGGAGCUAGAAAUGAAGAAGAUAUGAGAAGUGCAGGUCAUUUCUGAAACACCAAUGCAAGCUAUGUCGUGUUCCAUUUGUCAAUCUUUUGAGCACUUAGUGGAGGAGUGUCCUACGAUUCCAAUUGUGAGAGAAAUGUUUGGGGAUCAAGCAAAUGUUAUUGGACAAUUUAAGCCCAAUAACAAUGCUUCAUAUGGCAACACCUACAAUUCAAAUUGGAGGAACCAUCCGAAUUUCUCAUGGAAACCAAGGGCACCUCAGCACACACAACCUGGCCAAGCACCUCCGUAAGCCUCAAAUCUUGAACAAGCCAUUAUGAAUCUUAGAAAGGUCGUGGGAGACUUUGUUGGAGACCAGAAAUCCAUCAAUGCUCAGCUCAGUCAAAGAAUUGACAGUGUAGAGAGUACAUUGAACAAAAUAAUGGACGGAAUACAAAAUGAUCUAUCUCAGAAGAUAGAUAAUCUCCAGUACUCAAUCUCAAGGCUCACCAACCUCAACACAGUAACAAAGAAAGGAAAGUUUUCUUCUCAACCUCAUCAGAAUCCCAAGGGUAUCCAUGAAGUAGAGGCUUAGGAGGGAGAAUCUUCACAUGUGAAACAAGUCAAAGCAGUUAUCACUCUAAGGAGUGGUAAAGAGAUUGAUCUGCCUACCUCCAAGCAAGAGCAUGAACCAGAGAGUGAAACAUAGAAAGAAAAGAGGAAGGAAAUCAAAGGAAAGAAAAAAGGGAACAGUGCAAAGAAUGAGGACCUUGAAUCUACUGUGAAUGAAGAACCAGAGAGGACCAUCAACCAAGAAGAUAUGAUGAAGAAACACAUGCCUCCACCUUUCCCCCAAGCUUUGCAUGGCAAAAAAGGAAUCAAUAAUGCAUCAGAAAUUCUUGAAGUGUUGAGGCAAGUGAAAGUUAACAUCCCUUUGCUAGACAUGAUUAAACAAGUUCCGACUUAUGCAAAAUUCCUGAAGAACUUAUGCAUUAUAAAAAGAGGGUUGAAUGUGAAUAAGAAAGCCUUCUUGACUGAGCAAGUAAGUGCCAUUAUACAGUGCAAGUCUCUAGUGAAAUACAAAGAUCCAGGUUGUUCUACCAUCUCAGUGAUUAUUGGAGGGACGUGUGUGGAGAAAGCUUUGUUGGACUUGGAGGCAAAUGUGAAUUUGCUACCCUAAUCUGUCUACAAGCAAUUGGGACUUGGAGAGUUGAAGACAACAUCAAUCACUCUAUCUCUAGCAGAUAGAUCUGUGAAGAUUCCAAGAGGCAUGAUUGAAGAUGUCCUAGUUCAAGUUGACAAAUUCUACUACCCAGUGGAUUUUGUUGUUCUUGAUACAAACCCAGUUGCCAAAUGAACUAACUAUGUUCCUAUCAUACUUGGAAAACCAUUCCUAGCUACAUCAAAUGGUAUCAUCAAUUGUAGGAAUGGAGUCAUGCAACUUAUGUUUGGCAACAUGACGUUAGAGCUCAACAUCUUCUAUUUGUGCAAGAAACAAUUCCAUCCAGAAGAAGAAGAAGAACCAAAAGAGGUGUGCAUGAUUGACAACUUAGUGGAGGAGCAUUGUGAUCAGAAAAUGCUCAAAGAUUUGAAUGAAAGUCUUGGGGAUCUUGAUGAAGGGUUACCUGAACCCUCAGAUUUGCUUGCACUUUGCCCCCUUGGAAGAGGAGGGAAGAAAUUCUACCUUUAUUCAAUGGGGAGGAGACACAAGAAGUUGUUAAGGAGGAGCCCCCAAAGCUUAUUCUGAAGCCACUACCCACGGAGUUGAAGUAUGCAUACCUGGAAGAAAACAAACAGAGCCUUGUUGUUAUUUCUUCAUCUCUUACCACUCCUCAGGAGGAUUGUCUACUUGAAGUCCUCAGGAGAUGUAAGAAGGCGAUAGGGUGGCAAAUAUCUGAUCUGAAAGGGAUCAACCCUUUAGUUUGUACCCAUCAUAUAUACAUGGAAGAAGAAGUUAAGCCAGUUCGAAAACCUCAGAGAAGGUUGAACCCUCACAUGCAAGAGGUGGUGUGAGCUGAAGUGCUUAAGCUACUUCAGGCUGGUAUUAUCUACCCCAUAUCAGAUAGCCCAGGGGUGAGUCCUACGCAAGUCGUGCCAAAGAAAUUAGAGAUCACGGUGGUGCAAAAUGAUAAGGGAGAAGAAGUUUCUACACACCUCACUUCAGGUUGGAGGGUGUGUAUUGAUUAUAGAAAGUUGAAUGUUGUAACAAGGAAUGACCGCUUCCCGUUGUCGUUUAUUGAUCAAGUGCUUGAGAGGGUCUCUGGCCAUCCAUUUUACUAUUUCUUGGAUGGCUACUCCGGGUAUUUUCAAAUGGAAAUUGAUGUUGAAGACCACUUUCACAUGUCCAUUCGGAACCUACACAUACGGAAGAAUGUCUUUCGGCUUAUGCAAUGCACCCGCAACAUUCCAAAUAUGCAUGUUAAGCAUUUUCAGUGAUAUGGUGGAGCGUAUUAUGGAAGUCUUUAUGGACGAUAGCACCAUAUAUGGAAGUACGUUUGACGAAUACUUAAUCAACUUGGAAGUUGUUCUGAACCGAUGCAUUGAGAAACACUUGGUGCUUAACUAGGAGAAAUGUCAUUUCAUGGUACACCAAGGGAUUGUCCUUGGGCAUAUUAUCUCAAAGCAAGGCAUUGAAGUGGACAAAGCAAAGGUUGAACUUAUUGUCAAGUUGUCAUCGCCAACAACUAUCAAAUGAGUAAGGCAAUUCCUUGGUUAUGCAGGGUUCUAUAGGAGGUUUAUCAAAGAUUUCUCUAAACUUGCAAGACCUCUUUGUGAACUAUUGGUAAAGGAUGCUAAAUUUGUAUGGGAUGAUCGAUGUCAACGGAGUUUUGAAGAACUGAAGCUAUUUUUGACAACCGCUCAAAUACUGAGAGCUCCCAACUGGCAAUUGCCCUUUGAAGUGAUGUGCGAUGUCAGUGACUUUGCUAUAGGAGCUAUUCUUGGGUAAAGAGAAUAUGGAAAGCCCUAUGUGAUCUACUAUGCGAGCAAAACGUUGAAUGAAGCGCAAAGAAACUACACAACCAUAGAGAAAGAAUUGUUGGCUGUAGUUUUUGCCUUAGACAAAUUCCACACUUAUUUGGUGGGGUCUUUCAUUGUGAUUUUCACUGAUCAUUCGACCUUGAAAUAUCUGCUAACUAAGCAGGAUGCAAAAGCGAGGCUGAUUAGAUGGAUUCUCUUGCUUCAAGAGUUCAAUCUUCAUAUCAAAGACAAGAAAUGAGUGGAGAAUGUGGUAGUCGACCAUCUGUCAAGGCUAGCCAUCGCAACAAAAUUCCCAUAGUUUGCCCAUUAAUGAUGAUUUUCCAGAGGAGUCACUCAUGUUGAUGAAAGUCGCUCCUUGGUAUGCUCAUAUUGCUAACUAUUUAGCUAUCGAAGAAGUUCCAAGUGAGUGGAAAGCACAAGAUAAGAAGCACUUCUUUGCAAAAAUUCAUGCCUAUUAUUAGGAAGAGUCAUUUCUAUUCAAAUAUUGUGCAGAUCAAAUAAUACGGAAGUGCGUCCCUGAACAAGAGCAACAGGGGAUCCUCAGUCAUUGCCACGAAAGCGCAUGUGGAGGCCACUUUGCUUUUCAAAAGACAGCUAUGAAGGUAUUGCAAUCGGGUUUCUGCUAGCCAUCACUUUUCAAAGAUGCCCACACCAUGUGCAGGAGCUGUGAUAGAUGUCAGAGGCUUGGGAAGUUAACACAUAGGAACAUGAUGCCUUUGAACCCCACUUUAAUAGUUGAUCUUUUUUAUGUCUGGGGCAUUGACUUCAUGAGACCUUUUCCUAUGUCCUUUGGCUACUCCUACAUCUUGGUAAGGGUAGAUUAUGUUUCUAAAUGGGUUGAAAUGAUCCCAUGCAAAUGCACUGAUCACAGAGUUGUUCUCAAAUUUCUCAAAGAGGACAUCUUCUCUAGAUUUGGAGUACCCAAGGCUUUAAUCAGUGAUGGGGGUACUCAUUUUUGUAACAAGUCGUUCGAAACUCUCUUAGCCAAGUACGGGGUAAAGCAUAAGGUAGCUACACCUUACCACCCUCAGACUUCUAGGCAAGUUGAGUUAGCAAAUUAGGAGAUCAAAAACAUACUGAUGAAGGUGGUGAAUAUGAGCAGAAGAGAUUGGUCUGUUAAGCUUCAUGAUUCACUAUGGGCGUACAGAACAGCUUACAAGACCAUUCUUGGAAUGUCUCCUUAUCGCCUAGUCUACGGCAAAAUGUUCCAUCUCCCCGUGGAAGUGGAAUACAAAGUUUGGUGGGCAAUCAAGAAGCUCAACAUGGAUUUGAGCAGAGCCGACAUGAAGAGGUUCUUAGACCUUAAUGAGAUGGAGGAACUGAGAAAUGACGCCUACAAUAAUUCAAACAUUGCAAAACAAAGAUUGAAGAGGUGGCAUGAUCACUUAGUCUCCCGCAAAGAAUUCCAGAAGGGACAAAGAGUCUUGCUAUAUGACUCUAAGCUCCAUGAUUACUACUCAAAAAGUGCUAUUUCAUAGCUUGUAAUUAACUCUUUUAAACACUUUUGAGUAGUAGUUAUCACCUUUUAACCCAAUUAACAUAUUAAGGACCCUUACAAUCAAUUCUAAUCAAAUUGUAUUAAGUUUUGGUGUUUUGAUAGCUUUUUUAUCACCAAAGCAAUCCGAGAUUGAGGAGAGUUCUUUGGAAUCCAUGGCAAAAGAUGUCCGGACAAGGCGUCCGGACACACCAUCGGAGGGCGGCGGAACGUGGGCUGUGGCAGGCUGUCGGAAUGACGUAGCAAGGCUUGUGCACUUUAGCCAAUGAUCCGGACAACAUAUCCGGAUAGGAUAUGCUAUCGUCCGGGGUGUGAUGAUCGCGAGUGUUGUGUGCUUCUCCCUGAGGGAGUCCGGAUAGGGGAGCGCGCCACAUAUCCUCUUAGAGAAUCCGAAUGGAGUUGCUCCGGAUAGCGAUGCGCACUCCGUGUCAUCAGGAGAAGGGGUCCCUACACCUUGCACACGCAGACAGCCCCCUUGCGAUGUGUGGCAUCGCACAUUCCACCCGGAUGUAUCACAUCCGGAAUUCUUCUCCGCCGACAUUCCAUCCGGAUAUUUCGCAUCCGACGUUUGAUGCCGGAUGGGAGAGGAGGGCGUUUCAACUUCCCCGGUCAGACAUAUCCGGAUCCUCUGAUAGCGCUUACCCAGAGAGUUUCGCAGCCAUUUUGCACUGUGACGCAGUGUUCUCCUGAAGCUUCCCGAUAUUUGCGACCGAUAUUUUGAGAUAUUUUGCUUUAGAUAUUUGAUGUCUAAAUCCCCAAACUCUCCUUGUAACCCACCAAUUAUAGGAUUCCUUAGUUAUUAAGUUUGGAAAAAUGAUGAAUAACCUUAUAUAUAUUAUUAUUGUAAUUUUCAUAUAAAUAUCUCUCGGGAGCCUAUUCUCAGGGAGACGACGCAUCCUUUGUACAGUUUUGCAAGGAAGUAAAAUACAGAGCCUUUGCUCUGCCUUACCUUCUCGUUUUGAUUGUAUUGUAUAUUAUUUAAUUUUUCUUUCUAGCCAAUCAAACUCUGAGGAUUUUUCCUCAGAGGAUGAGAGGCUAGGCUCUUCGUCUCUUGGAGUGAAGAAAGCCGGGUAAGUUUCCUCAUGCAUAAAUUGGAAGUUUUGUUGUUUUAGUUUUUAAUGAAGAGAAAGUGUGACCCGUUAAUGGUUUCUAUGUUUUUAGUUAACUUAAAACGCCUUUAAAUCACCUGGGCCAACACUUGAUAAGGCAAGUGGUCUCCAUCCAUUGAGAUGCACUAGUUUAUCUUUUGCGAGCCUUUGGGAGGUGGUUUGAAGGUAGGAUUUUCUAGAAUAGCCAACACUUGGUAAGCUUUUGGACUCCAAGGAGACAUCCAUUAGUUAUCUCUUGCGAGCUUUUGACGGGUAAUCCAAGGUUAAAAAUCACCUUGAAUGGCAAAUGCUAGGUGAGAGGCACGAGCCAUUGCAAGAUGCAUCAGUGAGAGGGAUUUAGUGUUUGAACCCAUUAAAGGGAAGCAUCUGUACCACACCGGUUAGAGAAUUAACUAUAUGUUAAUUCUCUAAAGCGAGGAAAAGAAACAAGUGACCGGAACUCCCUUUUUGUACAAGGAACCUGAGCCUAGUGAUCUAAACUCCAAGAAACACUUUUCUUUGUAAGUAAAAUCAGUUACUAUUUUUGGUUAGUUUAAAACCAAACCUUUUCCAUUCAAACAUCUUUAUGUUUUCUUUUAAAGCUAACCUUGGAAUGAAAAGGCACCAAUUCAGCUUUGAAUUAAUAUCAAUUGUGGAGUGAAAACUCAUCCCAGUUAACGAUCCUAGAGCCACUAUGCUAUAGUAGCUUUGUCUUUGCUACCCUAGUUCAUGGUGUAAUAAGUUAUAAAUUUUGUUGAUUACUUCCUGAGGACCAAAAUCAAGGGACACCAGCUGGACACGAAUCAAAUGGCACCACUGUCAGGGACCAUUGAGAUGACAGCUGAGACACCAAUUGGGAACGAAUCAUUCCACAUCUUCCCGGGAAAACUGAAGUCAAGGUGGAUAGGUCCGUUUACUAUCCAACAAGUGCAUUCAAAUGGAGUGGUGGAACUACUCAAUUCCAACAACAUCGAGAGUUUCAAAGUCAAUGGCCAUCGUCUCAAGCCAUUUGUGGAGCCUUUUUCUCUAGACAAUGAGGAAAUCAUCAUCUUUGAGCCACAUCAAGCUUAACAAGACAAGUGGUUAGAUGGACUUAGUCUGUCGAAAGACAUUAAGUCUAUAAUUUUUUGUUUUAAUGUUGAUUUAAAGUUUUAUUGAUUUAGUACUUGUUUUAAUUGUAAUUUCUUGCUUUAAUUUUAUUUUUUUGUGAUUUAAUUUAAUUUUUUAUGAUCAAUUGCAAGUGGAUUUCAUAAUAGAUGGGAAAAACCUUUAAAAAAUUUAUGGUGGAGGAAAAACAGAGCAUUUCGCACAUGCUGCGAAAAUUUUGCAAGGCUUGCGAAAAUCCCAAAUAUCAUUUCGCAAGGGGUACGAAAAUUUCGCACACCCUGCAAAAGCCAAUUCGCACACCCUGUGAAAAUUUCGCAAGGCAUGCGAAAAAUUCGCAUACCCACCUUUGCAUUGCGAAAAUGCCAUGCGAAAUUGCUUUGCUUUGCGAAAAUGUUUUGCGAAAACCUGUGCCAAAUUAGAGAGGGUAUGCAAACCCAUUUCACAAUCCUGUGCGAAGUCCAACAGCCGGUGCGAAAACCAACAGUCACUUAAAACUCUAUUUAAAGCCCUCUAAGCCCUAUUUUCAUUUCGUACACCCCAUCUACCCAUUGCGAAAGCCUCUAUCACCUUGCGACGCCCAAACUUCCAUCGUUUUUCUCCAUUGGACGCCCCGCGACCACCCAUUUGAAGAGGCGACCCCCACCGAACUUGAAGAACACAGACCCGAGCCUUUCACUCCAUUUUUUACAUGGCGCGAAUUAGAGGAGGCCAUACCGACUCUUCACUCUCUCGCGAGCCGAGGCCAAGAGCCUGCUCUCCUCAAGAUUCGACAUCUCAGGCCCUUGAGGCCCCAACCAUUCCAUCUUUUGAGGGAGGAGUGCCCUCUAAUCCUCCUCAACAUAGAUACGAGACGUGGAGACCACCGACUACACCUGGGACUACUUCUUCGCGCCCUGAGACCUCAAUACGUUGCACUCCAACUAAGAGGGCCAGGACUUUAGGCCCUGGAAAGUCGUCUAGAUCUUCACAGCCUGAUCAUAGGGCCCCUGUCGAUUCUCAGCGUCCUUCUAACAUGUCACCGGAAGCCAUCAUCAAACGACCUAUGGUCACCGCGCCGCCCAUUAAGGGCAAUUCAGAUUGUAGAGCCAGACCAUUUCAUUCCGAGCUAUAUUUUGACCUCGAGGUUAUGCGACAGUAGUCGGAGCUUCGGGAUUCAUUUGGACUACUCCAGAGGUACCAUCUCGAGCACCUUAUGACUCCCAGGGAGUUCUUUUACCCCAAAGUGGCAAUGGACUUCUAUCAUUCUAUGACUACUCAAGGCGCCUGGAGUCCUACCGCCAUUCACUUCAGCAUUGAUGGGCGCCAGGGUAUCCUUGAGGCUAGACACAUUGCAGAGGCUCUACAUAUUCCAUACGAGCUAGUGAAUCCAGCAGAUUGCCAGGAGUGGUCCCCUGUAUCUCAGUGGGACAUGGUCCGCAUCUUAUCCAUGGAAACCUUUGGAGAUUCAGUCCUUCUACGUAAGGAGCUUCCACCUAGGAUGCUCCUAGUAGAUGUGUUGCUACAGUCCAAUCUUUUUCCCCUUCAGCAUUUAGUGCAGAUGAGAGGAGCCAUUCUGAACGCUUUAUUCCGGAUAUCCAAGGGUUUCUAUUUCGGGCCACAUCACUUGAUUAUGGCCUCUCUCCUCCACUUUGAGGAGAAGGUUCACAGGAAGAAGCUCCAGAGAGCCGACACUAUUCCACUACUGUUUCCGAGGUUGCUAUGUCACAUAUUGGAGCAUAUGGGUUAUCCUACUGAGCCCUACCUUGAGCGCCGCCAUCAUUGUCGAGAGCGAUUCACUCUCAACAAAUGGACACAGUUGGCGGGCUAUUCGGCACCUCUAGAAGUCCCACCCAGGCCAGCACCUCCAGUGCCACCAUAGGCUGAGUAGGCACAACAGGAUGAGCUUCCCACGGAGUCUGUACCACCUACCCCUACAACACCUAUGCCUGAGGCCACUUAUACUGCUCCUCCUACCACUCCUGCCGUUCCACCAGUUGCACCUUCUAUAUCUGAGGCCUUCAUCACCAUUUCUGCCACAGAGUUUCGCGCCAUGGUACAUACAUUCCAGACACUGACCACUACACACAAUGCUUUAUUCCAACAGAUGGCCACCAUGCGUGCUCGGUAAGACCAUCAUACUGCUAUCCUUCAUCAUAUUCAGCAGCAUUGGGGACUUCUGCCACCACCUCAGCCUGACAUUCAUGGACCAUCACAGCCCAUAGCUCUAGUUAAGGAGACUAUUCCAGCUGAGGAGACCACUAAAGCCAAUGUCCCGAUCUAGCCUACUCAGGAGGCCACCACAGAGGCAUCACCUCCACCAGAGGCCCCCGCUACUUGAUCAUCUCUUUAUCAUAUUGUAUUUACUUAUUAUAUUAGUAGACAUAAUUACAUGUUUUGAUGUUUUAUAUUAUGGGAUUGGAUGUAUUACAUGAUCAUAUCUCACAUUGUACUUUCUCAGAGUAAUAUAUACACAUCAUUUUUUAUUAUAUUUGUCAUUCUUCUAUUUCCUCUACUCAUUACUCUUUUGUUUUUUGAAUCAUGUGGUUUAUCCUAUACGACUCAAACUCCAUGUCACUCAGGAGGUACCACUUCCUUCUUUUAUUUUCAAUCGCUCUUGCCACAUUGAGGACAAUGUUGAUCUUGGUUGAGGGGAGAGUUAAGGAAGAAAGUUUUGUUAAUAAUGCUAGGUUAUUUUGUUAAUUUAGGUCUUUUUUCUUAAUUUUAAACUUUUUGCUUAAUUUUAAAAGUUUUUAUUCUACCAUCCAUGAUUAUUAAGAAAAUUUUCUCAAAAGGAAAUGGGAGAUAUUGAAUUCUUAUCUUUUUACUUGAAUCUUAGAGUUUAUAUUAUGUGUAUUGAGGUUGAUGAAUUAUUGAAAAUCCUAUUGAAUUCAACCUUAUUUCUUCCACUUUAAUCUUACCACACACUAUGCACAUUAGGUUCCAUUUAUAAGAUGAAAAACUAUCUCACCCCCUAAACUUAGGAAAACUUUGACUUAGUACCUUUGACCUCAUUUUAAUAGUAUUGGGACACCUUAUAAAAGGCCAAUGAGCCUUUGAAAAAAAAAAUAAGAAAGAACAAAGUGUUUCGCUUGCCUUGAAACCCGAGCAAGAUCCGAGGGGUUUAUGGCGAAAGUCUUUAAAACCCGAUGCCCUAAACCUUUAUUGGUUGGGAGUCACCAACCUCAAUGCUCGUUGCAAGGGUGAAUAGGUGGAGUUUAACAUAUUGUAGGUGCUUGGGUAUUAAAUGUCAAUCUCAAAAGUCCGGGGUAAAAUCUGAAGAGUUAGUGGUCGAAAGAUCCUUAAAGCUUGAUGCCCUAAACCUUGAUUGGUUGGGAGCCAUCGAUGGAUCCCUAUUACAUGGACACUUUAGAAAACAAUACCUUAAGCAUUGCACACUUACAAUGAAAAAAAAAAUUUGUGAAAUAAAAGAGGUGCGUUUUUAGCCUAUUGGAGGUUGGUCAGUUUGCUAAAGUUUGAGAAAGAACUAGGUUGGGGGGAGAGAUUAGUUCAGCAUACUAUAUUCGGAAACUAAUAAGCUUAACACAUAGAUUUUUGUGCAAUAGUAAGGAUUGAGGCUAUGAGAGUGGAAAUCCUUUUAAUACUUAAAUUUGCAUAAUGCCUACUUUUUAUGAAUUGUGAUCAGGCAAGAUAUUUGAUAAAUUCUUGUUGAAGGUUGAGUUUUGCUUCUUUAAUGUCCCAUGAGAGAGUAUGCUCUACAUCAUGCCACUUGAAAAAAUUUUGGAGUGAUCAGCAUGAUUUUGUAAAUUAUUUUACUGUCUAUUUUUCAUUUUUCUCUCCUUCAUUGCUAAGGGACUAGCAAUAUGUCGGUUGGGGGGAGUGAUUACUACUCAAAAAGUGCUCUUUUAUAGCUAGUUAUAAACACUUUUGAGUAGUAUUUAUUACUUUUUAACUCAAUUGGCACAUUAAAGACCCUUGCAAAUGUUUCUAAUUAGUUUUUGGCAAGUUUUGGUGUUUUUGAUAGCUUUUUUAUCAUUAAAACAAGCCAAGAAUGAGGGAGAAUUUUGUAUAGUUCAUGGCAAAGCAAGUUGAAGCUCAAACACAUGAAGAAUCCAAGGUUUGGAGAGCUUCGUAGCCUUUGCCAAAUCAAUCAAGUAUGCAAGGAAGAGAAUUAGAGAAGAAAUCUAACAUCCAGCAAUUUCGCAUGACUAUGCAAAAUUUUCGCAUAGCAUGCGAAAUGCCCAAAAAGAGUACAAGCUACAGAACAGAGAGUAAGACUGUGAAAAAUGAAUUUCGCACCCUAUGCGAAAUUUUGCAAUCCUUGCGAAAAUCCUCUUGUGUAAUUUUCAGAUAUUUUUGCACCGACUCCGUUAGAUUUUUAUCUCGAGAUAUUUUGUGUAAUUACUUAUUUUCUCCUUGUAAUCAAUUAAAGAUAUUUUUAGAUAUUUAGGAUAUCUAAAUAAGGAGUUAAAAUAUCUCUCUAUAUAUGUCUUAAAAUAUCUCUUUUGUAAGCUUUCGGAAGAUUUUCCAGAGAACUCUUGUAGAUUUUUGUAAUAAGAAAUACACAGAGCUUUGCUCUGCCUUACCUACUCAUUUUGUUUUUAUUUUCUUUCUAGCCAAACAACCUCUGAUGAUGUUUUCUCAGAGGAUGAGUGGCUAGGUUUUUCAUUUCUUGGACUGAAGGAAGCUAGGUAAGGGAUCCGGAUACAAAGGUGGGAGUUUUCCUUGUUUUAAAUGAGGAGAGUUGUUACCCGUUAAUGGUUUUUAUUUUUAAGGUUUAACUUAAAAUCCCUUAAAAUCACCUGGGCCAAUACUUGGUAAGCUUUUCAGACUCCCUGGAGAUCCAUUCGUUAUCUCUUAUGAGCCUCUGGGAGGUGGUUUAAAGAUAGGAUUACCUAAAAUAGCCAAUAAUUGGUAAGCUUUUCGGACUCCCUAGAGAUCCAUUAGUUAUCUCUUACAAGCCUCUAGGAGGUGGUUUAAAGGUAGGAUUACCUAGAAUGGACAAUAUUUGGUAAGCUUUUCGGACUCCCUGGAGAUCCAUUAGUUAUCUCUUACGAGCCUUUGAAGGGUAAUCCAAGGUUAGGAUCACCUUGAAUGGCCAAUACUUGGUAAGCUUUUCGGGGUCCAUGGAAUCCAUGGAUGUCUAUUAGUUAUUGACCGAAAUUUCUCUAUUGUACCAAAAUACUUAGCCUUUUUACGUAGUAACUCUGGUCAAGAAAAACUAGAGAAAGAGUCACUACGGCUUUUGUAGUAUUCCGGGUAUCGUUCUCAAGGACUGGCUUAUGAAAAUUGUCAAUACUAGAAUAAAUGAAUUGUUUUUUGUUUAAAUCCUUAAGUGAAAAACAAUAUGUGAAUAAUGUGAAACUAAGUAAAAGAAAUUGGAUUAAUAAGAGAAAAUGAAUAUUGAUUUUAAAUUCAAUUGAUUCAAGUUUGGGGUUUUCCACAAUCCAACCUAGGGUAUAGAAAUUAUAGAAAACAAGGGUAUUUUAAGUAAUAUGAUCUUAGGGUUUUGGGAUCCUUGGCCACUCGCGAUCAAGUUGGGUUCUAUAACUCAAAAUUGCAUCCGAAACCUAAUUUUUCCUUUUUCAAACAGAUUCCUAAAACCAUCAAAUGAAUGAGAUUGAUUAUCAAUUUAAGAUUUGGCUUUUUAACCCUUCCUACUCCUUAUAGCUUUGUUUAGGGGCAAAUAACGGUAGGGAAAACGAGGAUAACUAAUGAUCAAGAAUUACCAAGAAUCACUAGUAUCAAGUAAUAACCUAUCGUAUCAUUCCCUAAACGAACUCACAAGGAUAGGAUAAAAAAAUAUAAUAAAUUGUCACCCAACCAAUAAUUAAUCUCAUUGUUAUAGUAAUUUACCCAUUGUCCCUAUAGGUUUCCUAGCCCUUAGGUUUUCAUGCUUCAAGCCCCAAGUUGGCUCUUAGCCUCUCAUGGGGGUGAUGUCACAUUCACAAUCCAUAGUAGGGUAAAAAUCCAUAAUUUGAAUCAAAAGAAACUAAAAACAAUAUAUUCAAGAAAGAAGGAGAAGAAAACAAACCAAAGUUCUCGUCUUCUUCCACCUUCAAUGUCAAACUCUCUAGAAAAAAAUCCAAGAUCCAAGAUCCCUAAAACCUAGAAUUGAGAGGGUUUAUAUAAUAUCCUCAAUUACCUAACAUGUGGCACACUCUCAUUGGCCACUUAUUACAAAAUAAUUUCCUAAAAAUGAUUAAAAAAUAAUAAAAUGGUGAUUUCUAGUCGUGUGGGGUCCACCUAGGCCGGAUGGAGUGCUUUAGAUGCAAUUCCCGAGGUAGAGGAGGCGGAACAUCAAAGUGGCAGUGGGUGAAUUCGAAAUUGGUGUCAUUUCGAAGUGAAUUUCGAAUUCAUAAGUUGAAUAUAUGCAAUUCCCGGGGUAGAGGAGGCGGAACAUCAAAGUGGCAGUGGGUGAAUUCGAAAUUGAUGUCAUUUCGAAGUGGAUUUCGAAUUCAUAAGUUGAAUUUCGAAAUCAUAAGUUGAAUUUCGAAAUCAUUUCGAAAUGACCCUCCAGCUUGGUGCAGUUGUCUUCAAAUGGCCAUAACUUCUUCAUUUCAGCUCCAAUUUGCAAACCGUUUGAAGCGUUGGACUCCUGACUUCCCGAGCUUCGAAACGAUAUAUAGUAUGUAUAUAAUGGACUCCAGAAAGUGCUCAAAAUUUGUCCUCAAAGUCAGAGUAUAUAAUGCCAUCAGAUUUUUGAGUUCUAAAUUUCCAUGUAGCUAAAUCUUGCUUCAUGCCUCAUUUCCCAUGCUUCCUUGCCUUCUUUCUUACUCCAUAAUGGUCAUUUAUCAUCCUCCAACCUCAUGAUAUCCUUGUUUUGCCUUUCCUUACAUUCAAUGAAUCUUGACUCACUUAUGUCCUCAUUUAGCCCUUUCUUGAUCUUUCAAAAUCUAAAGUCAUUCAAUUUGCACAAUUUUCUUCCCUUGAACCUGAGAUAAAUCUCCAAAGUAUAGAUUAAACUCAUGGCUAGGGCCUUAGCAUUGAUUUAGGUCAAGUUGGGUGAUUUGAAUGUCCUUUGGUGCACAAAUCAUAUCGAAUAUGUGCCAUUAGAGCACAUAUUUUGGCUCCAAUCAGUUAUCUCUUACAAGCCAUUGAAAUAUGAUUCACAGUGAGAGGUCUUUAGUGUUUGAAACCAUUAAUGGGAAGCAACUACAGUUUUUCAUGGACCAGUGGGAUCAAAUCUUGAUUGCUAAAUACACACCGAUUCGGAAGAUAACCAUUCUUUAUGUUAUUAUCCCCAACGCGAGGAAAAGAUCUGAAAUCUCCCCCUUUUGUCUAAGGAACCUGAACCUAGUGACUUAAAACUCCAAGAAACCCUUUUCUUUGUAAUUAAUCUCAAUUACUACUUUUGGUUAACUUAAAACCAACUUUUUUCAACCAAAAUUAUGUUUUCUUUUAAAGCUAACUCAUAAAAGAAAAAGCACAAUUUCACUACUUUAACUAAUAUCACUUGUAAUAUGAAAACCCAUCCCUGUGGACGAUCCUAGAACCACUAUACUAUGCUAGCUAUGCUACCCUAGUGUAUGGUGAAUUAGGUUUAUAAAUUUUGUUGAUAACUCCCGUCUGAGGACUGAAUCAAAUAGAUCACCAAUUGGGGACGAAUCAGUAGCACUUUAGGUAAAUUCAUUUUAGUUGCAUUUUAAGAAAAUUCAUUUAGUUGCAUUUUUAGAAAAUCAUUUAGUUGCAUUCUAAGUAAAUUCAUUUAGUUGCAUUUUAGGUAAAUUCACUUAGUUGCAUUUCAGGAAAAUUUACUUAGUUGUAGUUUAGGUAAAUUCACUUAGUUGCAUUUUAGUAAAUUCACUUAAUUGCAUUUUAGGUAAAUUUACUCAAUUGCAUUUUAAGAAACUUCACUUAGUUGCAUUUGAGGAUAAUCCACUUUAUGUAUUUUUAGGUGAGUCUCAUUUUUGCAUUUUAGUGAAUUUCAUUGGUGCAUUAUUGUAAUUAAAUUAUUGCAUUUUUAGAGAUUUUUCAUAACAUACUUUGAAAGGUUUUCCAUCUUCUAUAAGAGGACAGUAUGCAACAUCAGUUGGCACAACAAACUCUGAGUGCCAGGAAAGUUCUCUUCUUUCUCGGAUUGACCACCGCACUUUAGGUAUCUCAUACUCAACUGGUACUUGUUCAUUGUGCUCUGGAACUACUUUAAAAGAUUUUGGUUAUUCUUGUUUUGAUUGUUUGUUUCCAAUUAAACUUAUAAUGUUCAUCUUUUUCAUCAAUGUGUAUCUUCUUCUUCACUCUGUAGCAUGUCUUCUACAAAGAUGAUAUUUCUACUGAUGAUAAAAUUGCAAGCAAUGGGAUCUCACAAGCGAUACCCCUUUACUCCAUUAGUAUACCCCAAGAAUAUGCAUUUUCUGAAUUUGGAUCCAACUUUAUUCUUUCUUGGUCAUUAUACAUCACAUAAGCAGGACACCCAAAUAUAUGUAAGGAGGAAAAGUUCGCUGGCUUACUAGUCUACAUAUCCAUAGGUGUUUUCAUCUCAAUUGUUGUUGAUGUAGACCAAUUAAUUAUAUAGCAAGCAGUUUUGGUUGUUUCGGCCCAAUAUGUUUUGGGUAGUCUUGCAGUCUUCAAUAUAGCUCUCAUUCCUUUUGCAACAAUUCUAUUUAUCCAUUUUGCUACACCAUUUUUUUAUAGAGUAUAAGCAAUAGUUUUCUGUCGUUGUAUGUUUUCCUGACUAUAAAAUGCAUCAAACUCCUGGCUACAGAAAUCUCAUAUAUUGUUUAACCUCAAACAUUUUAUCUUUUUUCUCAUUUCAAGCUCCCUCUAGGCUUUAAACGCUUUGAAUACUGGAAAAACAUUUGGCUUUCUCUUAAUAGGGUACACCCAACAUCUUCUAAAAUAAUCAUUUACAAACAACACCAAAAUGCUCCCAAGAUAUGUGACUGGUGAUUCCCAAACAUCAUAAUGAACCAAGUCUAGAAUGCUCUUACUUCUUUUCGUAGAUCUACUGAAUCUUAAUCUAUGUUGCUUACUGAUAACACAAUGCUCACAGAAUAAUAAACUUGUAGUUUUGAGUUCAGGAAGCAACUUUUGAUCAGAAAGAAUUUUCAAUCCUUUUUCUUUCAUGUGACCAAGUUUGUGAUGCCACCAUCUCAUUGUUAAUUCUUCUCCAAAGUUUGCAACAAAAGUCUCUACUUGUUGAUAUGUCCUCUCAUGCAACAUGUAUAGAUUUGCAGUAAUAUUUUCUGCCUUCAUCACCACAAGUGCACAUCUAAUAACCUUAAUGAUUUCCUUUUUAGCAUGGAAUUCAUAUCCAAUGUCAUCUAGUUGUCUUAUUGAUAGCAGAUUUUUCUUUAAGCCUUUUACAUGUCAUAUCUCUAGAAUAAUGUGACUCACACCAUCAUUCAUCUUUACUUUGAUGAAGCCCAUGCCAACAAUCUCCAAAGCAUGAUCAUUACCCAUAUACACUAAUCCUCAUGGGAUAGGUUCAUAUUGGUGAAACCCUUUUCUAUGAGAAGUCAUAUGUCAUGUUGUUGUUGAGUCAAUUAACUAAACUUCAAAAAAUCAUUUUCUAACUUCUACAAUUGUUGUUGCCUCAUUGUAUAAGAUUUUGUCUUCAUUUGAAGUACUUGCUACACAACUCUGAGUAUUUGAUAGCUCAAGCUCUUUCUCUUUCAUGUUUUUAUCUACUUCUCCUUUGAAAUGCCAACACUCUUUUUUUACGUGUCAUUGCUUUCCAUAGUGAUAACAUUUAGCUUUCUUCUUACCUUAGGACUUUGAUCUAUUUUGUUUACUCCCACUAGAACCACGUUUUGUUGAUCUCCCUUUAGAGAUAAUUAGAGCCUCGAUUUGCUGAGAAGAUAUUAUGUCUUCCUUGUUUUUACGCCUACUUUCUUCCUCAAGUACAAUAGUCGCAACAUCAUUAAAGACUAGCAUUAUCUACAAUGCACCAUUGGCCACAUUUAUGAUGAGAUGAUCAUAUGAAUCAAGUAGACUUUGGAGUAGAAGUUCAACACGUUCCUUCUCUUAUAUACUAUGUUUUAUAGCUGAUAGUUAAGAAAAUAGAGUUUUUAGGGUGUUGAUGUGUUCAAUCACCAAAGUUGAUUCUAACAUCCAAAGAGUGUAGAGUUUUCUUUUCAAGAAUAUUUUGUUGUGCAAUGACUUGGCUUCAUAUAAGUUUGUAAAAGUAUCCCAAAUUUCUUUUGCUAAUUAAUUGUAAUUUUAACAUGCUUGACAGUAUAUUAUCUGCUACUGCUAAAUGCAAGCUUGCAAUGAUAUCCCCAUCCAUUUGCUUUCACUUUUUAUCUUCAACAUUUUUUGGUCUUUCACCAAUUGUUUCUAGUUAAUUUUCUUUCCUCAAGAUGGCUUUCAUUUUUAUUUUCCACAGCCCAAAAUUGUUCCCAUUGAAUUUUUCUAUUUCAAAUUUUGUCGUCAUUUGUUUCACUUUUAUAGUGAUUAGUAACCCAGAAUAGGAGUAAGUGGUUGUGUUAAAUACACCAAAAAAGUCUCGAGGAAAGUAGAUAAGUCAUAGUGGUCCCACUCUCCUUAGGCUCUAAUUGCCCUUUUUGAUAGAACAUUCCUAGACAUGUACUAACCACACAAGUAACCAUCUAUUGUCCUAAACCAAAGCUCUAAUACCAUUGUAAUGAAAUGAUACCUAGAGCGAUAAUUUGAAAAUAGAAUAAUAAAAAAUAAAAAUGGAAUAAUAAAUAAAACAAUAGAUAAAACAAUAAAUAAAAUAAUGGACAAAAAUACUUACAUGAUAAAACCUUCUUAAUUAAAAUGGAAACUUCCACGGGACAAGAUAAAAAAAAUAUCCAUUAUAUGAAGACAAAAUUUCAACCUCCCUCUCAAUUAAAAUGAAAGAACAUAAAAGCUUACAAAAGAAUGAAAUCCUUUUUUAGGAUGAAUAGUAUAAGGGGUGGAAGCCUUCUUUCAUAGGACAAGGAAGUUCUCCCUUUUUUGUUUUCUUCUGAUGUGGAAUGACUUCAACCUUAACAAAAUACUGGAAAAACUAUUUGUCCUCUUUCUUUCAUGCACUCCAUGAUCUUGGUCAAUUCAUCUAAACACCAUUUCAAUUGAGCAUAAUAUUUUUUUUAAAUGAUCACACCCUUGAUUCUUCAAUUGUUUUCAAGAGUGAUCCAAUCAUUUCUCCUCUCUGAAGUUUGUCAUCUUUAAAGGUGUCAAUGUGUUUUGGACCCAAUGCCUUGAAGAGAUGAUGGGUGAAACCAUCAUGAGUGUCUUCACCUCUAAAACUCAAAAGCACAUCAUAUCUCCAAUAUUCGAUAGUAUGAGAAGAAGGAGAAACUCUUUUCAUACUCAUGGAAGCCAUUGUUAGGUUGUUUAUGGCCAAAUUAUAGGGUAAAUGAUAUUUAAGCUCCUUUCUAAGGGGGGAAAUAAAGUGAUGUAGGAAGCUAGGCUACUUUUUGUGAUUUUCUAAGAAGUUUUAAUCUUGGAAGAUAUCAAGAAGGCAUGAAAUUUAUGUGAAGAAUGAAAGGCUCUUUUGAGGCUCAUGGAAGCCAUGUAAGAAUUUUAAGUGGCCCAGUGUAUAUUAUUAUGUGACAUUUAAAUAUCAAAUUAAACAUUAUGGUCGAAUAAAUAAUAACGUUAAAAUCCUAUUCGUUAGUUUUCAAGAAGUUAGUUUCCUAAAUUAAAGGCACUUUGAUGGAAAAUGUACUCCUUAUUCUAUAAGGAAAUUGAUCUUCUCUUCACCUUAUAAAAUAAAUGUUAUAUUCCAUCAAUAAUAUAUAUGAGAGAAAACCUAAGGGUAAAAGGGUUAAGGGAGAACAACACGAUUUCUACUAUGUUUAUUGUUUGGUCUCUUCAAGAAUUCUCUACAAAUUAAAAGUAUAUCUUUUCUCAAUAAUGGAAAUGUGAAAAAUCAUAGUGUUCUAAAAUCCUUAGCUAUUAUGAUUUAUGCAAAAUUAGGGUUUGAUUUGCAUAAUUAAAUCAUUACUUUAGAGUUUAAUUGGUGAGCAUAUAAUACCAUUGACAUAUGUUGAUGAUUAAGUAACGUGUUGUGGACUCGCAUUUUUCACGUGCGUUCUCACUCAAACGACGAGACUCAUUUUUUAUUUAGUGAAAAUUUUAUUUUUUGAAAAAGACUUAGAGUCGCCACUUAUUUUAGUUUUUUUUAAAUGAAAACAAAAUAAGAAAGAAAACCAUGUGUGACUUCUUAUUUGGGAAAGACAAAUCUAUAAAAAUUGAGUUUAGAUAUGAGGGUCAGGUUACCUAUGGAGAAGGUACACUUAUAAGCCAUAACACUCCUCUAAACCCAUAUACCUACGAUCUCUACUAAAUGAAUCAAGGGAAUUGUGAUAAUUAAUUAAUUAAUUAUAGAUACCGAAAUUAAAGACACAAAUCAAAAUACACAAAAAUAAUUAUAAAAUCAAAUUACAAAAAUGCACAAGAUAAAUGAUAUGAGAAUUAUGAAAAAUGAUUUAUUGAACUAAUUAAUUAAAAAAAUAUUUCAAAAAUUAGUUUUUCAAGAAAUUUCAAAGGAUUUUAUUAAAAACAAUUUUGAAUUAAUAAUUUUAAUUUGUUUAUUUACAAAAAAAAAAAAGUUUCAAUAUAUUUUUAACAAGUGAUUUGAUUCAAUUUCAUUUGUAUUCAAUUUUCAAAAAAGUUAUUUACACUUAUUUUAUCAAAAGAAUUUAAUACAAAAUUUCAAUUUGACAAUAAAAAUUAUUUUUACUUCUUGUUACUAGAAAAAGUUACAACUUUAUUUAAAAAGUCCUUCAAUUUAAUUUCUAUUUACAAAGGAAUUCAUUUCUUUACAAGCUUUAUUUACAAAAAUAUUUUCGAUCCAAUUUAUUAAGAAAAUGGUUUUUGCAACUUGAAUUUGCAAAAAUGACUCCCCUCUGAUUCUCAUUAAAAGGUUAUUUUAAGACCUUCAUUUACAAAAAUUACUUUUAAUCUCAUUCUAAUUAAGGAAAUAGAAUUUAUUUAAAAAAUAUAUUUUUUUGGACAAUUUUAUUAAAAAAAAUAAUCUUUUGAGAAAUAUUAUUUAAAAGCUAGUUUUCUGAACAAUUUUUUUUAAACAUAAAUUUUCAGACAAUUAUUAUUAAAAACAAUUUUUCGAAUUUUCUUAAAAACAAAUUUUUUUGGAUUUUUCUGAAAGCAUUUUUAUGAAUUUUUAUCAAGAAAACUUUAUUUUAUAAAAAAAUAUAUAUUUUCUGAACCUUUAUUUUUAUUAAAACAAAAUUUCUAAGUUAUUGUUCAAUUUUGUUCACACCCAAUAAAUAUAUACAUAAAAAUAUUUACAGGAAUCAAUAACAAUAAAACUAAAUGGAAGUGGAAAAUAAAACGUAUAUCCCAACAAGCCUACAACAAGUUCAAUGCUUCAUUUAUAGUUUUCCUGAGCUUUCUUUCCUUCCAUGAAAUUCGAUUUUCCACUUGUCAUUGAUCUAUAUUCAAUGGAAGGAGCCCAUUCAAAACAAAAUUAAACCAAAUGUAAAUAUCUAGAAAUGUACAAAGUCCAAAAUAAAUAUUUAAACUUAAAUUCAAACUUCAAAUUAGUCAAAUAAAUUUUACUAAUUAAAAAAGGGCCCAAAUUAGUAAAUAAAACUCAACAAAAAUAACCCACAUGUUAUAGGCCUUAGUCCAAGAUCUCCAAAUUAAUAACUAAAAUACAAGCACAAUUAACCAAACCUAAAAUUUGAUAAUUAAAACAAAUUCCAUUAGACCUAAAUUUAAUAUCCCAUAAUCUAAAAGAAAUUAACCCAAUUUAAUAUGUAAACCUAAAUCCAUAACCAAAAUCAACUCAAUUUAAUAUGCAAACUUGAAGUAACACCCAAAAUAUACCACAAUUAUCUCAUAACAAAUCAAAUAAUUUAAAUGAACAAAAUCCAUAUCAAUUAUAAAUCCAUCCAACAAAUUUCAUUAACAACAAAUAAACCCAAAUUUUGUAUUAAUUCAUCAAAGCUCACAUUCCAUAUUAAUUCACCAAUUCAAAUCUCACAAAUAAAAUAAAAUAAUGCAUAAAAUAAACUUACACAUUUUUUUGGAGACCAAGAAUGAAUAGGAGAGAAAAAAAUGGCAGUGGAAUUGAGGAGAGAAAGAAAAGGAAAAAAAGGAAAAAAUAAUAAUAAAAUAGGCAAAUGGGUGAGGUGAGAAAGGGAGGGAAGGGGAAAAUGAGAAAGGGGAAAAGGAGAUGGUUGACCGACAGUGGCUUGCCAAUGACGAUUGGCCGGCCGUGUUGUCCACAGUGAAGGUUGAGUGAGUGUGGUGAGAGAGAAAGAAAGAAGAAAAGAAGUAGGAAAAAAAGAAAGAAAAAAAAAUGGGGAAGGGCAUGUACAAUCUCUAAAAGUGGGUUGUCUCCGUGAUGUGGGGGGGUACGGGAGAAAGUGGGGGUAGGUGGAAAGAGAGAGAAGAGAGAAAAAUAAAAUAAAAUAAAAUAGAGAAAAGAAGAAAAUGAAAAAGAAAAAAUGUAAAAUAUAAUAAUAAUAAUAAUAAAAUGUUCUACAAAAUAAUAAAACUAAGAAUUAAAUAGUGUCUAUGGACAAAAAAAAAAUAGAUGUAAUCAAGUUUAGAAUGUAAAGAUAAAAUGAAGCUCAAAAUCAAUGUAAAAAUAAAUAUGAGACAAAUUUUGAGGUCUAUCCAUGUAUACUUUUGAUGUUAUUGUGAUGAAGUUUAUGAUAAUCAAAGUUUGACUUUAUCAAUUUUUGAUAUAUUAUAUAUAAUGUAUGUUUAUGGUUAAUAUAUAAAGUGAAUGACUUUCUUAAUUCAUGAAAUUUAUUGAAUUGAUUUAUACAUCAACCACUUUUGAUUGAACCAUAAAUAUGAUUUUGUUCAUGUUGUUGCAUCUUUAUCAUCAAUAGAUUCUAUAUGUAAGUGAAAUAGAUUAUGUUAUAUAUAUAUUUAUGUCAAUAGUGAAUUUUGUAUCUUUGAUAGUAAUGUUUUAACGAUAUAUGUACUAUAUAUAAAGAACCAAGAAAAUAUUAGAAGGGUAAACCCAACGAGAGGAAGUACUACCUAAUUCAUAAAUAGUACAAAAUGGUGAUAUGGUGGUCGAGAAAAUACCUUCCACGAAAGAACCUAAUGGAUCUCUUUAAUAAAACAUUAAUAGGCGUCACAUCACUUGUGGCUGGUUUGUGUACCGCUUCCCCGCUUCAUCAAUUGGUGUCAAGUCACUCACAUCAAAGCUUCAUUCAGAAUAACCACCUUGAUGGGCCUUAAUGUAAUUAAGGAAUGUGGAAUUGGUAUAGUGUAUGUUAAUGAAGAGAUGAAUUACUCUAUCUUCACUCCUCCUAAUGAGUCAUCUGUUGUCCUUCAAGAAAUCCACGAGGAGGGACCUAGUGCAAGCGGGUGCUCUAAUAUUGAACUCUGAUUACUAUUCUGCUGAUGAGGGGGAACCCACUGCACCCCUACUGUAAGGAUCACUCUGAAUCAGAGAUGUAGCUAGAGCAACGGUUGCAAUGCAGCCAUUAUCAGAGCAUCCCUUGGCGAGGAGGAACCGGGCAGACAAAUGCUUGAUAUGCACCCAAAUCUUCCGAUAUCAACUAUUGGUGAGCUGUGUGCUUCCUUUGUUUCUUAUCUUGAAACUGACUUUGUUCCUUUGUUUCUAAUAUUUUUGAAACAUCAUAACCAUUGGAGUUUUCGGGUUGUGCAGUAGUGGUGUUGCUGACAAGCUUUUGAAGUUUGAUACAUGCUGGGUGGUUGUUGCUGGUUUUUGCUUUAAAUUUGCCUUGAUACAUGUUGAGUUGUUUAGCAAACUCACUCUUGACAGAUUUUGGUUAUUCUUUCCCACAUGCUAAUGUGAUAUAUCUCUGUUCAAAUUCCUAUUUUCAUUCUUAUUCUCAUAUACUGAACAUACACCCUUAAGGGCAUAUGUUCUCUUCUAAUGUUAGAACAAAAAGGAUCAUGAUAAUUUUUUUUUGGGGAUGGGUUCUUUUGGCUGAAUAUGAUAGAGCUGUUAACAGUUCAUGGUUACUUUGUAAGAAUUGUAAAUUCUUUGGUUGAUUUUUAUACCAUAUUUUGUAGUUUCAUUUUGAUGGAUUCUAAGGUAAUCCAUGACUCAUUUAUCUUCAUUUUGUUAGUAAUGAUGUAUAAGAUACUUGCAGCCAAUGUUUUGAAAACCGGACUAAACCGUUAUCGGCCAUCUCUCAGGUCGAGUUUUCCCUAGGGAACCAUUUUCAUAUUAAACCGGGCUUGAACUGCUCAAGUCGGUCUGGUUUGCACCAGGGAACUAUUUUCAUAUUAAAUCGGUGUUAAACCGCUUGAGCCAUGGUUGGAUCAUUGAACCGGACGGACCGUUCGGCUUCCUAAGAAGCAGUCAAGCCCAAAACUGGGCCAAACUUCCACUUGUUGUAGAAGCCCAAUAGGCUCUACAGCCAAUCAUCCAUUAAAAGCCCAAACCGGUUGAGCCCAAGAGGGUUUAAACGAGCCAAAGCCCAACCCAAUCCGAUGUGGGAUUGAUUCCAGGUGGUAAGGAAAAAAAGUUGUGCAUGCUGCAGGUGGAUUUGAGGUCAGCUUUAAAAUCAAGGGCAAGGCCAUUGAGCUAUAUGCCAUCCAUGUACAAUAAUGCUGUAAAACUAAAUAUAUAGAAAGAUUAAUGGUUUUUUUUUCAAAUAUUUUCAUGUAAAUAUUUACGUUCAUGUCUAUUUGUAUAAUAAUAAUUAUGAAAAUAAUGUAAAUAAUUAAUAUAAUAAUUUUAAAGUAAUAAAAUACAACGAGAUAAAAUUAAAUACUAUGAUUUUAUUUUCAUCUUAAAUACUUUAUAUUUAAAUAUUAUACAUAUUCUAUUUAAUAAGGUUUCAAAUAUUAAUAUAUUUACAUUUAUCUUUAUAAUUUAAUUUGAUAUAUCUAAUAUAAAAUUGAAAUAUUAUUUAAAAUUUUUAUUAUAUAUUCUAAAUUUUUUAUAAUUAUUUUUUUAUUUUAUAUAAUAUAUAAAUUAUAUAAUUAUUACUUCAUUGAUUCUAUUGUGGUUCAACCAUCGAUCCAAUCAAUAAACCACAAAUCGAUAACUUUUUCAAUCCAAUAACGGAUCUGGUUCUAAUUAUUACAAAUGGAAGUAAUUUAUUGCUUUGAGAAGGUUAAGGAAGGAAAGAUAGAAUAAGUCCUCCUCUAUCGAAGUCCCCUUUGGUAACUGGUAACAAAACCUAAGCUCUCCCUUGUAUAUUUCAUGACAUAAUUUUAAGUAAAGAGGUAUAUUUGGCAAAUAAUCAUUCUCUUCCCCUUACUUCCAUCCUGCUCACCGUCCUAGGAAAAAUUUAGCAUCUUCAACCUUGUACCACGCGUGCUCUCGGGUCCUAUGGCUUUGUUUCUAAUCCCCAUUUGCAAAAAGUUCAGUGUGUGAAGCCUAAGGGUCUUAACGAAAAAUCAUGGUAUAAAAUGUGAACCAACCAAAAGGCUUUAUCCAAUUCUUGUGGCCAUGCAAAGCCCUUGUCUUUCUCUAGCCGGAGACUUACUUGCAAGGCGACGGAAGUGUCGGUGGCGGAGGAGCCGUCGGCUGCGGGGGAUGGCGAGAACUGGGUGCCAGUGGUGCCGCUGUCGGCAUUGCCCAAGGGGGAGCGGCGCGUGAUUAUACAGGACGGAGAGACGAUUCUGUUGUUGUGAUUAUACACGAAAUUUAUGUGAAGAAUGAAAGGCUCUUUUGAGGCUCAUGCAAGCCAUGUAAGAAUUUCAUGUGGCCUAGUGUAUAUUAUUAUGUGAUAUUCAUUUAAAUAUCAAAUUAAAAAUUAUGGUCAAAUAAAUAAUAAAACUACCAGAAGUUAAUUUCCUAAAUUAAAGGUACUUUAAUGGAAAGCGUACGCCUUAUCUGAUCUUCUCUUCACCCUGUAAAAUAAAUGUUCUAUUUGAUCAAAUACACAUAAGAAAAAACCUAAGAGUAGAAGGGUUAAGAAAGAACAACACGGUUUCUACUUUGCUUAUUGUUUGAUCUCUUUAAGACUUCUAUAUGGAUUAAAAGUAUGUCUUUUCUCAAUAAUGGAAUUGUGAAAAUCAUAUUAUUCUAAAAUCCUUGACUAUUUUGAUUCAAACAAAAUUAGGAUUUGAUUUGCAUAAUUAAAUAAUUACUUAUGAGUUUCAUUGGUGAGCAUAUAAUACCACUGACAUAUGUUGAUUAAGUGACAUGAAUACUUUUGAUGUUAUUGUGAUGAAAUUUAUGAUAAUAAAAGUUUAUUUUAUCAAUUUUCAAUAUGUUAUAUACAAUGUAUGUUUAUGGCUAAUAUAUAAAGUGAAUGACUUUCUCGAUUUUUGAAUUGAUUUAUGCAUCAACCACUUUUGAUUGAACCAUAAGUAUGAUUUUGUUCAUGGUAUUACAUCUUUAUCAUCAAAAUAGAUAUAUAUCUAUAUGUAUGUGAAAUAGAUUAUGAAAAUACUAGAAGAGUAAACAUAUUGAAAGGAAGUACCACCUAAUUCAUAAAUAGUACAAAAAGGUGAUAUGCCAAUUGAGAAGAUACCUUUUGUAAAGAACCUAAUAGAUUCUUAUACUAAAACACUUAUAGGAAAAGUCUUUGAUUGUAACGGGGACAAUAUAGGUGUCAAAUAUGCACCUAAUUUACUUUUAUAGCAUUAUGUUUUGAGGGCUAAUGGAAGAUUGUUAGGAUAUCAUCCUACAAAGCAUUACAUGAUAUAAUUAGAAAUUUGGAUUUAUCAUUUAUUUAAUUAUAUUCUAAUUGCUCUUUUAUCUAUGCUUGUAAUAGAGAGUUCCCUAUAUUCAAAUCCCAACCCUAAUAUCAUAUAAAAUAAAGUUUCAUGCUAGUAGAAUAUCUAAAUAUAUUCUCGGUAGUUUUUGGUCAUCAUUGGCAUAACUUUGGGCUAUGCACAAUAACUUUCCAUAUAUUUGGCUUUUAGGUAUAAAUUUAAUUUCUAUAUGAAAUCGUUCAAUAUAUAACUUUUUGCUACAUGAGUCUAAAAGUUAUUAACUUCCAUGCAUGGUGCGACUGGUGGGGUUUCCAAUCACUUGGAAACCAUGUCCAGAUACAUAUGAAGAGAUCAAUAAAACCAACCUUCCACUUCCUACAAUAAUAGUUUACCAAGUGUAUCUUCAAUCCUAAGCCAGUCUGGUAUUCGGUGUUGCAGCUCCUGUAAACUGGCCUCUGCUUGGUCCAGCUCCAGAUAAAGCUGCUCUACUUCAGCUAUCUUCUCAUUCAAGCGCCUACGAAUCACGUCCCUCUUGCCCUCUGCUUGUGCAUACUCAACUAAAGGUUGCACUCCUGUAAACUGGCCUCUGCUUGGUCCAACUCCAGAUAAAGCUGCUCUACUUCAGCUAUCUUCUCAUUCAAGCGCCUACGAAUCACGUCCCUCUUGCCCUCUGCUUGUGCAUACUCAACUAAAGGUUGCACUCCAACAAAUGGGCUUCUUAACCAAUCAACCUUAACCCGCGCCCUUGAAAAGAAGAAGAAUUAGCUGAAUUAAUAUUAUUGAUGUUGAAGUGUGUAUUUAUACAAGGAGGUUUGAGAUCUUUUUCUACAAAUCAGAAAUCAGCUUACCAUAUUCUAGACUAUCCAGCUAUAAGUCAGGAAUUACAAUAGGAAAACUAACAUAUACAGAUCAUCUAUUCUUAAUAUGGAAGAUUUAGGAAGAUUGACUUUCCAACACUCCCCCUCAAGUUGGAGAGUGGAUAUCCUGCACUCCCAACUUGCGAAUCAUAGGAGCAAAAAUCUCCUUUCCCAAUGGUUUAGUUAGAAUGUUUGCAAGUUGGUGUGCUGAGCUCACAUGUCUUGUAAUAAUGGAACCAUCUUGGAUCUUGUCCCUAAUAUAGUGACAAUCCAUCUCAAUAUGUCUAGUACGCUCAUGGAAAACAGGGUUAGCUGCAAUGUGCAACGUUGCCUUGUUGUCACAAUACAGCAAGGCAGGUUCCUGAUGUAAAACAACCAAAUCUUUCAAAAGGUACCGAAGCCAUGUCAACUCACAACAAGCUCUUGUCAUUGCACGAUACUCUGCUUCGGUUGAAGAGAGUGACACUGUUUUCUGUCGCUUUGAUCUCCAAGAAAUCAAUAAAGGUCCAAGGAAUACACAGUAGCCUACAGUGGACCUUCUAGUAAGUGGACAACCUGCCCAAUUAGAAUCACAGUAGGCUCUCAAUCUAAAAUCAUUAUUCGAAGAGAAGAACAGACCCUGACCAGGUGUAUUCUUGAGAUAACGUACAACUCUGAACGCUGCUUCCAUAUGAGCCUUUCUCGGUUGAUGCAUAAACCAGCUUAACACAUGAACUGCAUAAGUGAUAUCUAGCCUCGACAUAGUUAGAUAUAUUAACCUUCCAACCAAUCUCCUAUAACGACCUUGAUCCUUGAGCAAAUCGCUCUUAUCAGACAAUUUCAAUCCUCGUUCCAUAGGUGUAUCAAUAGGGGCAGCGCCCAACAAUCCUGCAUCCUCAAUAAUCUCUAAUGCAUACUUACAUUGGGAAAUAAAAAUCCCAUUUUUAGAAACAGAAACCUCAAUGCCAAGAAAGUAUUUUAAAUCACCCAGAUCUUUGAGAUGAAAAUGACUAUGUAGAAAUUUUUUUGUUGUAGCAAUGCUCACAGGAUCAUUUCCAGUAAUCAGAAUAUUAUCAACAUAUAUCAAGAGGGCAGUAAAGGACUUGCCUUGUUUUCUGGUGAACAAAGAAUAAUCGACUCGAGAUUGUGCAUAACCGACGGAUUGAAUAGCUUCUGAGAACUUGGCGAACCACUGGCGAGAAGCUUGUUUCAGACCAUAGAGUGAUUUAUGAAGGCGACAUACCAAGUUUUCCUCCCCCUGUCGCCGAAGCCCUAGCGACGGAGACAUAUAUAUUUCCUCAUGUAAGUUGCCAUGAAGAAAAGCGUUGUUAACAUCCAUUUGAUGAAGAGACCAGCCACGGGCUGCGGCAAUGCAAGCAAGCAGCGGACAGAUAUGAUCUUGGCGGUGGGGGCAAAGGUAUUCUGAUAAUCGACACCUUCUAAUUAAGUAAAGCCUUUCGCUACCAAUCGUGCUUUGUAACGCUCAAUAGACCCAUCUGAACGGUGUUUAAUUUUAUACACCCAUCGACAGCCAAUCGUUGUCUUACCGGCCGAAAGUGGAGUGAGAAACCAAGUGUCAUUAGCUUGGAGAGCCUGCAAUUCAGAACACAUUGCCUCCUGCCACUCAGGAUGAGCGGCUGCUUCUAAAUAAGACCUGGGUUCUGUGACAGCACUAUGUUGAGCAACAAAAGAUCUAUAUGCAGGCUUAUAUCUGUGAUAAGAAACAUAAUUGGCCAGUGGAUGUGUACCUUUAGUUGGACCUGGAAUCAAGAAAGACGAUUGAUUGGAGGAAACGUGGGAACAAACAUAAUCGUGGAGCUUGAUUGGCGGGGCGAUAUGGCGGCUGGAGCGACGAAGAGGAGUGGCUGGUUUGGGUGAGUGUGUCUCGGCUGGAGGAACGGACGGGAUGGAUGCAAACGGUGGCACCGGAGAAGGCGAUACUAGAGUUGUAGAAGGCGGUGGUGAAGGGUUUGGAUCAAUCUGAGAAGAAGGUUCGAUAAUGAGUUCGGAAUGUCGAGAAAGAGAGGAAAAGUCGUCAUUUUCUGUGGUGGGAGACAGUGUGCUUGUGUGGUUGGAAAGAAGAGGGGAAAGUGCGUGAGAAGUAGAGUCAAGGGAGGAAGAGAUGUCGUGGGCCACCAAGGGGAUUGGGCCAGAAUUAUGGGUGAACGAAGAGAGAGUAGAGUUGGGCUUGAGAGAGACAUAAGGAAAAAUAUCUUCAUGAAAUUUGACAUCUCGGCUAGUAAAGACCUUUUUGGUUGAUAAAUCAAAUAAUUUGUAUGCUUUCUGACCAACAGGAUAACCAAUGAAGAUGGAUGGCAUGGCACGGUAAUCAAAUUUGUGAGAGGUGUGAACAUUGGUGGCAUAGGCUAAACAUCCGAAAACACGGAGAUGGAGUAAGAAGGUGGUUUUGAGUAAAGCAAUUCAAAAGGAGUUUUGAAAGACAAUAUUGGUGAAGGUAACCGAUUGAUGAUGUGUACGGCAAUGAGAGCACACUCCCCCCAAAAUUGAGUGGGAACUUGAGCAUGGAAUUUCAAAGCUCGGGCUACUUGUAAAAUAUGACGAUGUUUGCGUUCCACAACCCCAUUUUGUUAAGGCGUGUAAACACAAGAAUGCUGAAAGAUGACACCAUUAUCUUGAAAAAAAGGAACGAAGUGAGGUAAAUUCUCUACCAUUGUCACUUCGAAAAGUUUUAAUGCGAAAUUCAAAUUGUGUGAACACAUAGCUGAAGAAAUGUUUUAAAAGUGAUUGUGCUUCAUCUUUAUAUCGCAUUAAAAAUAUCCAAGUGAAACGUGUAUAAUCAUCGACAAUAGUGAGAAAGUAAUGGGCACCAAACAGAGAACGGUGUCGAUAACGACCCCAAAUGUCACAAUGAAUAAUCUCAAAAGGUUUUGUAGAAGAAAUAGCACUAGUACCAAAAGGUAAACAACUUUGCUUAGCCAAAGGACAUAUAGGGCAAGCAUUAUUGGACUGAACAAAAAAAUUCAAAAAAUUCUUGGCAAUGAAACUCAAACGAGAAGGUGAUACAUGGCCUAAGCAACUGUGCCAGAGAUCGGUGGAAGAGAUGGCGAGAUUGCAGGCUGGUUGGUUUGUGGAUGAGGAAUGGUUGGUUAAAGAUUUCUCCGUCGCUAGUGCCACCAAAUAGUAUAGUCCGUCACGUUGUUUACCCAAACCAAUCGUCCUCCUCGUAGCCAGAUCCUGCAAAAUACACCAAUAAGGGAAACACGUCACUGAACAAUUUAGACCUCUUGUCAAACGACUAACUGAUAUUAAAUCAACUUUGAAUGUAGGCACAGAUAAGACAUCAUGCAGAUAAUAGACGGAAUUCAGAGGCAAAGUCCCUUUCGUAACAAUAUUCGUUUUUUCUCCACUAGGCAACAAUACGAGCGGUAACGAGCAAUUUUUAUCUUUAUGCAAUAACUUAGAGGAUGAAGUAAUAUGAUCCGUCGCCCCACUAUCAAUAAUCCAAUUGCGAGAAGCGACUUUGGACAAACCUGGCUUUGUUACAGCAUUCACUUUGGAACUAGAGUUUUCAUCUUGGUUAUUAAGAAGUGACAAAAGUUGCUUGAGUUGGGCUUCUGACAAUGCAACUGCAGGUUUCCCUUCAUCUGCCUCAGAAACUUGGUUAGCUGCAGAAAAACUUUUAUUUCGAUUUGAGUUUGAGCCUAAGUUUAUUCUUGCUUUUGGAUGGUCUGGUGGGUAUCCAUGUAGUUGAAAACACUUUUGGACCCAAUGACCCAUAUCUCCACAAUACGAGCACUGGGGGCGUCCUCUUCCAGAACCCAUGCGGCGCCAAUCUUGAUCAAAAAAUGGUCUGCCAUCUUGUCCCUGAGAAGACCGAUUCACCCGGAAAUUUUGAGAACUAGAGGGGUGAUCAGUCGGUUCCAUCCUUCCUGUGUUCGAUCGAUCUAUUCCAUCCUUCCAAGUUGCCGAAGACUUGUCGUUGCUACGCACAGCCAUAGCAGCACUUGCGGCAGAUUCCGCUGCUGCGUUCGUCGAAGUGAGGAGGCGUUGUUUUUCUUCUUGAGAGACAGAGGAGUAUGCUUGGCGGACAGAAGGAAGAGGAUUCAUCAGGAGGAUUUGCCCGUGAAUAGCACUGUAAGAUUCAUUCAAACCCAUCAGAAAUUGCAUCAAUUUUUGUUGAUCUUGUUGUGCCCCAUGUGAUGCAGCGUUGUAGGAAGCCAGUUCAUCCCACAGGCCUUUCAAUUUUGUGUAAUAGGCAGAGACAGAGAGUUGCUCUUUUCAAAGACAAGCAAUAUCUCGCUGAAUUUCAAAGAUGCGAGGCGCAUUGCUCUGAGAGAAUCGCUCACAGAGAUCUUCCCAAACUUCAUGAGCAGUAGAAUAAUAGAUUACACUGUCCGCAAUUUCUGGAUUGAGAGUAUUGACGAUCCAGGAGUGAACCAUGUCGUUACACCGUGACCAAGUCGCAUAACCUUCAGGAUCAAUUUCUUCUGAAGGAGCCUUGAUCGAGCCAUUAACAAAACCCAAUUUGUUCUUGGAAUUUAAAGCUAGAAUCAUAGCCCUUUUCCAAGCUGAAUAAUUGUCUCCAUUCAAAGAUUUGGAAAUCAAAACCAAACCUGGGUGAUCUGAAUGGUGAGUGAAAUAGGGAUUGGAGAGAUCUGCCUUUGAGAAAUCCGUAGGAAUCUCUAAUUUUGCCAUGAUGAUUGAAGAAAAGAGAUGCUAUACGAGAGAUUAGAGUGUAGCAAUAAAUCAGGAUUUUAGUCCUGCUCUGAUACCAUGAAAAGAAGAAGAAUUGGCUGAAUUAAUAUUAUUGAUGUUGAAGUGUGUAUCUAUACAAGGAGGUUUGAGAUCUUUUUCUACAAGUCAGGAAUUAGCUUACCAUAUUCUAGACUAUUCAACUAUAAGUCAGGAAUUACAAUAGGAAAACUAACAUAUACAGAUAAUCUAUUCUUAAUAUGGAAGAUUUAGGAAGAUUGACUUUCCAACACCCUCUCCAAAUCACUCAAUGCUCUAUCAAUGAAGUAGGUGUCUGCACCAGACAGGCUACAGGCAGUAUUCUUCUGCAUCAGCUCCACAAUCUGCAGUAUGGAACCUUUGAUGAUCUCUACAAACUGGGGUGCUGUAAAGGAGCAAUUGGCAGUUACGUCUCCAUAUUUGGUCCAUAUUUGCUGCCAAAUCGACUCCCUGGUAUUGGAAGUUACACCAGAUCCCUCAACCAUCUCAAGAAGCCCUGCAGCAGCUGUGUUAGGAUCUGUGAGAGUUUUGUCUGUGUCCUCAGCUUCAGUUGGAGCGAAGGAAGUUUGGAUCUCCUAAAGCCCAAAAAAGAGAAGGAAAAGUAUAGAACUUGUGCUUGGAAUUAACCAACAAAAAAGAUUAAUUUUGAUGUAAAAGUGCCCAAGGAAAAAUAUUUUGGUAGUUUCAGUUGAAAAUUUUGACAAACCUUGUCAGCUCCCGAAGCACCUUCCACUUCAUCUGAAGGCCAAUUAAGUGUAUCUAGGCAUUGCAACCUGUGAUUAUGCUCAAGAUGAAGUUUUGUGAUCACCCAUUGUCCAUUGUCAAGUUUGACUUGGAUCUGGACAUUGCAACCUGUUCUUGUUUCUGAUCUCUGAUACUUUGUUCCCUGGUUGGGAUGCUUCUUGGUCCGGAAGCCUUCACAUGAACAAAGAAAGCAUCGCCCUUUCAGUGUACCAUUUGCUUUCCUUUGUACCUUUCCUUUUCUUACUGUAAAACCAAUUCUCUUGGCAUACUUUUUACAAAAUUCUUCAGCUUCUAACUCAGAAGAAAACGCCAUCCCUCUCCGUGGUAUCUGAUCAUCGUCUUCAGGAUUUUUCUCAUUUACAUUAACCAAUGUUCCAAUCUCAUCACCAUUUACAUUAAUAGCCAUUUCAGUCUCACCACUAUAGAACGAACUCCACCAAGAAUCAAAAUUAAGCUCAUCCUGUACAAAGUGAGAUAGAGAGAGAAGUUUUCUAUGAGAAAAAUGAGAAGCAAAAAGUGGUACAAUGCAUAACAAUAAUUUUCUUCUGUUACACCAACUAUUGAUUCAAACUACAUCUUAUCCUGUAACUCUUGUAGAACAAUGAAUUAAUAUAAGAAGAGUGACACUGUAAGACGGCUUAUAGACAAGUAGAUGGAGUAACCAAUUCUUGAUUUGCUGGUAGCAGCUUUAUUUGGGCAGAAAAGUUUUUGAAUUAUUUAUCUUUAAAAUUAACCGUUGUUCUAGAAAAUGGAUCGAGCUUACCUGGAUAGUGAGGCGCCUGAAGGUACCGCCAACUCUGUUGUGGUUUACUAAAUCAUCAGAUUCCUGUAUGGCACCCCGAACAUCUGGGCGUGAACCGAUGGAACUAUACCUGCAAGAUGAUAGGGUUCGAUAGACAUUCUGGUGCAGUUGAUGGGUGUGGAUCCAGAGGAUCGGUGCUUGAUUGCUUUGCUUCCGGCUGGUGCAGGACCCUCAAAUGUUUGGGAUCUCGCCUUCCCAAGCCAAGACUCCUUUUAUGGCUCUCGCAGCCUGCUGUGUGGGACAGCGUCCUUUUUCCUUGUUUGCUUUGCUUCCGUUCCCAAAUUCCAACCCACUGCGCUUUGACCAGAUGGUCCAAAUCUCCAUUUCUCGGCCACGUCGGUGCCUUUGGUGCUCUUUUCCCUUGUUUUAUUUCCUUCAGUGCCUUCACUACAAAAUACAUGGUCCCACCCACCGUUUUUAAAAUUCAACCCAUCUUAUCUAUUUAAGCAUCCGUUGUCUUUUUUAUAAUUCAAAGAUAAAGGUUUUUUAUCUUUCCUCCCAAGAGGCUACUACUCAAAAAGUCAAAACUUCAGAAACAUUAAAUAUAUAUAUAUAAAAUAGAGAAUUAUCAAAACGGUGGGCGGAAAGUGGUAAUCCUUUUUAAAAGUCAUCAUGUUGACCAAUUCUACUCCUCGGGUAAUCAUUUGAAAGAAAUUUUCAAUUAUAUCCUAUCUAAACUUUAUUUUUUUAUUUUUUUCUUUUGUAUUAUUAUUAUUAUUAAAUAUUAAUACUACUCUUAAUAUUAUUAUUUAUGAUAUUAGUAUUUUAAAUUUUCAUAUUAUUAUUAGUAUCAUUCUUAUUAAUAUUAUUUAUUAUUUUUAUGAUUAUUAUUCAUAUUUUUAAUAUUAUAUUAAAAAUAAUAUUAUUAUAUUUUUAUUACUACUACAAAGAAACCUUAGAAGAUAAUUUAUAUUUUUUCGUUCUUAGAACUUGUAAACUUUAUUAAAAAUUUAUUCUUUUUUUUUCAUUUUAUACUUUAUAUGUUAUAUUAAGAUUAAUUAAAUUAUUAUUAUUAUUAUUCUUAUUAUUGCUAUUAAGAUAUUAGUUUUAUAUUAUUAAUAUUUUAAUAAAAUAAUAUUAUAUCCAAGUUAUAGAUAUAAUAAAAAAUGCAUUGAUGUUAAUAAUAUAAUAGAAUAAAGCAAUGUUUCUAAUACUAUUAGAUUUGUUACAAAAUGUAAGUACAACAUUUAUCUAUUGAAUUUAUAACAUAAAUACAUUAAAAAUACGAUAUAGUACAACAUUUUUAAUAGUUUUCAUGUAAAAAUAAAAUAAAAUUUUAUCAUUUAAAUUUAUCUCAUUUUAACUGUUAUACAUUCCAUCAUGUUAAUGUCUUGUAAAUUACUAUUGCAUUUUUUUUCCCACAAAUAAUAGAUUCAUGUUUAUCAUCUCACAAAUAAAUUUUAAUUAGGAUUUAUAUUUAUUUUAAUUUUUAAAAUAUUUAUAAAUAUAAAACAUAAUACAAUAAUUUAGUUUACAACAUUAAACUUUACCUUGCUCCACAUCCUUUCAAAAAGCAAGGAUGACCUUGCCCCAUGUGCUUUCAAAAAAUAAGGAUGAAAAUAUGGAUAAUUAUGAAUAUAUCAGUUAUUUAAUUUUACUGAUACAUUAGAGAUGCGAAUAUUUUCAUACAAAUAUCGAUGAAUAAAAAAUUGAUCAAAACUCAUGAAAAUAUUAUGAAAAUCUCUAAAAAAAAUGAUAUAAAAAUAAUAAUAAUAGAAAUAUUGAGAUUGUUUUGUUAAAAUAAAUUGAUAUAUAUAUAUAUAUAUAUAUAUAUAUAUAUAUAUAUAUAUAAUAUAAGUUGUGAUAUUUAACAAUAAUGUUUAUAACUUGAAAACAUAUUUUAUGUAUAUACACCAAAUUUGAAUAUAUUUAACAAUAUAUAAGAAAUGAUAAUAAUUUGUAGAAGAAUUUUUUGUUUCACACAAUAACCAAAACUAAUUAAUUUAUAAUAAUUUUAUUAUAAUUAAUUUAUAACAUAUAUAUACAUUAAAUAUGUUCGAUUUAUAAUGUAGCAUGGUUGGUUGGCUGGUGGUGGGGGAUUUUCCCCAACUUGAGGUUCUACCUUUCAAAUGAGCGCAAUGUGUAGGCUGGUAAGCGAGCCCAUUGCAAGAUGUUUGAAAAAAAAAAAAAGGAAAAGAAAAAGAAAAAAAAUGAAUCAUGUGGCAUUGAAAUUAUUGGUGCAUCAGUCGUAUGUCGGCGAAAAAUGGCAAGAAAAAAAAAACUCAAUCGGUCAAUUUAAUCUACUAUUCUUAUAAACAAGUUUGUUUGGCUAAAGGGUAGAUUUCACAAACAUGCUUGGAAUCAAAAUAAAUUUCAAGAUUAAUUUUAGCAAGAACUUGAAGAGAACUGGAUGACGAGUGCCCAAGAUGCUAAUGCCAAAGAUUGGGAUGUUUACAAAUGGCAUAAGCCAAGGCUAGAUUUUGGUCUUGUGCUAGGUAGUAGAGGUCAUUAUGUUGCUUGCCCAAGCCAAUAGUCUUCCUUGUAGCAGUGUUUUACACAAUACAAAAAUUGGAAAAGAACAUCACUAUACAUUUAAAUGUCCAUGUUAGUUUACUAAAUGAUAGUAAAUUAACUUGAAAUUGUGAAACUUUGAGUACUUCAUCAAGUUUAAUGUGGGGUGAAAUAUUCAAUGAACUAAUCGACUUAAUAUGUGUUUGACCACCAUCUGGCAAACUAAUGGUGGUUAUCUUAUGCAAAUUUUUUAGAUCUAGUAAUUCAGUUGAAGAAGUCACAUGAUUUGCGGCUCCACUAUCAAUAAUCCAACACAUAUUUCUGAGUGUAGGUAAUCUUGAAUGAUUUUGGAUGAUAUAUUUAUACUUGUGGCAUUUGCAAAAUAUUGUGAGUUACCAUCAUUGUUUUUUUGAAUCAUGGCCAUUAGUUGGUCAUAUUCCUCAGUUGUGAGCCUUAAUCCGUCACUUGUUGGAAGAUAUUUUGCUUUUAUCUCCAUGACCUUGUUUGUUUCCACCUUCACAUUGUUUGCAUUUUAGUGACACUGAUUGGGAGACUUCACGUUCUUCCCAUGAAGCCUGUGACCUAUUGGAAAGCAAUAUAGGUAGUAACACUUCUCAAUGUUAUGAUAAUCACCGUCACAAUAAGAGCAAUGUAGCAAAGUUUUUUACCUUUAAACCUAGUGUGCUGGAGUCACCUUGUUGUGCCAAUCUGCAAGCAUGGCAUGACGGUUCAUGUUCCCAUGUUUGAUAUAAACUUCAACCUGUUUUUCUUAUUGAAGGACAAGUGAGUAAACUCGACAUGUAUCAGGUAGAGGUUGCAUAUCAAUAAGAUUUGUCCAUGAAUGGUAGCAUAACUAUCAUUCAAUCCCAUGAGAAACUGCAUAACUCUUUCUUUCUCAUCCUUUUCCUUGAGUUUCUCCAACCCUCCACAAGAGUAGGAUAACACUUCAUGAUAGGAUGAAAGUUCAUCCUAAAAAGCUUAAAGCUUUGUGUAGUAAACCGAAAUUGAUUGUUGGCUCACCUAUGUUCCAUGAUUUCUCGUUUGUUUUAAUAAAUUCUUGAAUUAUUUCCUUGAAAAAAGCAUUCUUUUAGAUCUACCCUAACUUUUGUUGAAGUUUCAACAUAAAUCACACUGUUGAUUAUGUCUGGAUGAAUGAAAUUCAAUAACCAUGAGAUCACCAUAUCAUUGCAUCAUUGCAUCAUUGCUAAGAAGGAAAACUAUCAUAUGUCAAUGGAGUUGGAGUCAGCUUGAUUGAACCUAUGACAAAUCCAAUCUUAUCUUUAGUACUCAAACUAAUUCUCAUACCCCGACUCCACGUGUUGUAGUUAUCUCCUUCAAGUACCUUAGAGAUGAGUACCAUACUCGGAUGGUUCGAGUGGUGUAGAGAGAAGGAAUGUGAGGCUUCUAUGGUAGCCUUAGACGAUGUCAACAAUCUCAUUCUGUUAUUAAUGUCCAUGGCAGCAACUGUAACAAGGAAUUAGGUUGCAAAAAUAUUUGGAAGAAUUCAAAGCCACCAAGUUUGGUGCUUUGAUACCAUGUCAAAAACAAAGUAAAACAGAAUAUUUUGGAAAUCUUCAGUAUAUUGAAUGUUUUGACUUACAAAGAAAAAAAUACAUAUAUAUAAAACAUCAGUUAGCCUAUUAUAGGAAACUAUGUGUAAACAGAUCAAUUACAAUCAAUCAAAAAAAUAAUCUCAUAUUAACAAAUCUUAUCCUAAAAUUAUGAGAUUCUUGAUUCUUUUCUUGUAAUAAGUUCCACGGUUGGAGUCAAAUAAAGCUCCAAUAAAUGUUCCAUUUUACCUUGAAUAUCUAGAAACUUCUUGAGCCCUGAGCAGCCAAAGAAAUUAAGAAUUUCAAGUGCUUCCAUUUUGAUGAUGCUCUAAAAAUUGCUAAGCUUUUUGCAGUUUUUCAAACUCAAUAAAAUAAGCUUGCUAAGCUUUCCAAUAGAUGGGUGGACCUAAAGCAAACUUGAACAACCAUCAAGAAUUAGUUUCUCCGGAUUGGGCGCACUAAAUGUGAUGUCUGGAAUUUCAAUUAGGUGUUGAAGAAGCUAUAACCAAAAAUAAAAAAGAAAAACCAAUAAUAAUAAUUACUUUAGUAUAUAAGCUUUCAUGGAGUUUAGAGAUUAACUAAAGAAGAAACAUGAAAAAAAUAAAAUAAAAUCACUCAUCAUACCAUGUCAUUUUCACAAAGUUGUUUUAAGCUGCUAUGACACAUGUUAAGUUCUACAAUGUCUUUUGCAUAAAAACUUUAAUAGUUUUUAUGUAAAAAUAAAAUAAAAUUUUAUCAUUUAAAUUUAUCAAACUUUAACCGUUAUACAUUCCAUCAUUUUAUCGUCUUGUAAAUUACUAUUGCUUUUUUUUUCCCACAAAUAAUAUAUUCAUGUUUAUCAUCUCACAAAUAAAUUUUAACUAGGAUUUAUAUUUAUUUUAAUUUUUUAAAUAUUUAUAAAUAUAAAACAUUACACAAUAAUUUAGUCCCAACUCAAGACUUUACUUUGUUCCACACCAUUUCAAAAUCCAAUGAUAAAAAAAUAUCGAUAAUCAUGAGUAUAUUGAUAUUUUGAUUUUAGGAAUAUAUCAUAGAUACGGAUAUUUUGACGUAAAAUGUCGAUGGGUCAAAAAUUUGAAUGUACUUAAUAAUAUAGAAGAAAUAAUGAUAAUUUGUAUAAGUAUUUUUUAUUUUAAAAUUUUGAUAAUUUUAUUCAUAAAUUUAUAUUUAUUUUGUAUUUAACACAGUAAUCAAAAUUAAUUUAUUUAUAAUAAUUUUAUUUGAAUUAAUUUAUAUAUAUAAUUAUAUUUGUUUAUAUAGAUAUAUGGUUUAGAGCCCGUUUGACAGUGAUUUUUAAAAGUGUUUCUACCCUUAAAAACACUUUUAAGUGUUUUUGGGAUGAAAAUAAAGUGUUUGGCAAAUUUUAAAAAACACUUUUGAAAAUCUGGAAAAACACUUAAAGUGAUUUUUAGAGAAUCACUUAACAGGUGUUUUUUUUUAAAAACACUUCAAUUUUUUUGAAAUAUUCCAAAAAUGCCCCCCAGUGGUCAUAUAUUGUUUUACUUUUAAAAUUAUCUUUUAUUCAAUGUUUUUUUUUUUUUUAUUGAUUUAGAUGUUUUUUGUAAAUAUUUUUUAAAAUUUUAGUAUAGUGAUAAAAAAAUUAUUAUUUUUAAUUAGAAAAGUCUUUUUCUUUUUUAGAAAUUAAUAGGUAAAAUCAUAUAUUGUUUUAAUUUUAAAAUUAUCUUUUAUUCAAUGUUAUUUUUUUAGUGAUUUAGAUGUUUUUUCAUUAAUAAAAAGUUUUUUUGUUUAUCAUACCAUUUUUUUUAAUUAAAAUUGUAUGUCCUUUUUGGUAAUUUAUUAAUAUUAAAAGUGUUUUUAUAUUUAUACAAUAUAUUAUCAAAAACACUUUAGAAUCAUUUUUUCUGAUUAUCAUAAAAGUGUUUUUCACAUAAACACUACAGUAGAAAACACUUCAAAUAAAAACACUUCCACUAGAAUCACUACCAAACGGGCUCUUAUAUAUGUAAUGCUGAGAAUGAACAUAUAUAUUAAAUAUGUUCGGUUUAUAAUGUAAAACAUGGUUUUCCCAAGCUCGAGGUUUUACCUUUAAAGUGAGCGCAAUGCGUGGGCUGGGAAGUGAGCCCAUUGCAAGAUUUUUGAAAAAUAAAUUAAUAUUUUAAUAUCCCUCACUUAAAAAUAAAUUCUCUUAUAGCAUGUUGAGACAAAAUAAAUAAAUAAAUAAAUAAUGGUCUAUAGAAAGCAGGUGGGUCAACAAGGACCCUUUGUCUUCGAUGAUCUCACUGGCAUUUAAUUUACUUGUUGCAGAAACUGCCUGUUCCUUACACUCUGCGAGUUUUGCUCAGACUUGACUUUCACAACUCAAAUUUCAGAAUCCAUCUUCUCUGCCGCCUCGUAAUGGCUGAUCCUUCUUUCCAACGGAGCUAUGAUGUGUUCCUGAGCUUUAGAGGAGAAGACACCCGCAAUAGCUUCACUGCCCAUCUCUAUAAGGAGCUACGCACCAAAGGAAUCAACACGUUCAUUGACGAUGACAAGCUUGAGAGGGGUGAUGUCAUUUCUUCUGCGCUUGUUGCGGCUAUUCAAAACUCCAAGUUUUCUCUCGUUGUUUUGUCAGAAAAUUAUGCAUCUUCCGGGUGGUGUUUGGAGGAGCUGGUGAAGAUUCUAGAGUGCAUGAGAACCAUGGGACAGAGGGUUCUCCCCAUUUUCUACGAUGUGGAUCCCUCGCAUGUAAGACAGCACAACGGAAAAUUUGGAGAAGCACUGGCUAAACAUGAAGAAAAUUUGAGAACUAUGGAGAGGGUGCCGAUUUGGAGGGAUGCUCUCACUCAAGUUGCCAAUUUAUCCGGUUGGGAUUCCAGGAAUAAGUAAUUCUCUACAGCUUUCCCAUCAUCAUCUUCAUCCUCAUAUCACUAAUUUCAAUAUAUGCAUCUGUUCAUUAAUUAUCUUGUUUACUUUAAUUUUACCUUUCUCUUUUUGAGUGAUGAACUAAUUUCAUGUUUAUACUUCAAAUUUGGCAGGCAUGAGCCUAUGCUUAUCAAGGGAAUUGCCACUUAUAUUUGGAAUAAAUUGUUUAGUAGAUCCUCAAAUUAUGCUGAUCAGAACCUAGUUGGAAUAGAAUCUAGCAUACGAGAAAUAAAAUCCCUGCUAUUUACCGAGUCUCUAGAUGUUCGCAUGGUGGGGAUUUGGGGCAUGGGCGGCAUAGGUAAAACAACCCUUGCCAGAGCUGUUUAUAACCAAAUCUCUCAUCAAUUUGAAGCUUGCUGCUUUCUUGAAAAUGUCAGUGAUUAUUUGGAAAAGCAAGAUUUCCUUAGCUUGCAAAAGAAAUAUCUUUCUCAACUAUUGGAAGAUGAAAAUCUAAAUACAAAAGGAUGCAUCUCUAUAAAGGCUUUGCUUUGUUCUAAAAAGGUUCUCAUUGUCAUUGAUGAUGUGAACAAUUCAAAAAUAUUAGAAGACUUGAUUGGGAAGCAUGGUUGGUUUGGUAUCGGAAGUAGAAUCAUCAUAACAACAAGAAAUAAGCAGUUGCUAGUUACACAUGGGGUGAAUGAAGUCUAUCAGGCUGAAAAAUUAAAUGAUGAUAAUGCGGUUGAGCUCUUCAGUCGAUAUGCCUUUAAAAAAGCCCAUCCUAUAGAUGAUUAUGUGGAGCUCUCUCAAUGUAUAGUGGUUUAUGCUCAGGGCCUUCCAUUAGCUCUUCGAGUUUUAGGUUCAUUUUUAUUUGAUAAGAGCAAACGGCAAUGGGAAAGUCAGUUGGAUAAACUAAAAAAAAUUCCUAAGAAGGAAAUUCAAGAUGUGCUUCGAGUAAGUUUUGAUGGGUUGGAAGAUAACGAGAGAGAUAUAUUUUUGGACAUCGCAUGUUUCUUUCAAGGGCAUGAUAAAGAUUAUGUAAUGGAAAUAUUCAGAUCUUGUGGUUUCUUCCCUGAUAUUGGAAUAAGAGUUCUCAUUGAGAAGUCUCUUAUAUCUGUUGUUGAGAAUAAAUUGAUGAUGCACAAUUUGUUACAAAAAAUGGGUCGGGAAAUUGUUCGUGAAGCAUCUCCUAAGGAACCUGGAAAACGCAGCAGGUUGUGGAUUCAUGAUGAUGUAAAUCAUGUAUUGACAAAAAAAACGGUAAGAGACAAAUGUAUAAACCCUUUUUUUAUAUAUAUAGGUAAUUAGGUUGGUCUAAAGUGCAACUUAGGAAGUACCAACUUUGUUUAAUUGCGUAGUUUAGUAUGUAUAUAAUUUUACUCACUUAUCCAUUACUCUUUUUUGCUAGGGAACCGAAGAAGUUGAAGGAAUAUCCCUUGACUUGUCCAGUUUGAAAGAGAUAAAUUUCACUAAUGAAGCUUUUGCACCGAUGAAUAGGCUCAGAUUGCUCAAAGUCUAUACAUUGAAUUUUCUCAUGGACUCCAAAAGAGAGAAGUGUAAAGUGCACUUUUCCCGAGGCUUUAAAUUUCACUGCGAAGAACUGAGGCACCUAUAUUGGUAUGAAUACCCUUUGAAAUCACUGCCCAAUGAUUUUAACCUCAAGAAUCUUGUUGACCUCAGCAUGCCUUAUAGCCAAAUAAAACAACUUUGGAAAGGGACCAAGGUAUCGCUAUGAUUUAUCCAUGUUAUUUUAUUUAGAUUGUAUGUACCGUUCAUGAAAAAUCAUCUUCUUAAGCCUUGUUUCUUUCACUGCAGGUUCUUGAAAACUUGAAGUUCAUGAAUCUCAAGCACUCCAAAUUCUUAACGGAAACCCCGGAUUUCUCAAGGGUUACCAACCUUGAACGGUUAGUUUUAAAAGGUUGUAUAUCUUUGUAUAAGGUUCACCCAUCACUUGGAGAUUUGAACAAACUCAAUUUCUUGAGUUUGAAAAAUUGCAAAAUGCUGAAGAGUCUUCCAAGUUGCAUUUGUGAUUUGAAAUGCCUUGAAGUAUUUAUUCUUUCUGGUUGCUCAAAAUUUGAAGAGUUACCUGAGAAUUUUGGGAACUUAGAAAUGUUGAAGGAAUUUUGUGCGGAUGGAACUGCUAUUAGGGUACUUCCCUCCUCUUUUUCUUUAUUGAGAAACCUUGAAAUAUUAUCCUUUGAGAGAUGUAAAGGACCACCACCAUCUACCUCAUGGUGGUUGCCAAGAAGAAGUUCAAAUUUCAGUAAUUUCGUAUUGUCUCCUUUGUCAAGUUUAAGCUCCUUAAAAACUCUAAGCCUAAGUGCCUGCAAUAUAUCAGAUGGAGCAACUCUUGAUAGUCUUGGCUUCUUAUCUUCACUGGAAGAUUUAGAUUUAAGUGAGAACAACUUUGUUACUCUGCCUUCAAAUAUCAGCCGACUUCCUCACUUGAAAAUGCUUGGGUUGGAAAAUUGUAAAAGAUUGCAAGCACUGCCAGAGCUUCCAACAAGCAUACGUAGUAUAAUGGCUCGUAAUUGCACAUCAUUGGAAACAAUCUCAAAUCAAUCAUUUAGCUCCCUACUAAUGACUGUCAGAUUGAAGGAACAUAUCUAUUGCCCAAUAAAUCGGGUGAGAUUUUCCUCCGGUAUAUCAUAAUUCAAUUUCCCACUAAAUAAUGCACAAUUUAAUUUCAUUUGUGGUAGUGUAAAAUAAAUGUCGAAUGAUUUAAGAUGGUAAAGCAGCAAGCAAUUUCUAUCUCUACUAACAUCCUCAUCAUGUUCAUUCUACAGGAUGGACUUUUAGUUCCUGCACUUAGUGCAGUUGUUUUUGGGAGUAGAAUACCAGACUGGAUAAGGUACCAGAGCUCAGGGAGUGAAGUAAAAGCAGAGCUACCUCCAAACUGGUUUGAUUCCAACUUCCUGGGUCUUGCUUUGUGUGUUGUCACUGUUCCCAGGCUGGUGUCACUUGCUGAUUUUUUUGGUCUUUUUUGGAGAUCAUGUACCUUGUUCUAUUCCACAUCCAGUCACGCUUCUUCCUCCUUUGAUGUUUACACUUAUCCAAAUCAUCUUAAGGGAAAGGUGGAGUCAGAUCACUUGUGGCUGGUUUAUGUACCGCUUCCCCACUUCAUCAAUUGGCAGCAAGUCACUCACAUCAAGGCUUCAUUCAGAAUAACCACCUUCAUGCGCCUUAAUGUAAUUAAGGAAUGUGGGAUUGGUCUAGUGUAUGUUAAUGAAGAGUUGAAUUACUCUCCCUUCUCUCCUCCUCCUAAUGAGUCAUCUGUUGUCCUUCAAGAAAUCCAUGGGGAGGGAUCUAGUGGAAGUGGGAGCUCUAAUAUUGAUGGCUCAGAAUCAGAGAACUCCGAUUACUAUUCUGCUGAUGAGGGGGAACCCUCUGCACCCCUGCUGUAAGGAUCACUCUCAAUCAGAGAUGUGGCCAGAGAAACACUUGCAAUGCAGCCAUUAUCAGAGCAUCCCUUGAUGAGGAGGAACUAGCCAGACAAAUGCCUGAUUUGCACCCAAAUCUUUCCAUAACAACUCUUGGUGAGUUGUGUGCUUCCUUUGUUUCUUUUCCUGAAACUGACUUUGAGUUGCUUAGCAAAAUACCUUACUUUCUAGUAUUCUGGAAACAUCAUAACUGUUGGAGUUUUUGGGUUGUGUAUUAGUGGUGUUGCUGACUAGUUUUUGGAGUUUGAUACAUGUUGGGUUGUUGUUACUGGUUUUUGCUUCAAGUUUGCCUUGAUACAUGUUGAGUUGUUUAGCAAACUCUCUUGACAGAUUUUGGUUUUCUUUCGCACAAGGUAUUGUGAUACAUCUCUGUUCAUAUUCCCAUUUUCAUUCUUAUUCUCAUGUACUAAACAUAUACCCUUAAGGGCAUAUGUUCUCUUCCAAUGUUAGAACGAAACAGAUCAUGAUCAUUGUUUUUGGGAUAUGUUCUUUUAUCUGAAUAUGAUAGAGCUAUUACAGUUAAUGGUUACUUCGUAAGAAUUGUAAAUUCUUCCAUUGAUAUUAUACCAUAUUUUGUACUUUCAUCUUGAUGGGUUCUAAGGUAAUCCAUGGCUCAUUUUUCAUUCAUUUUGUUAGUAAUGAUGUAUAAGAUACUCGUAGCCAAUGUUUUGAAAAUCAGACCAGUCGUCCAACCGAUUGAACCGUCAAUCAGCCAUCUCUCUAGUCUGAUUUGCCCUAAGGAACUGUUUUCAUAUUAAGCCAGUGUUGAACUGCUUGAGCCGGUCUGGUUUACCCUAGGGAAUCAUUUUUAUAUUAUACCGAUGUUGAAUUGCUCGAGUCGAUGGUUGGACCAUCUAAUUGGAUGGACUGUCCGGCUUCCUAAGAGUAGUCAAGCCCAAAACCAGGCCAAAUUUGCACUUGUUGUGGAAGCCCAAUAGGCGUCACAACCAAUCACCCAUUAAAAGUCGAAACAGAUUGAGUCCAAAAGGGUUUGAUGAUCAGUCAUUAUGGUCCGACUAGUAAAUCAUAAACUAGUAACUUUUCUAAUUCAAUAAUCGAUUCGGUUUUGAAAAUAUUGCUUAUAACUUAGGUUGUUUCUUCAUUUUCUACCGAGAAUGUUGUCUUAUAAUGCAGGCAAACUAUCACCAAUGGAGAAAACAUAGAGAAAAGAAGAGUUUUAUUUUUCAAUUUGUUUAGCCAAUAAAUACCUUUCUUUAAUUUACUUUUCAAAUAUGAUGACGUUCAGAAAUUAGGAAAACUUGCCCAUGAAAAUAUAAAACUUGGGUCUGCUCUGGAUUAAAGAGAAAUCAGACUUGGCGGUACAUGGAUGUUUGCCCAAAUAUAUGAAAUUAAUUUAAGUGAAAUUAGGGGAAAAGUAUACUAAUACCUGGAUUCUAGCAUAUAGUAAUGGUUAGGCUGGGAACUUGAAAAUAAAUUUUUUGUUCUUUGGAACUGAAAUAAUUUUCAGUUGACAGAUUUUAUUAUUCGAAACAAUUUUAUGGAGAAUUUAUUCUUAAAACAUAAUAUUUUUUAAGAAUAUAUUGAAGGUGUUUUCUUAAAAUAUUAUAAGAAAUAAUUGAAAAUGUAAAGAAUAUUUUAAAUAUUUUUGCAUUAUACAAUAUUUUCAUGAAAAACAAAUCAAGAAAAUUGCUUUUUCAAUACAAUAUUUUUAAGAACUAUUUUUAUUUAUUUUUUAAAUGUUAUCUAAGAAAACCCUAUACCUAAAAAAAGUCGCCAUAAAGCAUAGAAACAAAACGGAGGCAUAAUACCUCCGGAGGCACUGUAGAAUUUUUCAGCAUAAAAAGGUUGUUGUUAUUCUGAUUUGUUAGGUCAGUCUAGGUAACAAAACCUAAGCUAUCCCUUGUAUAUUUCAUGACAUAAGUUUAAGUAAAGAGGUAUAAUUAGCAAAUGAUCAUUCUCUUCCCCUUACUUCCAUCCUCCUCACUGUCCUAAGAAAAAUUUAGCAUCUUCAACCUUGUACUGCGUGUGCUCUCGGGUCCUAUGGCUUUGUAUCUAAUCCCCAUUUGCAAAACGUUCAGUGCGUGAAGCCUAAGGGUCUGAACAAAAAAUCAUGGUAUAAAAUGUGAACCAACCAAAAGGCUUUAUCCAAUUCUUGUGGCCAUGCAAAGCCCUUCUCUUUCUCUGCCCCACUUUCCACCCACACCUCUCACUCCACCCCCCUCACCUCCUCUCUCUCUCUCACCUCCCACUUCUCCAUGGCCACCGCCGCUGCCACCAAGCUCACGCCCCAUCUCCUCUCUCUCUCCUCCCCCCUCCGUCGCCGGAAACCCCUGCUGCACCACCUCCCUCCGCCGCUGCCCCGGAAUGACCGUUCUUCUGCCUUAACACUGGGACUCUCUAGCCGGAGAAUUACUUGCAAGGCGACGGAAGUGUCGGUGGCGGAGGAGUCGUCGGCUGCGGGCGAUGGCGGGAACUGGGUGCCGGUGGUGCCGCUGUCGGCAUUGCCUAAGGGGGAGCGGCGCGUGAUAAUACAGGACGGAGAGACGAUUCUGUUGUUGUGGUAUAAGGAUCAGGUCUACGCCAUUGAGAAUCGGUCUCCGGCUG
rnacentral:lncRNA from 1 species